UUUUUUUUUGUUUUUCUCAUUGCUUUUGUCGACAAUGUUUGUAUAUUCAACUGCUCUUCCUGUGCAUCAGCCAUUUGAAUUGGUGUAUGGAGAAAUCUGGCGUGAAAACAAGGUCUUCAGAGCAGACAAUGCUACCUACUGAAGCAGAUAUCUUGCUGGUUACAGAUAGCUCUUCAGAGGAGGAUUCAGAGGCAGAUGACCAGUCCUAUUAUCCCCUGAGGUGUAUGCUCAAACUUGGCAGGGUUAUAUUACUCAUAUAAUGCAUAUGUUGUAUUAGAAUGCUUAGUUUUUACAUCAUAUACACAAUAUUGAAUGUCAUCUCCUUAGUUGACACAUCAUAUAUGCGAUUGCCCUCUGCUCACUUCCUUAGUAUAUAAAUCAUAUAUUUGAAUUAUGUCAUGCCAUGAUGUUUACAUAGACAGCAUGUAUCUGAAUUAUGGCAUGCCAACCCAUUUUCUAAAGACAUAAUAUAGUUAUAUCAUCUCAUCCUGUUUACAGAGUCAUCAUAUUUUAAAUUAUGUCAUUCUAUCCAUGAAUUAUAUCAUGCCAUCACGUUUCCAUCGACGGCAUGUUUGUGAUUUAUGGCAUGCCCACCACUUUAAUAGACACAUCGUAUAGUUAUAUCAUGUCAUCCUGUUUACAUAGUCAUCAUAUUUUGAAGUAUGUCAUUCUAUCAUGUUUAGUUAGCCAUCAUACAUGUGAAAUUGUGUCAUGCUAUCCUGUUUAAUUAGCCAUCAUAUAUGUGAAAUUAUGUCCUGCUAUUCUGUUUGCUUAGACAACAUAAAUGUGAAUUAUUUCAUGCCCUGUUUUCUUCCCUACUAUCCAUUGCACCUGUCUAUCUUACAAUGUCUAUACAUUCAAUUACUUUUCUUGUUUAUCAGCCAUUUCAAUUGGAGGGAGUGAUGGCAGUAUCUGUGGGAGUAAAAACACGGUCUUCAGAAAAGAUCGUGCUACCUGUCGAUGCAGAUAGAACCACGGUUGUACUUGCCCAAGAACUAGCCCCACCAAACAUAACCCACACUCAUGCAGAUUGUACCCCUACCCAGUUGGACAGAGAACCAGCUAAACCCCUUCUAACCCCAACCCCAGCAGAUAGACACCCAGUUCCCGUUGACACAGCACCGUCUCCACCACAGAGCACCCAAACACGAGCAGUUAGUAAGGCACCUGCAGUGCCCAAAUCACGAGGAGCACCACUCCGAACCCGAAGUCAACGCUUAAAGCAGAAGAAGAAUUGUUCUCAGGUCAGGUUCCGUAGCUAUGGUUCAUACUACUUUGCUCUUGCAUCACUGUAUUUACUGAUACCAACUAAUUUCAAAUUUGAAGGAUGCAAUUGAAACUCCAAUGGCGCAACAGGUAUAUUUUAAACCUGUUUCUUCAACGUGUUUGGCUGCUUGCUGUUGUAACUUGCUCUAUGUUGAUUUCGGUUUCAAUUGAAUAAACAGUUAUGUUCUCAUGCCGUGCACAUUACAAGUGUUGUUAUUGUUGUGUAGUUUCCCACACUUAUAUUCUGUCUAUGCUGCUUUGUCUUAAAUAGAUAUGAUUCGAACUAUAUCUAUCUUGAUUUGGCAACAUAAACUAGAAUGAUAUAGACCAUACAGUGACCAUACUACAUAGAUAUAUGUUUGUUUCAUGCUGUUAUCCUGUCCACCUUACUACUGAACUGGUUUACCAAAAUGAGUUUCAUAUACUACAUUGUAAACCUGAGAUGUGUUUGCUUGUUUCUCUUUUAGAACGCGGAUAAAAUAUUGGAGAAGAGUACCCUGUUAUGCAAUGGUAAAGGAAGUAAUGCAGAUAAGGUUCAAGAUAGUGAGACAUCCCUGUUGGUCUCCAAGAAAGCUGAUAAAAACUAUAUUGAAGACACUGAGACAACCCCAAAGUCAUGUCUUGAUGUAGUGUUCGAGUUACUGGCUACCACUGCUGGCACCAGCUCUUCGAACUCGUUGCCUAAAUCAGUUCGGCUUCUUGAGUCUCAACUUCAAGUUGAAAGACAUCGAUCAGAUGUUAUGCGACAGGAAGCCGAAGGACUGAGGAAGUCCCUGCAGAAUUCAGAUGCAUACUUUCUAGUGCAACAGCAAGCGCUGGAGGACUUAAGCGCCAAACAAGAGAAAGUUAAUAAGCUUGCUAAGCAUCUUGCUAGCAUUAUGGGUACCCAGGAUAUUGUUUCUUGAACUCUUCUGAAGUGGUUUCAGUUCUGGACUUGUUUUGUUGCGGCGUUUAUAUGCUGCUGUGUUCCCUAUAUUUGCACUGGUGGCGAACUUUGAUGCCCAGUGGAUGUAAUAUGUGUAAGAGCCGUGAUAGCCUAGUGUAAGUUGCUUGCUUAUUUAUUUCCUUGUUGUCUUGUUUAUUUGUUUGCUUGUAGUCAGUGCAGUUCUUUUUCUGCGGUUUGCUAGUGGCUGCAAUAACCUAUUUUUAAAAACUAGGCCACAAUAACCAUGGGCUAAUAUUUACUGUAGUGACACUGGGCCUCCUACGGGCCGUAGAAACAGUGGGCCUUCUACGGGCUGUAUAAACAUUGGGCCUUCUACGGGUCAUAGAAACAGUGGGCCUUCUACGGGCCGUAGAAACAAUGGGCCUUCUACGGGCCGUAGAAACAAUGGGCCUUCUACGGGUUGUAUCAUCAAUGGGCCUUAUACGGGCCGUAUGAUCAAUUGGCCAAACAUGGGCCAAACAGACCGCAUUCUGGCCGUAAACGGGCUAGAGUUGGAAUCGUCCGUUCAUGGGCCGACCAUAACGGGCCAUCGUUAAUAGGCCGUAUUUGAUGACGCUAUGAAAACGGCCCAACGUAUUAACGGACCACAAACGGGCCGACUGUAACCACGGGCUGAAUUUGGCCCACAAGCAGAAAAUGACAGUAACGGGCCGUAAGUAAACGAAUGCUGGAAAAUAGCCCAAGAAUAAAUGUGCUCUGAGAAGGCCGAAAGAUAACAUGGGCUGGAAACGACCCAACGGAAUAACGGGCCGUUAAUGGGUAUAAAGUGAUACACUGUUCUUUACGGGCCAGUUUCACCACGGGCUGUUAAUGGGUGUAAAGUGAUACACUGUUCAUUACGGGCCAGUUUCACCACGGGCCGUUAAUAGGCCAAGAGUUACAUAUGGCCUCAUAUGGGCCGAAAGACGUCAUGGGCCAUACAUGGGCCAGAAGUGAAAAUGGGCUGGAAUCAUAUUGGAUGGCCCAGAUGAUGCUACUGGGCCUAAUUUGAAUAGGGCGUAAUGGGCCUUGGGUUAGCGGGCUGUAAAUGGGCUAUAUGCGAACAGGCCGUUAACAGGCUUUCCAAGGGCCGGCCCGCCACCUUUUGACCAAGUCAAACGGGCCGGCCUUUUCAUAGGAAUGGGCCUCUGUUGGGCCGUGCCACGUGUUGACGUACCAUAGACGCCUUCUGUCCAAUGAGUGGAUGACAUCUGUCCCAGCGAUGAGCCGACACGUGUUUCCUCCAGCCAAUGAUGAUUUUACACGUGGAAAAUCCCCAUUGGUCGGGGCUGUUAACGGGUUAUCGGAUCCAAAACCUGACCCGAUAGCUUAACGGCGUUCCGUUACGGUGGAAGCCACGUGUCGGUCACCCUUGACGAAAGCACUUCUAUGACGCGCGAUUUAUCGUCAUGGAAGUGGACACUUCCGUGAUGAUAAUUUUGGUAAUGUCAUGGAACACUUAUACGACAGCACAGGUAUGACUAUCUUGAUUCUGUCAUAAAAUCGUCAUGGAUGUACAUGCAUGACUGAAAACGCGACCUACUGUGACAAACAUGUAUCAUCAUGGAAGUGUAUUUUUUUGUAGUGCGUGUUGCGGUUAUGCUUUAGAGACGGCUGCAUUCACGUUAAAUAGGGUAGCAACUGAAUCCGUUGACAUGACACCUUAUGAACUGUGGUUUGGCAAGAAACCCAAGUUGUCAUUUCUUAAAGUUUGGGGCUGCGAUGCUCAUGUAAAAAAGCUUCAACCAAAUCGGAGAAGUGUGUCUUCAUAGGAUACCCAAAGGAGACUAUUGGGUACACCUUCUAUCACAUAUCUGAAGGCAAGACAUUCAUUUCUAAAAAUGGAACCUUUCUAGAGAAGGAGUUUCUCUCUAAAGAAGUGAGUGCGAGGAAAGUAGAACUUGAUAAGGUAAAUGUACCUGCUCCCUUAUUGGAAAGUAGUUCAUCACAUAAAUCAGUUCCUGUCACUACUACAUCAAUUAGUGAGGAAGCUAAUGAUGAUGAUCGUGUAACUUCAGAUCAAGUUACUACUGAACCUCGUAGGUCAACCAGAGUAAGAUCCGCACCAGAGUGGUACGGUAAUCCCGUUCUGGAGGUCAUGUUACUUGACCAUGACGAACCUAUGAACUAUGAGGAAGCGAUGAUGAGCCCAGAUUCCGUAAAAUGGCUUGAGGCCAUGAAAUCUGAGAUGGGAUCCAUGUAUGAGAACAAAGUGUGGACUUUGGUUGACUUGCCCGAUUAUCGGCAAGCCAUCGAGAAUAAAUGGAUCUUCAAGAAGAAGACUGACGCUGACGGUAAUGUUACUAUCUACAAAGCUCGACUUGUUGCGAAAGGUUUUGACAAGUUCAAGGAGUUGACUACGAUGAGACCUUCUCACCCGUAGCGAUGCGUAAGACUGUCUGAUUCAUGGUAGCAAUUGCUGCAUUUUAUGAUUAUGAAAUUUGGCAAAUGGAUGUAAAGACUGCAUUCCUGAAUGGAUUUCUGGAAGAAGAGUUGUAUAUGAUGCAACCCGAAGGUUUUAUCAAUCCAAAGGAUGCUAACAAAGUGUGCAAGCUCCAGCGAUCCAUUUAUGGACUGGUGCAAGCAUCUUAGAGUUGGAAUAAAUGUUUUGAUAGUGUGAUCAAAGCAUAUGGCUUUAUACAGACUUUUGGAGAAGCCUGUAUUUACAAGAAAGUGAGUGGGAGCUCUAUAGCAUUUCUAAUAUUAUAUGUGGAUGACAUAUUGUUGAUUGGAAAUGAUAUAUAAUUUCUGGAUAGCAUAAAAGGACACUUGAAUAAGAGUUUUUCAAUGAAAGACCUCGGUGAAGCUACUUAUAUAUUGGGCAUCAAGAUCUAUAGAGAUAGAUUAAGACGCUUAAUUGGACUUUCACAAAGCACAUACCUUGAUAAAGUUUUGAAGAAGUUCAAAAUGGAUCAAGCAAAGAAAGGGUUCUUGCCUGUGUUACAAGGUGUGAAAUUGAGUCAGACUCAAUGCCCGACCACUGCAGAAGAUAGAGAGAAAAUGAAGGUCAUUCCCUAUGCUUCAGCCAUAGGUUCUAUCAUGUAUGCAAUGUUGUGUACCAGACCUGAUGUGUGCCUUGCUAUUAGUUUAGCAGGGAGGUACCAAAGUAAUCCAGGGGUGGAUCACUGGACAGCGGUCAAGAAAAUCCUGAAAUACCUGAAAAGGACUAAGGAUAUGUUUCUCGUUUAUGGAGGUGACAAAGAGCUCGUCAUAAAUGGUUACGUCGAUGCAAGCUUUGACACUGAUCCGGAUGACUCUAAAUCACAAACCGGAUAUGUAUUUAUAUUGAACGGUGGAACUGUAAGUUGGUGCAGUUCUAAGCAAAGCGUCGUGGCGGGAUCUACGUGUGAAGCGGAGUACUUAGUUGCUUCGGAAGCAGCAAAUGAAGGAGUCUGGAUGAAGGAGUUCAUAUCCGAUCUAGGUGUCAUACCUAGCGCAUCGGGUCCAAUGAAAAUCUUUUGUGACAAUACUGGUGCAAUUGCCUUGGCAAAGGAAUCCAGAUUUCACAAGAGAACCAAGCACAUCAAGAGACGCUUCAAUUCCAUCCGCGAUCAAGUCAUGGAGGGAGACAUAGAGAUUUGCAAGAUACAUACGGAUCUGAAUGUUGCCGACCCGUUGACUAAGCCUCUCUCACGAGCAAAAACAUGAUCGCACCAAGACUCCAUGGGUGUUAGAAUCAUUACUAUGUAAUCUAGAUUAUUGACUCUAGUGCAAGUGGGAGACUGAAGGAAAUAUGCCCUAGAGGCAAUAAUAAAGUUGUUAUUUAUAUUUCCUUAUAUCAUGAUAAAUGUUUAUUAUUCAUGCUAGAAUUGUAUUAACCGGAAACUUAGUACAUGUGUGAAUACAUAGACAAACAGAGUGUCACUAGUAUACCUCUACUUGACUAGCUCAUUGAAUCAAAGAUGGUUAAGUUUCGUAACCAUAGACAUGAGUUGUCAUUUGAUUAACGGGGUCACAUCAUUAGAGAAUGAUGUGAUUGACUUGACCCAUCCGUUAGCUUAGCAUGAUGAUCAUUUAGUUUGUUGCUAUCUCUUUCUUCAUGACUUAUAGAUGUUCCUACGACUAUGAGAUUAUGCAACUCCCGAAUACCGGAGGAACACUUUGUGUGCUAUCAAACGUCACAACGUAACUGGGUGAUUAUAAAGCUGCUCUACAGGUGUCUCUGAUGGUGUUUGUUGAGUUGGCAUAGAUCGAGAUUAGGAUUUGUCACUCCGACUUUCGGAGAGGUAUCUCUGGGCCCUCUCGGUAAUGCACAUCACUAUAAGCCUUGCAAGCAAUGUAACUAAUGAGUUAGUUGUAGGAUGAUGCAUUACGGAACGAUUAAAGAGACUUGCCGGUAACGAGAUUAAACUAGGUAUUGAGAUACCGACGAUCGAAUCUCGGGCAAGUAACAUACCGAUUACAAAGGGAACAACGUAUGUUGUUAUGCGGUUUGACCGAUAAAGAUCUUCGUAGAAUAUGUAGGAACCAAUAUGAGCAUCCAGGUUCCGCUAUUGGUUAUUGACCGGAGAUGAGUCUCGGUCAUGUCUACAUAGUUCUCGAACCCAUACGGUCCGCACACUUAACGUUCGGUGACGAUCGGUAUUAUGAGUUUAUGUGUUUUUAUGUACUGAAGGUUGUUCAGAGUCCCAGAUGUUAUCACGGACAUGACGAGGAGUCUCAAAAUGGUCGAUACAUAAAGAUCGAUAUAUUGGAUGGCUAUGUUUGGACACCGGAAUGGUUCCGGGUGAGUUCGGGCAUUUACAGGAGUACCGGGAGGUUACCGGAACCCCCCGGGGAGUAUAUGGGCCUUAUUGGGCCUUAGUGGGAGAGAGGAGGAGGCGCCCCCCCCCCAAGCCCAAUCCGAAUUGGGGUGGGGGGCCGGCCCCCCUUUCCUUCUCCCUCUCUCCUCCUUCCUUCCUCUCCUACUCCAAUUAGGGAAGGGGGAAUCCUACUCCCGGUGGGAGUAGGACUCCCCCUUGGGCGCGCCAUAGAGAAGGCCGGCCCUCCCCUCCUCCACUCCUUUAUAUACGGGGGAGGGGGCACCCCAUAGACACACAAGUUGAUUGUUUAGCCGUGUGCCGUGCCCCCCUCCAUAGAUUUCCACCUCGGUCAUAUCGUUGUAGUGCUUAGGCAAAGCCCUGCGUCGGUAACUUCAUCAUCACCGUCAUCACGCCGUCGUGUUGACGAUCCUCUCCCUCGACCUCAGCUGGAUCUAGAGUUCGCGGGACGUCACCGAGCUGAACAUGUGCAGAUCGCGGAGGUGUCGUACUUUCGGUACUAGGAUCGGUCGGAUCGUGAAGACGUGCGACUACAUCAACCGCGUUGUCAUAACUCUUCCGCUUUCGGUCUACGAGGGUACAUGGACAACACUCUCCCCUCUCAUUGGUAUGCAUCACCUAGAUGGAUCUUGCAUGUGCAUAGGAAUUUUUUUUGAAAUUACUGCGUUCCCCAACACAUACACUCAAUAUAAAUGGUUUAUUGAAUCUUGAUCGUAGUGAUACACAUAUUCAUAAUAUUGAAGCCAAAAGAUGCAAAGUUAAUAAUGAUAGUGCAACUUAUUUAUGGCACUGCCGUUUAGGUCAUAUUGGUGUAAAGCGCAUGAGGAAACUCCAUGCUGAUGGGCUUUUGGAAUCACUUGAUUAUGAAUCACUUCAUGCUUGCGAACCAUGCCUCAUGGGCAAGAUGACUAAGACUCCGUUCUCCAAAACAAUGGAGCGAGCAACUGACUUAUAUGAAAUAAUACAUACUGAUGUAUGCGAUCCGAUGAGUGUUGAGGCUCGCGGCGGGUAUCAUUAUUUUCUAACCUUCAUGGAUGAUUUGAGCAGAUAUGGGUAUAUCUACUUGAUGAAACAUAAGUCAGAAACAUUUGAAAAGUUCAAAGAAUUUCAUAGUGAAGAGGAAAAUCAUCGUAACAAGAAAAUAAAGUUUCUACGGUCUAAUCGUGGAGACAAAUAUUUGAGUUACGAGUUUGGUCUUCAAUUAAACAAUGUGGAAUAGUUUCACGAACUCAUGCCACCUGGAACACCACAGCAUAAUGGUGUGUCCGAACGUCAUAACAAUACUUUAUUGGAUAUAGUGCAAUCUAUGAUGUCUCUUACCGAUUUACCACUAUCGUUUUGGGGUUAUGCAUUAGAGACAGCUACAUUCACAUUAAAUAGGGCACCGUCUAAUCCAUUGAGACGACACUGUAUGAACUAUGGUUUGGCAAGAAACCUAAGCUGUCGUUUCUUAAAGUUUGGGGUUGCGAUGCUUAUGUGAAAAAGUUUCAACCUGAUAAGCUCGAACCCAAAUCGGAGAAGUGCGUCUUCAUAGGAUACCCAAAAGAAAAUGUUGGGUACACCUUCUAUCACAGAUCCGAAGGCAAGAUCUUUGUUGCUAAGAAUGGAUUCUUUCUAGAGAAGAAGUUUCUCUCGAAAGAAGUGAGUGGGAGGAAAGUAGAACUUGAUGAGGUAAUUGUACCUUCUCCCGAAUUGGAAAGUAGUUCAUCACAGAAAUCAGUUCCAGUGAUGCCUACACCAAUUAGUGAGGAAGUUAAUGAUGAUGAUCAUGAAACUUCAGAUCAAUUUACUACCGAACCUCGUAGGUCAACUAGAGUACGUUCCGCACCAGAGUGGUACGGUAAUCCGGUUCUGGAAGUCAUGUUACUAGACCAUGACGAACCUACGAACUAUGAGGAAGCGAUGAUGAGCCCUGAUGACCCACAAGUAUAGGGGAUCUAUCAUAGUCCUUUCAAUAAGUAAGAGUGUCGAACCCAACGAGGAGCAGAAGGAAAUGAUAAGCGGUUUUCAGCAAGGUAUUCUCUGCAAGCACUGAAAUAAUAGGUAACAGAUAGUUUUGUGAUAGGAUAAUUGGUAACGAGCAACAAGUAACAAAAGUAAAUAAAGUGCAGCAAGGUGGCCCAAUCCUUUUUGUAGCAAAGGACAAGCCUGGACAAACUCUUAUAUAGAGAAAAGCGCUCCCGAGGACACAUGGGAAUUAUCGUCAAGCUAGUUUUCAUCACGUUCAUAUGAUUCGCGUUCAGUAGUUUGAUAAUUUGAAAUUAACCAAAUCAGCCUCUUACGAAGCAACGCAUAAACUAGGGUUUAAGCUUUUGUCACUCUAGCAACCCAUCAUCUACUUAUUACAUCCCAAUGCCUUCCUCUAGGCCCAAAUAAUGGUGAAGUGUCAUGUAGUCGACGUUCACAUGACACCACUAGAGGAGAGACAACAUACAUCUCAUCAAAAUAUCGAACGAAUACCAAAUCCACAUGACUACUAAUAGCAAGACUUCUCCCAUGUCCUCAGGAACAAACGUAACUACUCACAAAGCAAAUUCAUGUUCAUAAUCAGAGGAGUAUUAAUAUGCAUAUAGGAUCUGAACAUAUGAUCUUCCACCAAAUAAACCAACUAGCAUCAACUACAAGGAGUAAUCAACACUACUAGCAACCUACAGGUACCAAUCCCAGACUUGGAGACAAGAAUUGGAUACAAGAGAUGAACUAGGGUUUGAGAGGAGAUGGUGCUGGUGAUGAUGUUGAUGGAGAUUUCCCUCUCCAGAUGAGAGGAGCGUUGGUGAUGACGAUGGCGAUGAUUUCCCCCUCCCGGAGGGAAGUGUCCCCGGCAGAACAGCUCUGCCGGAGCCCUAGAUUGGUUCUGCCAAGGUUCCGCCUCGUGGCGGCGGAGUCUCGUCCCGAAAGCUUGCUUAUGAUUUUUCUUCGGAUGAAAGACUUCAUAUAGCAGAAAAUGGGCACCGGAGGGCCAAAAGGGGGCCCACGAGGCAGGGGGCACGCCCAGGGGGUAGGGCGCACCCCCCACCCUCGUGGACAGGUGGAUGCCCCCCUGAUGUGGAUUCUUCUUCCAGUAUUUUUUAUUAUUUCCAAAAAUAACUUUCGUGGAGCUUCAGGACUUUUGGAGUUGUGCAGAAUAGGUCUCUAAUAUUUGCUCCUUUUCCAGCCCAGAAUUCCAGCUGCCGGCAUUCUCCCUCCUUAUGUAAACCUUGUAAAAUAAGAGAGAAUAGGCAUAAGUAUUGUGACAUAAUGUGUAAUAACAGCCCAUAAUGCCAUAAAUAUCAAUAUAAAAGCAUGAUGCAAGAUGGACGUAUCAACUCCCCCAAGCUUAGACCUCGCUUGUCCUCAAACGAAAGCCGAUAACGAUAAAUAUGUCCACAUGUUUAGAGGUAGAGGUGUCGAUAAAAUAAAAUACGAACAUGAGGGCAUCAUGAUUAUUCUCAUAACAGCAACAUAUAUGGAUAUUGUCAUAUGAUUUCUUAUUCUCAAGUAAUAAUCUAUUCACAAUGCAAAGUACGAAUCAGAAACUUUAUUGGGAACUAACAAACUAUAAUCUCAGUCAUUGAGGCAAUUGCAAUUUAUCAUAACAUCAGAAAGAGUCUAUGUCAGAGCUUUCUAGCAAGUCCACAUACUCAACUAUCAUUUAGUCUUUCAUAAUUGCUAACACUCACGCAAUACUUGUGGUUACGGAGUUUUAAUCAGACGCAGAGAAAGAUAGGGGCUUAUAGUUUCGCCUCCCAACCUUUUACAUCAAGGGUAAUGUCAACAAUAAUAACUCAUGCUAACCCACAUCCAAUUAGAUAUAUAUAUAUAUAUAUAUAUAUCAGGAUCUUUCCAACAUCUUGUGCUUGCCAAAGGAUAAAAUGUAUAAAGGAAAGGUGAAGAUCACCAUGACUCUUGCAUAAGGUAGAAGAUAAUAAUAAUAGAUAGGCCCUUCGCAGAGGGAAGCAGAGGUUGCCAUGCGGUUUCAGGGUUGGAUGCACAAAAUCUUAAUGCGAAAGAACGUCACUUUAUAUUGCCACUUGUGAUAUGAACCUUUAUUAUGCAGUCCGUCGCUUUUAUUUCUUCCACAUCACAAGAUCGUAUAAAGCUUAUUUCCUCCACACCAAUCAAUCAUACAUUUUUAAAGAGCAAUUUUUAUUGCUUGCACCGAUGAUAACUUACUUGAAGGAUCUUACUCAAUCCAUAGGUAGAUAUGGUGGACUCUCAUGGCAAAACUGGUUUAAGGGUUUUUGGAAGCACAAGUAGUAUCUCUACUUGGUGCAAAGAAUUUGGCUAGCAUGAGGGGGAAAGGCAAGCUCAACAUGUUGGAUGAUCCAUGAUAAUAUACUUUAUCUCAGAUAUAAGAAAACAUAACCCAUUACGUUGUCUUCCUUGUCCAACAUCAACUCUUUAGCAUGUCAUAUUUUAAUGAGUGCUCCCAAUCAUAAAAGAUGUCCAAGAUAGUAUAUUUAUAUGUGAAACGUCUCUUUCUUUAUUACUUCCUAUUAAUUGCAACGAUGACCAAAGCUAUGUUUGCCAACUCUCAACAACUUUUAAUCAUCAUACUCUUUCUAUGUGAAGUCAUUACUAUCCAUAAGAUCAAUAUGAUCUCUUUGUUUCUUUUUAUUCUUUUCUCUUUUCUUUUAUUCACUCAAGAUCAUAGCAAGAUAAUCAAGCCCUUGACUCAACACUAAUCUUUAUUAUAUAUAGCUCACGGACUCGAUUACAUAGAAAGAUCAUAAAGCAAAACUCAAAACUAGAUCAUACCAAAACUUUAUUCUACUAGAUCAAGAUACUACUAAUAGGAUCGAACUAAGAAAAACGGUAAAGAUAGGAGAUGUGGUGAUGAUACGAUACCGGGGAAUAUCCCCCAAGCUUGGCAGUUGCCAAAGGGAGUGCCCAUACCCAUGUGAUUAUGUUUCCUUUGCUGGUGAAGAAGAUGGUGGUGAUGAUGGGUAGUCGCACAUCGAGCGUAAGAGAUCCUCCAACUUGCGGAUAAUGCCCUUGAGUGCAAUGAUACGCUCCUUCAACAAAAUAUGUUCACGUGUGAGAUACUUGUUUUGUAUACGAGCUAACUCAAUCAUCUUGAAAGCUUCGACCUCAGUUGGGGUGAGAAGAUUGUGAUCAAGUUGAAGGAUGUCUUCUGUUGCCGGAACUUGGUCCUCCGUGGCCUUCUUGAUCCCUUCAUCCUUGCUGAUCUCCAUGGGUUCUUCCCUCUUCAGCUCUGUCUUCAUUAGCCAAGCAUCGUUGUCACCAUUGUUGGAGGAGGGGGACGACAUGCCUGGCCUUGACAACCCUGACAGAAAACAGCUCGAAACAAGAACAGAGGAUAAUUGCGUGAUACGGUGGUCAAAACCUUCGGGAGAUUAUAUAGUGAAUUUUUACCGACCAAAAUACGUAUCGUGCAAGAAAACGGAGUCCGGAGAGCGCACGAGGUGCCCACGAGGUAGGGGGACGCACCUAGUAGGGUAGGGCGCGCCCUCCACCCUCGUGGAGGCCUCGUGUCCUUCCCGGACUGCUUCUUAUUUUUCUAUUUUUCUAAAUAUUCCAAAACGGAGAAAAAUUGCCAUUAGAACUGUUUUGGAGUCGGUUUACUUACCGUACCACAUACCUAUUCCUUUUCGGAGUCUGAAACAUUCCGGAAAGUGUCCCUUAUGUAUUCCUCUGGGGUUACGGUUUCAAUAACAUUGGUUUUGACAUUUAUGGGAUUACCUGGGAUAUAAUGUUUAAUUCUUUGACCGUUCACCACCUUCGGAUUUGUGCCUUCGAAGUUGUUGAUUUUUAUGGCACCGGAACGAUAGAGCUCCUCGAUAACGUAAGGGCCUUCCCAUUUAGAGAGAAGUUUUCCUGCAAAAAAUAUUAAACGAGAGUUGUAUAGCAAUACAUAAUAACCUACAUUAAACUCACGCUUUUGUAUCAUUUUGUCAUGCCAUCUUUUAACUUUUUCUUUAAACAAUUUGGCAUUCUCAUAGGCUUGGGUUCUCCAUUCAUCAAGUGAGCUAAUGUCAAAUAACCUCUUCUCACCGGCAAGUUUGAAAUCAUAGUUGAGCUUUAAUAGCCUAAUAAGCCUUAUGUUAUAGUUCGAGAGGUAAAUGACAUGCUUUUCCAUAAACCAUUUUAUACGGAGACAUACCAAUAGGAUUUUUAUAUGCAGUUCUAUAGGCCCAUAAUGCAUCAUCAAGUUUCUUGGACCAAUUCGUUCUAGAUCUUAUUAACAGUCUUUUGCAAAAUUAAUUUGAGUUCUCUAUUGCUCAAUUCUACUUGACCACUAGACUGUGGGUGAUAAGGAGAUGCAAUUCUAUGAUUAACAUCAUACUUAGCAAGCAUUUUACGGAAAGCACCAUGAAUAAAAUGUGAACCACUAUCAGUCAUUAAAUAUCUAGGGACUCCAAACCUCGGAAAAAUAACUUCCUUAAGCAUCUUAAUAGAGGUGUUAUGAUCAGCACUACUAGUUGGAAUAGCUUCUACCCACUUAGUAACGUAAUCAACAACAACUAAAAUAUGUGUGUAUCCAUUAGAGGCAGGAAACGGUCCCAUAUAAUCAAACCCCCAAACAUCGAAUGGUUCAAUAACAAAUGAAUAAUUCAUAGGCAUUUCUUGACGUCUACUAAUAUUACCAAUUCUUUGACAUUCAUCACAAGAUAAGACAAACUUACGGGAAUCCUUGAAGAGAGUAGGCCAAUAAAAACCGAAUUGCAAUACCUUAUGUGCAGUUCUAUCUCCAGCAUGGUGUCCUCCAUAAGCCUCGGAAUGAUACUUGCGUAGGAUCUGUUGCUGUUCCUGCUCAGGUACACAACAUCUAAUAACACCAUCUACUCCUUCUUUAUAAAGAUGUGGGUCAUCCCAAAAGUAAUGUCUCAAAUCAUAGAAAAACUUUUUCUUUUGCUGGUAUGUGAAACUAGGUGGUAUAAAUUUAGCAACAAUGUAAUUAUCAUAAUCAACAUACCAUGGAGUAGUACGAGAAGCAUUUAUGACAUUUAAUUGUUCAUCAGGGAAGCUAUCAUCAAUAGGUAGUGGGUCAUCAAGAACAUUUUCUAACCUAGACAAGUUAUCUGCAACGGAGUUCUCAGCUCCCUUUCUAUCAAUAAUAUGCAAAUCAAAUUCUUGUAACAAGAGAACCCAUCUAAUAAAUCUAGGUUUAGCAUCUUUCUUUUCCAUAAGAUAUUUAAUAACAGCAUGAUCAGUGUGAAUAGUUACUUUAGAAUCAACAAUAUAGGGUCUGAACUUAUCACAAGCAAAUACAACUGCUAAGAAUUCUUUUUCAGUAGUAGCAUAAUUUCUCUGAGCAUUGUCUAGAGUUUUACUAGCGUAUUGAAUAACAUUUAAUUUCUUAUCAACUCUUUGCCCUAGAACAGCACCUACAGCAUAAUCACUAGCAUCACACAUGAUUUCAAAAGGUAAAUUCCAAUCAGGUGGCUGAACAAUAGGUGCAGAUAUCAAUGCUUUCUUAAGUAUUUCAAAUGCUUCUACACAAUCAUCAUCAAAGACAAAUGGUAUAUCUUUUUGUAAUAAAUUAGUCAGAGGCCGAGAAAUUUUUGAGAAAUCAUUAAUGAACCUCCUAUAAAAACCGGCGUGACCGAGGAAACUUCUUAUACCUUUGAUGUCCUUGGGACAUGGCAUCUUUUCAAUAGCAUCAACCUUAGCUUUAUCAACUUCAAUACCUCUAUCAGAAACUUUAUGCCCCAAGACAAUACCUUCAUUAACCAUAAAGUGGCACUUUGUUGGGGAACGUAGUAAUUUCAAAAAAAUUCCUACGCACACGCAAGAUCAUGGCGAUGCAUAGCAACGAGAGGGGAGAGUGUUGUCCACGUACCCUCGUAGACCGAAAGCGGAAGCGUUAACACAACGCGGUUGAUGUAGUCGUACGUCUUCACGAUCCGACCGAUCAAGUACCGAACGCACGGCACCUCCGAGUUCAGCACACGUUCAGCUCGAUGACAUCCCUCGAACUCUGAUCCAGCCGAGUGUUGAGGGAGAGUUUCGUCAGCACGACGGUGUGGUGACGAUGAUGAUGUUCUAACGACGCAGGGCUUCGCCUAAACACCGCUACGAUAUUAUCGAGGUGUAAUAUGGUGGAGGGGGCACCGCACACGGCUAAAAGAUCGUUGAUCAAUUGUGUGUCUAGAGGUGCCCCCCUGCCCCCGUAUAUAAAGGAGCAAGGGGGAGGCCACCGGCCAAGGAGGAGAGGCACGCCAGGAGGAGUCCUACUCCUACCGGGAGUAGGACUCCCCCCCCUUUUCCAUGUUGGACUAGGAGAGAGAGGGGGAAGAGGUGGAGGGGAGGAAGGAAGGGGGGGCGCCGCCCCCCUCUCCUUGUCCUAUUCGGACUGGGGGGAGGGGCGCGCGGCCCUGCCCUGGCCUCCUCUCCUCUCUUCCACCUAGGCCCACUAAGGCCCAUUAAGUUACCGGGGGGGUCUGGUAACCUCCCGGUACUCCGGAAAAAUCCCGAUUUCACCCGGAUCACUUCCGAUGUCCAAACAUAGGUUUCCAAUAUAUCAAUAUUUAUGUCUCGACCAUUUCAAGACUCCUUGUCAUGUCCGUGAUCACAUCCGGGACUCCGAACAACCUUCGGUACAUCAAAACAUAUAAACUCAUAAUAUAACUGUCAUCGUAACGUUAAGCGUGCGGACCCUACGGGUUUGAGAACUAUGUAGACAUGACCGAGACACCUCUCCGGUCAAUAACCAAUAGCGGAACCUGGAUGCUCAUAUUGGUUCCCACAUAUUCUACGAAGAUCUUUAUCGGUCAGACCGCAUAACAACAUACGUUGUUCCCUUUGUCAUCGGUAUGUUACUUGCCCGAGAUUCGAUCGUCGGUAUUUCGAUACCUAGUUCAAUCUCGUUACCGGCAAGUCUCUUUACUCGUUCCGUAAUACAUCAUCCCGCAACUAACUCAUUAGUUACAAUGCUUGCAAGGCUUAUAGUGAUGUGUAUUACUGAGUGGGCCCAGAGAUACCUCUCCGACAAUCGGAGUGACAAAUCCUAAUCUCGAAAUACGCCAACCCAACAAGUACCUUUGGAGACACCUGUAGAGCACCUUUAUAAUCACCCAGUUACGUUGUGACGUUUGGUAGCACACAAAGUGUUCCUCUGGUAAACGGGAGUUGCAUAAUCUCAUAGUCAUAGGAACAUGUAUAAGUCAUGAAGAAAGCAAUAGCAACAUACUAAACGAUCGAGUGCUAAGCUAACGGAAUGGGUCAAGUCAAUCACAUCAUUCUCCUAAUGAUGUGAUCCCGUUAAUCAAAUGACAACUCAUGUCUAUGGCUAGGAAACAUAACCAUCUUUGAUCAACGAGCUAGUCAAGUAGAGGCAUACCAGUGGCACUCUGUUUGUCUAUGUAUUCACACAUGUAUUAUGUUUCCAGUUAAUACAAUUCUAGCAUGAAUAAUAAACAUUUAUCAUGAUAUAAGGAAAUAGAUAAUAACUUUAUUAUUGCCUCUAGGGCAUAUUUCCUUCAGUCUCCCACUUGCACUAGAGUCAAUAAUCUAGAUUACACAGUAAUGAUUCUUACACCCAUGGAGUCUUGGUGCUGAUCGUGAUUUGCUUGUGGAAGAGGCUUAGUCAACGGGUCUGCAACAUUCAGAUCCGUAUGUAUCUUGCAAAUUUCUAUGUCUCCCACCUACCCUAAAUCCCGGAUGGAAUUGAAGCGUCUUUUGAUGUGCUUGGUUCUCUUGUGAAAUCUGGAUUCCUUUGCUAAGGCAAUUGCACCAGUAUUGUCACAAAAGAUUUUCAUUGGUCCCGAUGCACUAGGUAUGACACCUAGAUCGGAUAUGAACUCCUUCAUCCAGACUCCUUCAUUUGUUGCUUCCGAAGCAGCUAUGUAUUCCGCUUCACACGUAGAUCCCGCCACGACACUUUGCUUAGAACUGCACCAACUGACAGCUCCACCGUUCAAUGUAAACACGUAUCCGGUUUGCGAUUUAGAAUCAUCCGGAUCAGUGUCAAAGCUUGCAUCAAUGUAACCAUUUACGAUGAGCUCUUUGUCACCUCCAUAAAUGAGAAACAUAUCCUUAGUCCUUUUCAGGUAUUUCAGGAUGUUCUUGACCGCUGUCCAGUGAUCCACUCCUGGAUUACUUUGGUACCUCCCUGCUAAACUUAUAGCAAGGCACACAUCAGGUCUGGUACACAGCAUUGCAUACAUGAUAGAGCCUAUGGCUGAAGCAUAGGGAACAUCUUUCAUCUUCUCUCUAUCUUCUGCAGUGGUCGGGCAUUGAGUCUUACUCAAUCUCACACCUUGUAGUACAGGCAAGAACCCUUUCUUUGCUUGAUCCCUUUUGAACUUCUUCAAAACUUUGUCAAGGUAUGUGCUUUGUGAAAGUCCAAUUAAGCGUCUUGAUCUAUCUCUAUAGAUCUUGAUGCCCAAUAUAUAUACAGCUUCACCGAGGUCUUUCAUUGAAAAACUCUUAUUCAAGUAUCCCUUUAUGUUAUCCAGAAAUUCUAUAUCAUUUCCAAUUAACAAUAUGUCAUCCACAUAUAAUAUCAGAAAUGCUACUGAGCUCCCACUCACUUUCUUGUAAAUACAGGCUUCUCCAAAAGUCUGUAUAAAACCAAAUGCUUUGAUCACACUAUCAAAGCGUUUAUUCCAACUCCGAGAGGCUUGCACCAGUCCAUAAAUGGAUCGCUGGAGCUUGCACACUUUGUUAGCUCCCUUUGGAUCGACAAAACCUUCUGGUUGCAUCAUAUACAACUCUUCUUCCAGAAAUCCAUUCAGGAAUGCAGUUUUGACAUCCAUUUGCCAAAUUUCAUAAUCAUAAAAUGCGGCAAUUGCUAACAUGAUUCGGACAGACUUAAGCAUCGCUACGGGUGAGAAGGUCUCAUCGUAGUCAAUCCCUUGAACUUGUCGAAAACCUUUCGCAACAAGUCGAGCUUUAUAGACAGUAACAUUACCGUCAGCGUCAGUCUUCUUCUUGAAGAUCCAUUUAUUUUCAAUGGCUUGCCAAUCAUCGGGCAAGUCAACCAAAGUCCAUACUUUGUUCUCAUACAUGGAUCCCAUCUCGGAUUUCAUGGCCUCAAGCCAUUUUGCGGAAUCUAGGCUCACCAUCGCUUCUUCAUAGUUCGUAGGUUCGUCAUGGUCUAGUAACAUAACCUCCAGAACAGGAUUACCGUACCACUCUGGUGCGGAUCUUAAUCUGGUUGACCUAUGAGGUUCAGUAAUAACUUGAUCUGAAGUUUCAUGAUCAUUGUCAUUAACUUCCUCACUAAUUGGUGUAGGUGUCGCAGAAACUGAUUUCUGUGAUAAUUUACUUUCCAAUAAGGGAGCAGGUACAGUUACCUCAUCAGUUCUACUUUCCUCCCACUCACUUCUUUCGAGAGAAACUCCUUCUCUAGAAAGGAUCCAUUCUUAGCAACGAAUGUCUUCCCUUCGGAUCUGUGAUAGAAGGUGUACCCAAUAGUCUCCUUUGGGUAUCCUAUGAAGACACAUUUCUCCGAUUUAGGUUCGAGCUUAUCAGGUUGAAGUUUCUUCACAUAAGCAUCGCAACCCCAAACUUUAAGAUACGACAACUUUGGUUUCUUGCCAAACCAUAGUUCAUAAGGUGUCGUUUCAACGGAUUUUGAUGGUGCCCUAUUUAGAGUGAAUGCAGCCGUCUCUAAAGCAUAACCCCAAAACGAUAGCGGUAAAUCAGUAAGAGACAUCAUAGAUCGCACCAUAUCUAAUAAAGUACGAUUACAACGUUCGGACACACCAUUACGUUGUGGUGUUCCGGGUGGCGUGAGUUGCGAAACUAUUCCGAUUCAAAUGUAGACCAAACUCGUAACUCAAAUAUUCUCCUCCACCAUCUGAUCGUAGAAACUUUAUUUUCUUGUUACGAUGAUUUUCAACUUCGCACUGAAAUUCUUUGAACUUUUCAAAUGUUUCAGACUUAUGUUUCAUUAAGUAGAUAUACCCAUAUCUGCUCAAAUCAUCGGUGAAGGUGAGAAAAUAACGAUAUCCGCCACGAGCCUCAAUAUUCAUCGGACCACAUACAUCUGUAUGUAUGAUUUCCAACAAAUUAGUUGCUCUCUCCAUAGUACCGGAGAACGGUGUUUUAGUCAUCUUGCCCAUGAGACACGGUUCGCAAGUACCAAGUGAUUCAUAAUCAAGUGAUUCCAAAAGUCCAUCAUUAUGGAGUUUCUUCAUGCGCUUUACACCGAUAUGACCUAAACGGCAGUGCCACAAAUAAGUUGCACUAUCAUUAUCAACUCUGCAUCUUUUGGCUUCGACAUUAUGAAUAUGUGUGUCACUAAUACCGAGAUUCAUUAAAAAUAGACCACUCUUCAAGGGUGCAUGACCAUAAAAGAUAUUACUCAUAUAAAUAGAACAACCAUUAUUCUCUGAUUUAAAUGAAUAACCGUCUCGCAUCAAACAAGAUCCAGAUAUAAUGUUCAUGCCCAACGCUGGCACCAAAUAACAAUUAUUUAGGUCUAAUGCUAAUCCCGAAGGUAGAUGUAGAGGUAGCAUGCCGACGGCGAUCACAUCGACUUUGGAACCAUUUCCCACGCGCAUCGUCACCUCGUCCUUAACCAAUCUUCGCUUAAUCCGUAGCCCCUGUUUCGAGUUGCAAAUAUUAGCAACAAAACUAGUAUCAAAUACCCAGGUGCUACUGCGAGCAUUAGUAAGGUACACAUCAAUAACAUGUAUAUCACAUAUACCUUUGUUCACCUUGCCAUCCUUCUUAUCCGCCAAAUACUUGGGGCAGUUCCGCUUCCAGUGACCAGUCUGCUUGCAGUAGAAGCACUCAGUCUCAGGCUUAGGUCCAGACUUGGGUUUCUUCUCCUGAACAGCAACUUGCUUGUUGUUCUUCUUGAAGUUCCCCUUCUUCUUCCCUUUGCCCUUUUUCUUGAAACUAGUGGUCUUAUUGACCAUCAACAUUUGAUGCUCCUUUUUGAUUUCUACCUCCGCUGCCUUUAGCAUUGCGAAGAGCUCGGGAAUUGUCUUAUUCAUCCCUUGCAUGUUAUAGUUCAUCACGAAGCUCUUGUAGCUUGGUGGCAGUGAUUGAAGAAUUCUGUCAAUGACGCUAUCAUCCGGAAGAUUAACUCCCAGUUGAAUCAAGUGAUUAUUAUACCCAGACAUUUUGAGUAUAUGCUCACUGACAAAACUAUUCUCUUCCACCUUGCAGAUGUAGAACUUAUUGGAGACUUCAUAUCUCUCAAUCCGGGCAUUUGCUUGAAAUAUUAACUUCAACUCCUGGAACAUCUCAUAUGCUCCAUGACGUUCAAAACGUCGUUGAAGACCCGGUUCUAAGCCGUAAAGCAUGGCACACUGAACUAUCGAGUAGUCAUCAGCUUUGCUCUGCCAGACGUUCAUAACUUCUGGUGUUGCUCUUGCAGCAGGCCUGUUACCCAGCGGUGCUUCCAGGACGUAAUUCUUCUGUGCAGCAAUGAGGAUAAUCCUCAAGUUACGGACCCAGUCCGUGUAAUUGCUACCAUCAUCUUUCAACUUUGCUUUCUCAAGGAACGCAUUAAAAUUCAACGGAACAACAGCACAGGCCAUCUAUCUACAAUUAACAUAGACAAGCAAGAUACUAUCAGGUACUAAGUUCAUGAUAAAUUCAAGUUCAAUUAAUCAUAUUACUUAAGAACUCCCACUUAGAUAGACAUCCCUCUAAUCCUCUAAGUGAUUACGUGAUCCAUAUCAACUAAACCAUGUCCGAUCAUCACGUGAGAUGGAGUAGUUUCAAUGGUGAACAUCACUAUGUUGAUCAUAUCUACUAUAUAAUUCACGCUCGACCUUUCGGUCUCCGUGUUCCGAGGCCAUAUCUGCAUAUGCUAGGCUCGUCAAGUUUAACCUGAGUAUUCCGCGUGUGCAACUGUUUUGCACCCGUUGUAUUUGAACGUAGAGCCUAUCACACCCGAUCAUCACGUGGUGUCUCAGCAUGAAGAACUUUCGCAACGGUGCAUACUCAGGGAGAACACUUUUAUCUUGAAAUUUUAGUGAGAGAUCAUCUUAAAAUGCUACCGUCAAUCAAAGCAAGAUAAGAUGCAUAAAAGAUAAACAUCACAUGCAAUCAAUAUAAGUGAUAUGAUAUGGCCAUCAUCAUCUUGUGCUUGUGAUCUCCAUCUCCGAAGCACCGUCAUGAUCACCAUCGUCACCAGCGCGACACCUUGAUCUCCAUCGUAGCAUCGUUGUCGUCUCGCCAACUAUUGCUUUUACGACUAUCGCUACCGCUUAGUGAUAAAGUAAAACAAUUACAUGGCGAUUGCAUUUCAUACAAUAAAGCGACAACCAUAUGGCUCCUGCUAGUUGCCGAUAACUCGGUUACAAAACAUGAUCAUCUCAUACAAAUAAAAUAUAGCAUCAUGUCUUGACCAUAUCACAUCACAACAUGCCCUGCAAAAACAAGUUAGACGUCCUCUACUUGGUUGUUGCAAGUUUUACGUGGCUGCUACGGGCUUAGCAAGAACCGUUCUUACCUACGCAUUAAAACCACAAUGAUAGUUUGUCAAGUCGGUGCUGUUUUAACCUUCGCAAGGACCGGGCGUAGCCACACUCGGUUCAACUAAAGUGAGAGAGACAGACACCCGCCAGUCACCUUUAAGCAACGAGUGCUCGCAACGGUGAAACCAGUCUCGCGUAAGCGUACGCGUAAUGUCGGUCCGGGCCGCUUCAUCUCACAAUACCGCCAAACCAAAGUAUGACAUGCUGGUAAGCAGUAUGACUUAUAUCGCCCACAACUCACUUGUGUUCUACUCGUGCAUAACAUCAAAGCAUAAAACCAGGCUCGGAUGCCACUGUUGGGGAACGUACUAAUUUCAAAAAAAAUUCCUACGCACACGCAAGAUCAUGGUGAUGCAUAGCAACAAGAGGGGAGAGUGUUGUCCACGUACCCUCGUAGACCAAAAGCGGAAGCGUUAACACAACGCGGUUGAUGUAGUCGUACGUCUUCACGAUCCGACCGAUCAAGUACCGAACGCACGGCACCUCCGAGUUCAGCACACGUUCAGCUCGAUGACGUCCCUCGAACUCUGAUCCAGCCGAGUGUUGAGGGAGAGUUUCGUCAGCACGACGGCAUGGUGACGAUGAUGAUGUUCUACCGACGCAGGGCUUCAUCUAAGCACCACUACAAUAUUAUCGAGGUGUAAUAUGGUGGAGGGGGGCACCGCACACGGCUAAAAGAUCGUUGAUCAAUUGUGUGUCUAGAGGUGCCCCCCUGCCCCCGUAUAUAAAGGAGCAAGGGGGAGGCCGCCGGCCAAGGAGGAGAGGCGCGCCAGGAGGAGUCCUACUCCUACCGGGAGUAGGACUCCCCCCUUUUCCAUGUUGGACUAGGAGAGAGAGGGGGAAGAGGUGGAGGGGAGGAAGGAAGGGGGCGCCGCCCCCCUCUCCUUGUCCUAUUCGGACUGGGGGGAGGGGCGCGCGGCCCUGCCCUGGCCUCCUCUCCUCUCUUCCACCUAGGCCCACUAAGGCCCAUUAAGUUACCGGGGCGUUCCGGUAACCUCCCGGUACUCCAGAAAAAUCCCGAUUUCACCCGGAUCACUUCCGAUGUCCAAACACAGGUUUCCAAUAUAUCAAUCUUUAUGUCUCGACCAUUUCGAGACUCCUCGUCAUGUCCGUGAUCACAUCCAGGACUCCGAACAACCUUCGGUACAUCAAAACAUAUAAACUCAUAAUAUAACUGUCAUCGUAACGUUAAGCGUGCGGACCCUACGGGUUCGAGAACGAUGUAGACAUGACCGAGACACCUCUCCGGUGAAUAACCAAUAGCGGAACCUGGAUGCUCAUAUUGGUUCCCACAUAUUCUACGAAGAUCUUUAUCGGUCAGACCGCAUAACAACAUACGUUGUUCCCUUUGUCAUCGGUAUGUUACUUGCCCGAGAUUCGAUCGUCGGUAUUUCGAUACAUAGUUCAAUCUCGUUACCGACAAGUCUCUUUACUCGUUCCGUAAUACAUCAUCCCGCAACUAACUCAUUAGUUACAAUGCUUGCAAGGCUUAUAGUGAUGUGUAUUACUGAGUGGGCCCAGAGAUACCCCUCCGACAAUCGGAGUGACAAAUCCUAAUCUCGAAAUACGCCAACCCAACAAGUACCUUUGGAGACACCUGUAGAGCACCUUUAUAAUCACCCAGUUACGUUGUGACGUUUGGUAGCACACAAAGUGUUCCUCUGGUAAACGGGAGUUGCAUAAUCUCAUAGUCAUAGAAACAUGUAUAAGUCAUGAAGAAAGCAAUAGCAACAUACUAAACGAUCGAGUGCUAAGCUAACGGAAUGGGUCAAGUCAAUCACAUCAUUCUCCUAAUGAUGUGAUCCCGUUAAUCAAAUGACAACUCAUGUCUAUGGCUAGGAAACAUAACCAUCUUUGAUCAACGAUCCAGUCAAGUAGAGGCAUACUAGUGACACUCUGUUUGUCUAUGUAUUCACACAUGUAUUAUGUUUCCGGUUAAUACAAUUCUAGCAUGAAUAAUAAACAUUUAUCAUGAUAUAAGGAAAUAAAUAAUAACUUUAUUAUUGCCUCUAGGGCAUAUUUCCUUCACACUUCUCCCAAUUCAAGACAAGGUUAGUUUCUUCACAUCUCUGCAAUCAAGGUUGCUCAAACAAUCAUCAAAAGAGGAUCCAUAGACGGAGAAAUCAUCCAUGAAAACCUCACAAAUCUAUUCACAAAAGUCAGAGAAUAUAGCCAUCAUGCAUCUUUGAAAGGUAGCAGGUGCAUUACAUAAACCAAAAGGCAUACGUCUAUAAGCAAAAGUACCGAAAGGGCAAGUAAAAGUGGUCUUUGAUUGAUCAUCGGCUGACACAGGUAUUUGAGAGAAACCAGAAUAACCAUCUAGAAAGCAAAAAUGUGUAUGUUUAGAUAAUCUUUCUAGAAUUUGAUCGAUAAAAGGUAAGGGGUAAUGAUCCUUUUUAGUAGCUUUAUUUAGUUUGCGGAAAUCAAUUACCAUCCUAUAACCUGUAAUAAUUCUUUGCGGGAUCAAUUCAUCUUUAUCAUUAGGAACGACAGUAAUACCUCCCUUCUUAGGGAAAUAAUGGACAGGACUUACCCACUGACUAUCAGCAACGGGAUAAAUUAUACCUGCCUCAAGGAGCUUUAGUAUUUCCUUUCUUACUUCUUCUUUCAUCUUAGGAUUCAGCCGUCAUUGAUGAUCACGAACUGGUUUGGCAUCUUUCUCCCAAUUUAUUUUAUGUUGGCAUAGAGUGGGGCUAAUGCCCUUAAGAUCAUCAAGAGUAUAUCCAAUAGCAGCACGGUGCUUCUUCGGAGUUUUCAAUAAUCUCUCUUCUUCAUGCUCUGAAAGGUUAGCACUAAUAAUAACAGGAUAUAUCUUCUUUUCAUCAAGAUAAGCAUAUUUAAGAGUAUCAGGUAACGGUUUAAUCUCAAACACGGGAUCACCCUUGGGUGGAGGAGGAUCCCCUAGGAUUUCAACAGGCAAAUUGUGUUUCAGGAUGGGUUCUUGUUUAAAGAAUACUUCAUCUAUUUCCCUUCUUUCAUUCAUAAACAUAUCAUUUUCAUGGUCUAGCAAAUAUUGUUCUAAAGGAUCACUAGGAGGUACGGCAAUAGAAGCAAGACCAAUAAUUUCAUCCUUACUAGGCAAUUCCUCUUCACGGUGUUGUCUACUAAAUUUAGAGAAAUUAAACUCAUGAGACAUAUCACCCAAGCCAAUAGUAAUGACAUCCUUUUCGCAGUCUAUCCUAGCAUUAACAGUGUUCAAGAAGGGUCUACCAAAUAUUAUGGGACAAAAGCUAUCUUGUGGGGAACCAAGAACAAGAAAAUCAACAGGAUAUUAGUUUUCCCACACAAGACUUCAACAUCUCUAACAAUUCCAAUGGGUGAUAUGGUAUCUCUAUUGGCAAGCUUAAUGGUAACAUCAAUAUCUUCUAUCUCAGCAGGUGCAAUAUCAUGCAUAAUUUCUUUGUAUAAGUCAUGAGGUAUAGCACUAGCACCCAUAUCACAUAAGCCAUGAUAACAAUGAUCUCCUAUUUUAACAGAAAUAACAAGCAUGCCUACCACAGGUCUAUGUUUAUCUUUAGCACAAGGUUUGGCAAUUCUAGCAGUUUCAUCUCGGAAAUGAAUAACAUGCCCAUCAAUAUUAUCAGACAAGAGAUCUUUAACAAUAGCAAUAUUAGGUUCAACUUUAACUUGCUCAGGAGGUGUAUAGGUUCUAAUAUUGCUUAUACGAACCACAGUUGAAGCUUUAGCGUGAUCCUUUAUCCUAACAGGAAAAGGUGGUUUCUCAACAUAAGCAGUAGGAACAAUAGGAUCAUUAUAAGUGAUAGUCUUUUCUUCAACUUUAAUAGGUGCAGCUACUUUUACUUCUAUGGGAGGAUGAUAUUUAAACCACUUCUCCUUAGGGAGAUCAACGUGAGCAGCAAAAGAUUCACAAAAGGAAGCUACUAUCUCAGAGUCAAGUCCAUAUUUAGUGCUAAAUUUACGGAAAACGUCGGUAUCCAUAAAAGAUUUAACACAAUCAAACUUAGGUGUCAUACCUGACUCCUUACCUUCGUCGAGAUCCCAAUCUUCAGAGUUGCAUUUAAUUCUUCCCAAUAAGUUCCAUUUUAAUUCAAUAGUCUUCAUCGUAAAAGAGCCAGCACAAGAAGUAUCGAGCAUGGUGCGAUUGUUAUCAGAAAGCCGAGCAUAAAAAUUUUGAAUAAUCAUUUCUCUUGAGAGCUCAUGAUUGGGGCAUGAAUAUAACAUUGAUUUAAGCCUCCCCCAAGCUUGAGCGAUGCUUUCUCCUUCGCGAGGCCAAAAAUUAUAUAUAGAAUUGCGAUCACGAUGAACAAGAUGCAUAGGAUAAAACUUCUGAUGAAAUUCCAAUUUCAAUCGUUUGUAGUUCCAUGACCCCGUAUCAUCACAUAGCCUAUACCAUGUCAAUGCAUCUCCCUUCAAAGAUAAAGGGAAGACCUUCUUCUUAAUAACAUCAUCGGGUAUACCUGCAAGCUUAAAUAAUACACAAACUUCAUCCACAUAGAUUAGGUGCUCAUCAGGAUGCAUUGUUCCGUCUCCUGCAAAAGGAUUAGCCAGCAGUUUUUCUAACAUACCCGAAGGAAUUUCAAAGUAGACAUUUUUAUUUUCAGUAGGUUCAAUAGGUUGAGGAGCAACUCUUUGCUCUACUGGUCGGGGUGAAGAUACCCCGAACAAGCCCCUCAGAGGAUUACUUUCCAUAGUAACAAGUGACAGUAAAUUUCAGCACACUAUAUAAAUUUUUCCUUACCAAAUUCCACCUACCAAAGACGCUUCACUCCCCGGCAACGGCGCCAUAAAAGAGUCUUGAUGACCCACAAGUAUAGGGGAUCUAUCGUAGUCCUUUCAAUAAGUAAGAGUGCCGAACCCAACGAGGAGCAGAAGGAAACGAUAAGCAGUUUUCAGCAAGGUAUUCUCUGCAAGCACUGAAAUAAUAGGUAACAGAUAGUUUUGUGAUAGGAUAAUUGGUAACGAGCAACAAGUAACAAAAGUAAAUAAAGUGCAGCAAGGUGGCCCAAUCCUUUUUGUAGCAAAGGACAAGCCUGGACAAACUCUUAUAUAGAGAAAAGCGCUCCCGAGGACACAUGGGAAUUAUCGUCAAGCUAGUUUUCAUCACGUUCAUAUGAUUCGCGUUCGGUAGUUUGAUAAUUUGAUAUCUGGGUGGACCGGUGCUUGGGUGCUGUCCUUACUUGGACAAGCAUCCCACUUGUGAUUAACCUCUAUUGCAAGCAUCCGCAACUACAACAAAAGUAUUAAGGUAAACCUAACCAUAGCAUGAAAAAUAUGGAUCCAAAUCAGCCCCUUAUGAAGCAACGCAUAAACUAGGGUUUAAGCUUCUGUCACUCUAGCAACCCAUCAUCUACUUAUUACUUCCCAAUGCCUUCCUCUAGGCCCAAAUAAUGGUGAAGUGUCAUGUAGUCGACGUUCACAUAACACCACUAGAGGAGAGACAACAUACAUCUCAUCAAAAUAUCGAACGAAUACCAAAUUCACAUGACUACUAAUAGCAAGACUUAUCCCAUGUCCUCAGGAACAAAUGUAACUACUCACAAAGCAUAUUCAUGUUCAUAAUCAGAGGAGUAUUAAUAUGCAUAUAGGAUCUGAACAUAUGAUCUUCCACCAAAUAAACCAACUAGCAUCAACUACAAGGAGUAAUCAACACUACUAGCAACCUACACGUACCAAUCCCAGACUUGGAGAUAAGAAUUGGAUACAAGAGAUGAACUAGGGUUUGAGAGGAGAUGGUGCUAGUGAAGAUGUUGAUGGAGAUUGCCCUCUCCCGAUGAGAGGAGCAUUGGUGAUGACGAUGGCGAUGAUUUCCCCCUCCCGGAGGGAAGUGUCCCCGGCAGAACAGCUCUGUCGGAGCCCUAGAUUGGUUCCGCCAAGGUUCCACCUCGUGGCGGCGGAGUCUCAUCCCGAAAGCUUGAUUAUGAUUUUUCUUCGGAUGAAAGACUUCAUAUAGCAGAAGAUGGGCACUGGAGGGCCAACAGGGGGCCCACGAGGCAGGGGGGCGUGCCCAGGGGGGUAGGGCGCGCCCCCCACCCUCGUGGACAGGUGGAGGCCCCCCUGACGUGGAUUCUUCUUCCAGUAUUUUUUAUUAUUUCCAAAAAUUAACUUUCGUGGAGUUUCAGGACUUUUGGAGUUGUGCAGAAUAGGUCUCUAAUAUUUGCUCCUUUUCCAGCCCAGAAUUCCAGCUGCCGGCAUUCUCCCUCCUUAUGUAAACCUUGUAAAAUAAGAGAGAAUAUGCAUAAGUAUUGUGACAUAAUGUGUAAUAACAGCCCAUAAUGCCAUAAAUAUCAAUAUAAAAGCAUGAUGCAAAAUGGACGUAUCAAGCCCAGAUUCCGCAAAAUGGUUUAAGGCCAUGAAAUUUGAGAUAGGAUCCAUGUAUGAAUACAAAGUAUGUACUUUGGUGGUAUUGCCCGAUGAUCGGCAAGCCAUUGAGAAUAAAUGGAUCUUAAAGAGGAAGACGGAUGCUGAUGGUAGUGUUACUAUCUACAAAGCUCAAACUGUCGCAAAAGGUUUUCGACAAGUUCAAGGUGUUGACUACGAUGAGAUUUUCUCGCUCGUAUCGAUGCUUAGAGUCUGUCCGGAUCAUGUUAGCAAUUGCCGCAUUUUAUGAAAUUUGGCAAAUGGAUGUCAAAACUGCAUUCCUUAAUGGAUAUCUCAAAGAAGAGUUGUAUAUGAUCCAACCAGAAGGUUUUGUCGAUCCUAAAGGUGCUAACAAAGUGUGCAAGCUCCAGCGAUCCAUUUAUGGACUGGUGCAAGCCUCUCGGAGUUGGAAUAUACACUUUAAUAGUGUGAUCAAAGCAUAUGGUUUUAUACAUACUUGUGGUGAAGCAUGUAUUUACAAGAAAGUGAGUGGGAGCACUACAGCCUUUCUGAUAAGUAUAUGUGAAUGACAUAUUGUUGAUCGGAAAUGAUGUAGAAUUUUAUGGAAAGCAUGAAGGAGUGUUUGAAAGGAGUUUUUCAAAGAAAGACCUCGGUGAAGCUGCUUACAUAUUGAGCAUCAAGACCUAUAGAGAUGGAUCAAUACGCUUGAUAAGAUUUUUCAAUGAAUACAUACCUUGAUAAGAUUUUGAAGUAGUUCAAAAUGGAACAGUCAAAGAAGGAGUUCUUGCCUGUAUUGCAAGGUGUGAAGUUGAGUAAGACUCAAAACCCAACCACGGCAGAAAAUAGAAAGAGAAUGUAAGUCAUUCCCUAUGCCUCAGUCAUAGGUUCUAUAAAGUAUGAUAUGCUGUGUACCAGACCUAUUGUGUACCUCGCCAUGAGUUUGGCAAGAGGGUACAAUAGUGAUCCAGGAGUGGAUCACUGGACAGCGGUCAAAAUUAUCCUUAGUGGAAUAAGGAUAUGUUUCUUGGUUAUGGAGGUGAUAAAGAGUUCGUCGUAAAGAGCUACGUCGAUGUAAGCUUUGACACCGAUCUGGAUAACUCUGAGUCUCGAUCUAGAUACAUAAUGAAAGUGGGAGCAAUUAGCUAGAGUAGCUUCGUGCAGAGCAUUGUAAACAUAGAAAUUUGCAAAAUACAUACAGCUCUGAAUGUGGCAGAUCUGUUGACUAAAUUUAUCUCACAAGCAAAACAUGAUCACACCUUAGUGCUCUUGGGUGUUAAUCACAUAGCGAUGUGAACUAUAUUAUUGACUCUCGUAAACCCUUUGAGUGUUGGUCACAUGGCGAUGUGAACUAUGGGUGUUAAUCACAUGGUGAUGUGAACUAUUGGUGUUAAAUCACAUGGCGAUGUGAACUAGAUUAUUGACUCUAGUGCAAGUGGGAGACUGAAGGAAAUAUGCCCUAGAGGCAAUAAUAAAGUUAUUAUUUUAUUUCCUUAUUUCAUGAUAAAUGUUUAAUAUUCAUGCUAGAAUUGUAUUAACCGGAAACUUAGUACAUGUGUGAAUACAUAGACAAACAGAGUGUCCCUAGUAUGCCUCUACUUGACUAGCUCGUUAAUCAAAGAUGGUUAAGUUUCCUAGCCAUAGACAUGUGUUGUCAUUUGAUGAACGGGAUCACAUCAUUAGAGAAUAAUGUGAUGGACAAGACCCAUUCGUUAGGUUAGCAUUAUGAUCGUUUCAGUUUUCAUUGCUACUGGUUUCUUCAUGACUUAUACAUGUUCCUCUGACUAUGAGAUUAUGCAACUCCCGAAUACCGGAGGAACACUUUGUGUGCUAUCAAACGUCACAACGUAACUGGGUGAUUAUAAAGAUGCUCUACAGGUGUCUCCGAAGGUGUUUGUUGAGUUGGCAUAUAUCGAGAUUAGGAUUUGUCACUCUGUGUAUCGGAGAGGUAUCUCUGGGCCCUCUCGGUAAUGCACAUCAUUAUAAGCCUUGCAAGCAUUGUGACUAAUGAGUUAGUUGCGGGAUGAUGCGUUAUGGAACGAGUAAAGAGACUUGCCGAUAACGAGAUUGAACUAGGUAUGAGAAUACCGACGAUCGAAUCUCGGGCAAGUAACAUACCGAUGACAAAGGGAACAACGUAUGUUGUUAUGCGGUUUGACCGAUAAAGAUCUUCGUACAAUAUGUAGGAGCCAAUAUGAGCAUCCAGGUUCCGCUAUUGGUUAUUGACCGGAGAUGUGUCUCGGUCAUGUCUACAUAGUUCUCGAACCCGUAGGGUCUGCACGCUUAACGUUCGAUGAUGAUUUGUAUUAUGAGUUAUGUGAUUUGAUGUACCGAAGGUUGUUCGGAGUCCCGGAUGAGAUCACGGACAUGACGAGGAGUCUCAAAAUGGUCGAGACGCAAAGAUCGAUAUAUUGGAAGGCUAUAUUCGGACAUCGAAAAGGUUCCGAGUGAUUCGGGUAUUUUUCGGAGUACCGAAGAGUUACGGGAAUUCUCGGGGAGAAGUAAUGGGCCUUAUUGGGCUUUAGUGGAGAGAGGGGAUAAGGGCCAAGAGGUGGCGCGCGCCUCCCCCUCCUGCCCAAACCGAAUUGGACAAGGGGUGGGGGCGCGGCCCCCCUUUUCCUUCUCCCUCUCCCUCUCUUUCCUUCUCUCCAACUCCGAAUAGGAAAGAGGAGGGGAAUCCUACUUGGACUAGGGAGUCCUAGUAGGAUUCCCCACACCUGGCGCACCCCCCUUGGGCCGGCCACCUCUUCCCUCCCCUCCUUUAUAUACGUGGCCAGGGGGCACCCCAAAAGCACUCAAGAUUUGUCUUAGCCGUGUGUGGUGCCCCCCUCCACAGUUACACACCUUGAUCAUAUCGUCGUAGUGCUUAGGCGAAGCCCUGCACCGGUAACAUCAUCAUCACCGUCGCCACGCCGUCGUGCUGACGGAACUCUCCCUCGGCCUCAACUGGAUCAAGAGUACGAGGGACGUCAUCGAGUUGAACGUGUGCUAAACACGGAGGUGUCGUACGUUCGGUGCUAGGAUCGGUCGGAUCGUGAAGACGUAUGACUACAUCAACCGCGUUGAUAUAACGCUUCCGCUUUCGGUCUACGAGGGUAUGUAGAAACGCUCUCCCCUCUUGUUGCUAUGCAUCUCCUAGAUAGAUCUUGCGUGGUCGUAGGAAAUUUUUUUAAAUACUGCGUUCCCCAACAUACAGACCACACCAUCAGGAGCAUAGUACCCCGGUGGUAGCUGCAUAUAAACCUCCUCACGCAACUCGCCAUUGAGAAAGGCGUUCUGGACAUCAAGUUGAGAGAUAGACCAAUGACGAACAGAAGCCACAGCAAAGAGAGUGCGCACAGUGGUCAUGUGGGCUACAGGAGCGAAUGUCUCAUCAUAAUCGCGUCCCUGCUCCUGCUGAAAACCACGGGCCACAAGACGAGCUUUGUAGCGCUCAACAGAACCAUCGGAGCGAGUCUUAAUCUUGUAGACCCACUUGCAGGUGAUGGGACGAACACCAGAAGGGAGGGAAACCAGAUCCCAGGUGCCAGAGCGCUCAAGGGCAGCAAGCUCUUCGGCCAUCGCAAGCUGCCAUUCAGGCUGAGUCAUGGCAGUCCGAUAGGAAGUGGGCUCGGCAAUAACGGAGAGACCAUACCGGUUAGGAGAAUAACGAUCAGGCGGGGGCGAGGCCGAGCACGGAGGUUAUGAACCAGGGGAGGCAUGAACGGAGGUGCACCAGAGGUGGAAGGCGAGUCAGGGGAAGCAUCCUCAGUAUGAGGGCGGCGAGUAUAGUGGAGAGGAAACGGUGAGAGAGGGCGACGAACAGGAGAAGAUGGCAGAGAGGUGGAGGAGGAGGAUGGGGAAGAUGGUGUCGGUGGUGAAUGAGAAUGAGUGAGAGGUGCAGGAGGAAGAGGUGAAACAUGAGGCACAUAGCAGAGUGUAUCGGGAAGGGGAAGAAAGGAAAUAUCGUCCACAGAGAAACUCGAGGAAGAAGGACGUGGGUAGUAAGAGCGAUACUCGUCAAAGGUCACAUCACGUGAGAUGCGCAAACGACGACCAACAGGGUCCCAACAGCGAUAGCCCUUUGUUGACACCUGAUUUUGGCAAGAUACAGAGUGAAAGGGUUUUCAGCAUGAGAAAGUUUCACAUCGUCGAGUGGAACAACUUUGAUGUUUUGGCUAUCGCCAUUCGACCUCAUCUCAGUGGCCGAAGUUGUACUCCGAGUGACAAAAUUUAGUGUUCUGAGUGCUUUUCGGCCGAUUACGCCCUCAAUAUCACCUCAGAUGAAGGAGUGCUCUAAAGUAAUUGUCUUCGUCUCGUCGAGACAAUCGAUUUUCAUAUAUAAAUCAUCUCAAUCCGAGUUCGUGUGCAAAAGUUACAGUCAAUAUGGUGCGGACCAGCUAGGAAUCAAAAUAUUACGCUGGACUUCAGACACAUGUUGAUGGGUGUCUGGUACAAUGCGUGCGCAAUUAUCCCUUGAAGCUGACCUCGGAUCUAAAAGUGUUCAACAUGAAAGUUUUUCAUCCCGUCAAGCCGAUCGAUUUUCAUAUAUAAAUUGUCUCGAUCCAAGUUAGUAUGCGACCUGGGGAGGCAAGACAAGAUCAGGCUGUGUUUUCAGUCGGAAAUCCGAGUGAAAAAGUUUACCAUCCGAGUGAAAAUUUACCGGUCGAGUGAAAGUUUGCUGACCGGAUGAACUUAUUAUUAUCCGAGUAAAAAUAUAGUCAUCCAAGUGAAAUUUUCCUCCAGGUAAAAAUAUUCCGAGUGAAAAGAUUGCCAUCGGAACGAAAACUUGCCGAUCGAGUAAGAUAUUGCCUUCCGAGUGGAAAUAUAGUCAUCCGAGUGAAAGAUUGUCUUCCGAGUGAAAAAGUCCAGUCGGACGAUCCGAGCGUAAGUCUCUAAUAUCCGAGUGGAUGAGCUCGAAUCCGAGUGAAACUGAACAUGUGCCCGAAAGUUUAUCAAGAUGACCUCGGAUGAAGAAGUGUUCAAUACAGAAGUUGUGCGUAUCAUCAAGACGGUAAACUUUGGUUUUGGAGUCAUCAUCAUCAAAGAUAGUAUAUGGCCUGCAAAUUCACUACAAAACUGGAUAAUCCAGUCUACUGCAAGACCGAGUCCGACUGGAAGGUAAAGAUGACCUCGAGAAAUAUUCAAGAUGGCCUUAUUUGAAAAAGUGAUCAACAUGAGAGUUGUUCAUAUCAUCGAGGCGCACAAGUUUGAUAUUUGGGCCGUCUUGAUCGGAGAUCAUAUGCAAACUCAAUGGCCCGCGCAAGGAGGAAGACAGAAGUUGGGCCAGAUUCAGACUGAAUCCGAGUUGGAAUAGAACUAGGACUCUAGGACGUGAAUUGAUGUAAUUUUUCGUGUAAGGAAAGCCUAGAUGAAUCCUUUACUUGUACGGGAAGUCCAGCCGCCUCUUAUAUAUGUUGGGGAUGACGGCCGAUUGAACAACACACAAUCGAACAAAUCAAUAUACUACUUUUUCAUCUACGUUUUAUCUCUCCACCGUUUUUCUCUCUCGUUCUUCGCUGUUCCUCGAAUUUGAGAGCUGCGAAUCCUGAGGCUCUAGGGGCGAGCGAAUCGACCUAGGGCAGCCCAUAGCCGCCGCACUCCCUGACGGGGUCCCUCCCGGGGGUGUGGGGUUUCGGGUCUGCAAAAGCGCCCACCGACUGUCCUGCGUAUCGCGCUGUCGGUUGGGUCUCCUUCGACGUGAGCUGCGGUGCAUCACCCCCGGCGUCGAGGGUACACGUGACGUGUUCAUGUGUCAACACCCUUGUGCUCAUCACUAUAGCCAAGGAAAACACACUCAACCGACUGAGCAGUCAGUUUGGUGCGUUCUCGCGGGGCAAGAAGGACAUAGCACACACAUCCAAACAUACGAAGGGCGGAGUAGUCAGGAGAACGACCAGUGAGACACUCCAUAGGAAUACCACCCUGCAGGGUAGUCGAUGGCUGAAUGUUGAUGAGGUAGGUUGAUGCAGAAACAGCCUCAGCUCAAAAGGGAAGCGGCAAUCAUCAGCGCAUGAGCCGUCUCAAGCAAAUGACGAUGCUUAUGUUCCGCAACGCCAUUCUAAGCAUGAGCACCAGGAUAAGAGAACUGGGCAAGAGUACCCUGUUCUGCGAGAAAACCACGCAAUAGCUGGGAGAUAUACUCUCCAGCGGAGUCAGUACGAAAAGUAUGAAUAGGUGUGGAAAACUGGGUGUGAACCAUGGCAGCAAAUCGUUUGUAUGUAGAGAGAACCUCGCUACGAGAUUUCAUGAAGUAGAGCCAAGUGUAGCGAGAGAAAUCAUCAAUAAACAAAACAUAGUAGCGAUGACCACCUUUCGAAUCAAAGGGAGCAGGACCCAGACAUCCGAAUGAACUAAGUCAAAGGGAUGCUGGGAUACCGACUCAUUGAUAGAAUAAGGUAACUGGGUUUGUUUGCCAAGUCUACAACCAUUACAAUGUAAAAAAAACAUCUCCAGAUACAGACCCUAAGAGGCCCUGACGCACUAAUGAUGAUAAGCGAGAGCCACAGAUGUGACCAAGGCGAUGAUGCCACUGCUGAAAGGACGCAAACGAGGAGGCAGCAAGUGCAUGAGAACUGGCAGAAGUGGUGGCAGCAGAAGGAACACAAAGCCAGUCAACCUCCCAAAGGCCAUCUGACUCACGGCGCCGGGGGCCAGCACCAACCAAAACCUUGGUGCGACGAUCCUGAAUGGAGCAAGAGUCGGUAUCAAGAAUAACACGACAACCAGAAUCGGUAAGUUGGGCAGCGGGAAAAAGAUUCAUGGUAAGGCGAGGAACAUGAGAAACACUAGGAACCGAAAAGGACGGAGUGGAAAGAAUACCACGACUAGCAACAGGAAGAGAUGUGUCAUCGGCAGUAAGAACAUUAAUAGGAGAAUCAAGAGGGCGAAGAGAAGACAACGUUGAAGAAUCAGAGGACAUAUGAAAGUAAGCUCCAGAGUCCAGAACCCACGAAGAUGUACCUGACGGUGUAGAUGCUGGUGGUGAUGAGCUGGUGAAAGCAGUCACAGCAGCAGCAGAACCCAUCGAUGAAGAACCGGAGGAAGCCAGAAGGCGCUUGAGCCGCACAAUGUCCUGGUCAGUGAGUGACUGAGUCGGGGAAGAUCCAGGAGUCCCACUGGAAGAGGAGCGACUCUGGUCUCGCUUCUUCUCACGGCAAUCAGACUCUUGGUGACCUGGCCGCGAGCAGUAGCCACAGAAGGUGUCACGGCGCGACCGGCCCUUCUCAACAUNNNNNNNNNNNNNNNNNNNNNNNNNNNNNNNNNNNNNNNNNNNNNNNNNNNNNNNNNNNNNNNNNNNNNNNNNNNNNNNNNNNNNNNNNNNNNNNNNNNNNNNNNNNNNNNNNNNNNNNNNNNNNNNNNNNNNNNNNNNNNNNNNNNNNNNNNNNNNNNNNNNNNNNNNNNNNNNNNNNNNNNNNNNNNNNNNNNNNNNNNNNNNNNNNNNNNNNNNCAGGAGCUCGGGCAGCCAACACCGAUGGAACCACAAGCAACCCAGCAGAGCGAAGGCGGGUCUCCUCAGCACAAAGCUCGUCAAGCACCUCCGAGAUAGGCACACGACCACAAGCAAGCAAGUGAGCACGUCGAGGCUCGAACUCAGAACGAAGAUGAGAUAAGAACUCAUGGACUCUCUGAAACUCCAAAUCAGACCGCGUAGUCUGACAGCAACGGCAAGUUCCACAAACAACUGUCCGAAGAGAGUCAAGCUGGCGUCAGAUGGCAGAGCACUGUGAAUAAAACUCAUCAACAGAGGAAUCACCUUGCUGGAGUGCGUGCUCCUGACGCACCACCGAUAGGUAGAGAGCAUCACCAGAGGGCUGAUAGCGCUGACAGAGAUAAGACCACAUUGCUGCAACUGUGCCGAGUCCCAUGAACUCCGAAGCAGACUGAGGGAGAACACUCGUAGUGAGAACAGCAGCAGCUUGAGCAUCAUCAUUGCACCACUGAGUGUAAGCAGACAGAUCAUCCCGAUAGACGAAAAGAGCAUCAGAAUAGGCGGAGACCUGCUGAUCAUAAGCAUCAACCGCAGCAUCAUCAAGAGCCUUGGCUGCAUCCUGAUUAGCGUGAGAAGCAUCAGCAGCAAGCACCGGCGGUACCGGCGGGGUAGGAGCCACCGGAGCAAAAGGGCAGGGCGGACAGGGAACCUCGCCAGAGAGAACGCCCCACAGCAGAAGGCCACGCAUAUGGAUACGCAUGAAACCCGCAAACUCAGCAUAGUUGGUGCCAUCAAAGAUCACUGAGCACUGAGGGACAGCGACAUAGCCCGAAGAAGACAUGAGGAAGUCUCCCUUCUGCUUCUCUGCUUCUCCUUUUUUUUAGUCAAGGACGAGAAAGACUCGAUCUGGAUCGGAUCGAGCAAGAUUGAGGCAAAGGAGUGCUCGCUCGCGCCUGCGGCCGGGCCAACCGAGCGCCGCUCGUUCGGGAAGCAGGGACGAGCCCCGCUCGCGCCUGCUGCAAAGCCCCAGCAGCAAGUCGACCGGAAGGGAGCCAGGAGGUCGGCGGAGCUGGACCGGAAGGGGGCAGCGACGACCAGGCCGGGACGACGGCGGACGGACGAGAAAGAGGCGGCGACGGCGCGACCACCGGGCCGGGACGACGGCGGCCGAGCAGGUCGGAGGCAGCGGCGACCCGACGGGGCAGCGGGCGAACAGCUGCUAUGGCAGCAGGAGCGGGUAGGAGGCCCGAACGAGCCGAAGACAGCUCUUGCCGGACGGAGAAGGCAACAGCGCAACGAUUCUGGGCCGGGGACUGAAGGGGAGACGACCGGAGACGGUCCACGGCAGGCCAAGACGGGCAGGCUAGGCACAAUGCGCACGGAGUUGCAGCGUGCGAGAAGAAGAGGCUAACCUGGCAUCUGAUACCGUGUUGGAGAAUCAGCAACUAAUAUUCACUGAGGGCCAAAGACCAUUACAUAUGGUAAAGUGCAAGAAACUCCUCAUACAAUGGGGAUAUACCGAAAAGGGACUAUAUACAUCUAACAAUAUUUUGGCGUUCAUGUAUGGGGUACCUCAUUUGGAGCUUUGCAAGGUUUGCACUGGAAAGCAUACAGACAUAGGCUCUGUUUGGAUGUAGAUACUCAAGCCACGGAAUUGAAAGGGGGUGUUUAUCGGAAUUUGCUUAUCAGUACUACUAUAUGUCAGAGUCGAAAAUUUCUAGUACACUGAUUCUGGACGAUCGCACUUUCUCUUUUGUCUGACCGAAUUUAAAAUGUUGUACCAACAUUGGCCAUACCCGUAUUCUGCAUGAAUUUCCUCUGGACAAUUUGCUUUCCUAGUUGCUUUACUUUCUAAACAUGCUACCAGGAUCUCGGAAUCACGACCGUUAAGAGCUCCCUCAUAACUGCAGGUCGCGGUACAUGGCCUCUGUUUGAUGAAAUCAGAAUAGUCGAGAACAAAGUGGCUAACUGGUGCGUAACUGUGGGAAUCUGACAAACAGUUCAGCCAAAUUCUGAAGAAUAUAGAAGUGAUUCGAUAGAACACACAGAACAUGUUGCUAUUACAAUACGGCAACAAAUAAUAAAGCUCUGGCUUCAUACGUUAGUCAGCAUUGUAUUUAUUUCAACAAAGAGAGAAAAACAAAGCACUUACCUAAGCUUGCAGUAGUUCUAGUUCUCAAAACACCAUUAUGGAUGGAGAAUAUAUGCAUAAAAGUCCACGAGAACAACAUAGGGCAACUCGAGCAGAGCUCGUACUAACUUCCUACACGGCGCUCUUCUACCAGUGUUCUCUACUGGUAGUUCCUCCCUGGCCCGUCCCUUCCCUCAUAUGGAGGGGCCGCGUUGUUGUAGUUACCACCACCUUGGUAGCCUGGGUUACCACCUGGUUGGCCCUGGUAGUCUGGUGCACCACCACCAUAGCUAGGACCACCGCCUUGGUAGGGAGGAGGCUGGUUGCCACCUGCGAAAGGCGGCGGCGGGUUGCCUCCUGGCGCUCCACCCUGGUAUCCAGGGUUGUUGCUAUGGUAGGCUGGGCCUGGUCCAUUGUGCAUGUUGCCACCAGGAUUACCCUGGUAACCUUGGUUGCCAGCUGGGUAGCCAGGGGCUGAGGCACCUCGGUAUCCAGGGGGUGGUGGUGCAUUUGGAUAGUUUGGUCCACCUCCUGCAGCAUAGCCUGCCUGUGGGUUUGGUGCAUGGGGCUGGUAAUUUGGUGGAGCACCUGAAAGCGGCGGCGGGCCCUGUGCACCGCGACUUGGAGGAGCAGCAUCAUGGGGUGGCAUUUGGUUUGGAGGACCACUCUGGUAGGCCUGUGUGUUCUCCCUUCUCCUUUCAAAGUUCCUCGACCUGUCAAAGUUGCGAGGCCUGUCAUUGCGCCGGGAUCUAUCAUUGGCACGGGCAUUGUUUCUCACCCACUCCUCAUGGUAUUUGGGGUCGUAAGGAACAGCUUGUCCAUCUAUAAAUGGUUCUCCUGAAAUACAAGAACAGGCAUCAAAUACACUCUCUUUACAUAUGGACACAGAUGAAAACUGGAAAAAGUGCACAAGCUCAAAUAAUCCAGGGAAGAAACGGCAGGUUAAAAUGUUAAAAGCUGCCACCUCAAGGGGAUCAAAUUGCCAGGACAGAAUGACAAACACUUGAUACUAUAAAUCGUCUUGCACAAAGCACUCGACAGGCUAGAUAGUCAUACAGAUUUGCAUUUUUAUCUUAGGAUAUAGCCCUUAUCUUAUACUGUACUAGGAUAUAUAGUUCUAGCAGGACGAUGUAUACUUUAAACAAAAGCUGGAAACUACAGAAGCACUACCAUAUAGCUCUCAUAUCAAUUUUGAGUUGUACUCUGUUAUAUUCAGGUUUCAUCAGAAGACAGAAGUUUGUAGUUUGUAGCGUUACCAAAAAGUUACAGGGGCCAACAUAAGCUCAUACUUCAAUUAAAAAUUAACGAAGUUGUCAACAAACACCAUUUCUUUCAGUUGAAAAGAUAUUUUACAUACUGGUUACAUCCUUUACUAUAUACUGUAGGAAUGAAGAUACAGAGAGCAGUCAAGAUUUAACUCAGAUACUAGAAAACUCCACGAUAACAACAAUGAGACAUUCAUCACUAAACAGAUAAAUGCUUAACUACAAAUCAACGGGGUACAGAAGCAAAUCAGCAGAACAAAUAAGAUAACAAUGAUGAUCAUUGUUUAAUAAAUGGAAAAAUAUUCUGACAGGAUAACAAUAUUAACCUUUUGAGUAAAAAUACAAUUCCUAAAAUGCAUGUGCUACAGGAAAUUACAACAUCUAGGAAAAGUAUUAUAUAGGGAUUCUGAAAAUUCCUAGAUCUGGAAUUAAGAUAAUCAUAACACACAACAUCAUAGUAGCAGCACAGAGUGGUAAAUCUAUUACCUAGUCAGGGAAAGAGCAACAGGCAUUUAAAAUUAUUAUACUGUAGUCAAUAUUCAGUCAGAUAGUACAUAAUCAUUACCUCCAUAGUCCUUAUUUCUGACAUCCAGGUAUGAAUCAGGAAGAACCCAACGGACUUUAGGCAACUCUGAAAACAAUAAUUUAGGGGCAUUUAACACAAGAUCAUUUUAAGUCACCUUCAUAAAAAGAUCACAUACAAGACUUUUCAUGUAAUGAUCAAUACCUUUGAGUUUGUAGGAGAGUUCCUCAGAUACUAGGGCACCAAAAGCAAAAUAAUGCCUAGUUGACACAGAGUAGAUCUUCAUCCUUGCUUCGUCUUCACUGGAACAUAGGAAAGAUCCAAGAUACAGAUAUGUUAUGAAUAGCACAUAGAUGACUGAAAACACGUUUCAUGUUAAGACUGGAGACAAUUAAAACAUAAAGAAGAAUUAUGUUCUAUUCUCAUCAAACCAAUAAGUUGUUAUGGUCCAGAGGCAAACAAAAAUACUAAGAAAUGGUUAAACUGCAACAGAUGUCCAUGAACAAAGUUAAUGAACUCACAGUUGUCUAGGUACCAAAACAGAUAGUAAGCAUGAUCCCCAAGUAAGAAUCACAAAUGAUAAAUGUGAAAGGAGCAUUAAAAUGAUAAAAUUGCACAAAAAUGAGAUAGGAACAAUGGACACAUUAUCACACUUCUCCAAUUCCGACUCAUAACCCAUGGAAUCGAUAAAAAUACCUCCAUCAGUAAAUCUACAAAAUAACCAAACUUCAACGACCCCUCUCUAACUGAGUCUCUACACCCACUAAUUUCCAAACACCCUGAAACAUGUCGGUGCAUCAGAACAAUACCCCACCCAGAUAGACCAUACAAAUGAAUCCCCACUCUGUCAUAACCAUACUACCAUAGUCAAUAUUGCAUAUAAAAGACUAAGAACAACGAGCAUGAUCUCUAAAACAGUGAUCAGAGCAUCAAACAGUCGUCUCUAUUCAACUAACAUAGCAAUUUCAUACAUCCAUGAGGUCAUUAUUGCUGCAUAAUAAAUUAAAAAAGCCCUGGUCAGGAACUGGUAAAAUCUAUGUACACACAAAUUGGAGGCUAGUAUCACAACAGACGCUAGCACGCCAUCAACUACACCACCUUAACAACGAUCGCCAUUCCCCACCCCGAAUCCCCUCCACAGAAUCCAGAUCCAAACAUACGCACCAUAAAACUACCCUGAUGUGAGGAGCGCGUCAGUGCGGGAGGGGGAUGUGGCACGGGGAGCCAUACCUUCCGACGACCUGGGCGAGGGUCUUGAUGUACCCGUCGAUGAUCUCAUCGCGGGUGACAUCGGGGUUGGCGCCGUCUCCUGGGGGCGGCUCCAUGACGACAAGCCAGUGCUCGAAGUCGCACCCGUCGAGGAGGAUCGUCUCCUUGGGCGGGCGGUUGCUCCAGUUCGGGGACGAGUCCCGCAGCGACGAGUUCGCCGGCUGCGUCGCGAAUCGCCUCGCCGCCGCCCAGGGCGCCGCGGCGGGGGACGGGACCAGCGCCGCCGGGAGGAGGCUCCCCGCGGCCGCGACCGGGCGGAGGAAGCGGGAGGCGGCGGCGUGGAGGGGCGAGGCCCUGGAGAGGAGGAGCGCGCGCGACGCCGACGCCAUGGUGGAAAACCCUAGCGGGGAUGGGGGAUGGGGGAAUGGGACGGGGAGUUACCACGGGGGUUUAAGGCUUCAGCGAGAGUGCGAUUUAUAGAGGGGCCCGUGUUCUGUUGCGGCCGAGAAAUAUCUUCAUUCCCUGGGCUUGGGCUGUGAAGAGUGUGAUCUGUUGUAUUAGGAAUAUGGGCCUCCAUGUGUGAUGGGCCGCAAAAAAAGCUCGAUGCGAUUCGAUUUCGGCCUAGGAUCUAAGCCUUUUUUCACGUGUUUACGUGCCAAUCAAAAAAUAACACAGCUGUCUCAAAAAGAAAAAGGAAAAACAGCUCUGGCACCAUAGUCAGCAGUCAGCACUGUGUUUAUUUCGAUAUAAAGUGAACAAACAAUGAGGACAUACGAAAACAUAGUCAGCAUUGUGUUUAUUUCGACAGUGGGAAUACAAUGAGCACUUAGCUAAGCUUCUAGUAAUUCUAGUUCUCAAAACACCACUAGGGAGAGAGAAUAGUAUACAUGCAUAAAAGUCCAUGAGAGCAACAAACGAGAGUACAAGACACGAGCAGAGCAUGUACGAACUUCCUACGCGGUGCUCUUCUAGCAGUGUUUCUCUAUUGGUAAUGCCUCCCUGGCCCGUCCCUGCCCUCAUAGGGCGGUGGUGCGGCAUUGUUGUAGUUGCCACUGCCCUCCUGGUAGCUUAUGUUUUGGUAUCCUUGUGCACCACCACCAUAGCUAUGACCAACGCCUUGGUAGGGAGGAUUGCUGCCAUCUGCAGAAGGGGGCGGCGGAUUGCCACCUGGCCCUCCACCAUGGUAUCCAGGGUUGUUGCUCGGAUAGGCAAGGCUUGGACCACCGUGCAUGUUGCCACCAUGGUUACCAUCUUGGUUACCCAGGAGUUGGGGCACCUUGGUAUCCAGGGUGUGAUGUGUUCUGAUAGUUUGGUCCCCCUGCUGGAACAUAGCCUGAUUGUCGGUUUGCUGCAUGGGGCUGGUAAUUUGGUGGUGGCGGCCCCUCUGUAGGGCGCACUGGAGAAUCAUCGCGGGGUGGCAUUUGGUUCUGGUCGGGAGACUGCUAACUUGGUGGAGCAGGCCUGCUUUGAUAUGUGUUCUCCCUUCUCUUGUCAAAGUUGCGAGUUCUGUCGCCGCGGUUGUGCUGGGGUUCAUUAGCACGACGAUUGUUAAUCACCCAUUCCUCAUGGUAUUUGGGAUCGUAAGGAACAGCUUGCCCAUCAAUAAAUGGUUCCCCUGAAAUGCAAGAAAAGGCAUCAGAUACACCCAGAUAUCUUUACCACGUGAAGAAGAUGAAAAAUGAAUAUGUUGCACAAUCUCAAAUCAUCCAGGGAAACGCAACAGGUUAAGAUGUUAAAGCUGCCACCUCAAGGAGCUUAGAAGGCCAAGACAGAACGACAAACACUUGAUAUGUUAAUAAGAGAGACAGCUUGCAGCCAAAAACGCAUACCACUAGGAGGACUAUAUAUAUAAUUAUAUUUUAAACAAACACUAGCAACUAGAGAAGCGGUUCGGUGCCGUAUACUUAGCUUGAAAAACGUUCUUGUAUUAUGGAACGGAGGGAGUAGCUCCCAAUUAAUUUUAAAUGAACUGUGUAAUAUUCAGGUUUCAUCAAAAACAAAAGUUUGUGGUUGGUAACAGUGGCCAACGUAACCUCCUAGUUACGUACCAGUUAAUCAAGUUGUCACCAAUGCAUAUGUAUUGGUGACAUCCUUUACUACAUACUGUAGAAAUGAAGAUACAGAGAGCAGUGAAGAGUAUACUCAAAUACUAGAAAAUUCCACAUGAUACCGAUGAUGAGAUGUUCACCACUAUAGUUUACUGCUAAACUAUAAUGCAAAGGGCUACAGGAAUUGCAGCACAAAUUGGAUUCCAACAGUGAUCAUUAAUCAAUAAAUGGAAAAAUAAUCUGAAGGUAAAGCAUGUCCUAAGACUUUGAGUAAAAAUACAAUUCCUAAAAGCAUGUGCUAGACGAAAUUACAACCUCAAACAGAAGUAUUAUAUAGGGAUUCUCAAAAUUCCUAGGUCUGGAACAUGCAAUUAAGAUAGAUGCUCAUAACACAACAUAAUAAAUAGCAGCAGAGUGGUAAAUCUAUUAACUAAUCAGGGGGUAAGCAGCAACCAUUUCAAAUUAUUAUAGUGGACAAGUAAGGUAGGAAGCACAUAAUCAUUUACCUCCGUAGUCCUUGUUUCUGACAUCCAGAUAUGAAUCAGGAAGGACCCAGCGGACCUUAGGCAACUCUGGAGAUAAAAAUUUAGAGGCAUGAGGUUACACGAAGACCAUGUGAAGUCACCUUCAAAAAAAGUUGCCAUACAAAAAAUUUCAUGUAAUGAUCAAUACCUUUGAGUUUAUAGGAGAGUUCGUCAGAUAUUAGGGCUCCAAAGCAAAAUAAUGCCGAGUUGACACAGAGUAGAUCUUCAUCCUUGCUUCUUCUUCACUGGAACAUAUAGGAAAGAUUAUUCAAGAUACAGAUAUGUUAUGAAGCACAAAGAUGAUUUAAAACACAUUUCAUGUUAGGACUGGAGAGAACCAAGACAUCAGGGAGAACUCUGUUCUGUUCUCGAAGCAAUGAGUUGUUAUGGUUCAGAGAGGCAAACAAAAUUACUAAGAAAUGGUGAAAGGAAGUUAGUGCACUGAUAGUCGUCUAUGUACAUACAAAUAACUGAUACCAAGCAUGCUCCUCAAGCCAGAAUCACCAUCAGCACAAAUGAUUGAGUGUGAUUCUUGAAUGAAUAUGCAUAGAAAUCAUCAUGUAAUUAAAUGAUUAAGUGACACAAAAACAGCUAGGUAAGGUAAACUUAUCGCACUUCAACAACUCCGAGCCAUUACACAUCAAAUCGAUAAAUCACCUCCAUAAGUAAUAAAUCUACAAAAUAACCAAACUUCAUCUACCAAUCUUCAACCCAGUUCCUUGCCCGCUAAAACACUUACAAAUAUAGCUGUGCCUCAAAAUGAGACCUUGAAACACAGACCGGCAAUAUGAACUUGCCAUUCUGUCAUAAGAUUCCCAUAGUCAAUAACAUCAAAAUGAGACCUCGCAAUACAGACCGACGAUAUGAACUUCCCAUUCUGUCAUAAGAUUCCCAUAGUCAAUAACAUCAAAAUGAGACCUCACUACAGACCAACUAAAUCAAUUCCCCAUUCUGUCAUAAACAGACUGCCAUGGUCAGUAAUGAACAUGAUAGACUGGAACUACUAGCACAAUCUCUAAUAUGGUGAUCAGAGAAACCCUGCUAACAGAAACCGGUACUCCUCUUUUCACUUCUCUGUACACACAGUGGAGGCUAGUAUCACUUCUCUGUACAACAUACCCCGCACCAACUUACUAAUCCCUCGACAUUCCCCACCCCGAAUUCCCCAGACAAAUUGGAAGUUUGGAACAUACGCUCCAGAGUCCAGAACCUCGAGGAUGUGAGGCGUGCGUCAGUGCGGGAGGGAAAUGUGGUACUGGGAUCCAUACCUUCCGAUGACCUGAGCGAGGGUCUUGAUGUAGCUGUCGAUGAUCUCGUCGCCGGGGAUGUCGUUGGCGCCGUCGCCUGGGGGCGGCUCCAUGAGGACGAGCCAGUGCUCGAAGUCGCACCCGUCGAGGAGGAUCGUCUCCUUAGGCGGGCGGUUGCUCCAGUUCGCCCGCAGUGACGAGUGAGCGGGCUGCGUCGCGAAUCGCCUGGCCGCCGCGGCCGAAAACGGGACCGGCGCCGCCGGGAGGAGGCUCCCCGCGGCGGCGAGCGGGGAGGCGGGAAAUGGGGUGGAGUUAGAGACGAUGGGGUUUAAGGCUUUAGCUGAGAGUGCGCGAAGCUAACCAACGUACAGCCCUAGUCGAGUAAAUAGCAUAAAACUACUAUUUUACACGUUAGGGUUCCAAAAAACUACCGGUUUUUAAUUUUUCUUAGAUAACUAUCAAAUAAGUGGUCCGCUGUUUCAAAAAACCUAAAUCACCGAGUCUUUAUAAGUUGAUCGUGAUUAUGACAGUUCGGGCCCACAUGUAAGAUAACCGUUUGUUUGACCGUUUACUUUGACCGUUAACUUACAUCUGGGUCCCACAUGUAAGUUUUUAAAAAAGCAUCCGGGUCCCUGUAAGUUUUCUGAAAAAAGCAAUCAGGUCCCUGUGACUUUUCUGAAAAAGCAAUCGGGUCCCCAUGCAGCCACGAGCUCGAUCCCGCUUGGCAGGGCAGCGAUGCUUCCUCCGGCCGGCGAGCCGCGCCUACAGCGGCGGAAUCCAUGUCGUGCACCACCUGAGGCCGGUCAGCCGCGCCCGCAGCGGCUGGAUCCACGCUGGUCAUCGCCUGAGGCUGGUGAGCCUCACCCGCAGCGGCCGCCAUGCCGUGCCUCUCCUGCGACCGCCGCCAUGCCAUGACUCCCCUGUCGCCUUGCCGUGCCUCGCCUGCGGCCACGCCAUGACUUGCGAGUCACCUGCCGCCACGCCGCGCCUUGCCUGCGUCGGCCCCCAUCCCCUGCCGCGAGCUCCUCAAGCUCGACGCGACGGCCUGCGCCGCUGUGGAGUACGCACCUCCCGUCGCCGCGGACGAGGUCGGCCUCGUCGCCACCGUCGCCACCAGGAGCUCCGGCGAGCACCUGCCACGACUGUUGGGACGCUGGUGUGACGCCCGGAUAAUUAAGCUACAGUAAUCCCUCGUUAACGAUGCCACGUCACCCCGUUACUAUUGAUAAACUCUUGAUGGUUCAGAACCGAAACAAAUUCAAAAUUUAAAUAAAAGCAAACAACAAAAAUUUUCAGAUGUUAAAACUAAAAUGUUCGGAUCGUGACAAAUAUUGCGUAGGUAGUUAUGGUGAAGAAACAACAUUUUUAUAAAAAGUUUAAAUGCACUUAAAUGAUUAAAACAGUAGUUAAAACUAUUAAAUAAAUGCCUUUGAUAUUUUAUAAAAUCAUAAACUAUUUUAUCUUGAGGUAAAACUUUUUAGGGUAGUGGGUUGUUUUGGCACAUUAAUUUGGAGCUAUUGUCAUAUUUUACUGAACUAAGAAUAAAGUGUAACUAAAAUAAAACAGAAAAGGAAAAAGAACUAAAACUAAAACAAACAAAAAAGGAAAAGAAAAACAACUGCCCCCCUGACUGGGCCUUGGCCCAGUUGGCCGUGUGGCCGAGCGGCCUGCCGGCCCACCCUCACCCCCGCAACCCUAUCCACCCCGUCGCCCCCANNNNNNNNNNNNNNNNNNNNNNNNNNNNNNNNNNNNNNNNNNNNNNNNNNNNNNNNNNNNNNNNNNNNNNNNNNNNNNNNNNNNNNNNNNNNNNNNNNNNNNNNNNNNNNNNNNNNNNNNNNNNNNNNNNNNNNNNNNNNNNNNNNNNNNNNNNNNNNNNNNNNNNNNNNNNNNNNNNNNNNNNNNNNNNNNNNNNNNNNNNNNNNNNNNNNNNNNNNNNNNNNNNNNNNNNNNNNNNNNNNNNNNNNNNNNNNNNNNNNNNNNNNNNNNNNNNNNNNNNNNNNNNNNNNNNNNNNNNNNNNNNNNNNNNNNNNNNNNNNNNNNNNNNNNNNNNNNNNNNNNNNNNNNNNNNNNNNNNNNNNNNNNNNNNNNNNNNNNNNNNNNNNNNNNNNNNNNNNNNNNNNNNNNNNNNNNNNNNNNNNNNNNNNNNNNNNNNNNNNNNNNNNNNNNNNNNNNNNNNNNNNNNNNNNNNNNNNNGCCUCCCCGUCCUCCUCCCCGCACACGUUGCCUGUACCCUACAUUCGUCGUGAGCCGCCACCUCCCUCCUCCUCCCUCUCCUCCUCUGUACGUGUGCGCGUCCGCCGUCAUCGCGCUCCCCGCGCGGGCUCCCGCUGCCCCAUCCGCCGACCACCUCUUCCCCUGCCCGUCACCCACCUCCGGCCAACCCGCCGCCCGCGCCUUGCCUCCCUCCCGUGUGCCUGCUGCUGCUACUGCCUCGCGCCAGGCCCAGUCCCCCUUCCACUGCCGACGACGUCUGCGUGCGCGCCUCGCCGCGCCCGCCGGAGACCGCCCUUGCCUGCACGCCUCCUCGCCCACGCUCACCCCCUACGCAUGUGGCCGCGCCCCCAGUCGCCCGCCUCAGCCGGCGGCGCCCACCUCCGCCCGGGCCUGCUCGCGCCCCCUGUGCCGAGCCUUCCCACGGCCAACACCAUGGCCGCCGGCGUCGUACUCUACGAGUACGUACGUACGGGCACAGCCACACCAGAGGCCGAUUUGGGCCACUGGCACAUGGGCCUGACCCCCCUGUUAAUUAGGGAGGCCCUAAUUAGUUUAGCCCCAAACCCCCUAAUUAAGCUAAGUAAACUUAGUCAAAAACCUGUUAAUUAAAAUGAGUCAAUGACAAUUGGGACCCACAUACGCUGUUCACAUUGGACUAGUCAAAAUAUUGACUGGGUCAACCCAGCCCCUGGCCCCACAUGUCAUACAGAUGCACACAUUGCUGGGCACACUCCUGUGUACCCAUAGCAAUUUGUCUUUUUAUUAUUUCGAAUUAAAUUAAAUGCAGAAAUCCCAGGAUUUGUUUAAAUCUUUGAAAAAUCUUAGAAAAUAAACCGUAACUCGGAUGAAAAAGUUUUAUACAUGAAAGUUGCUCAGAACGACGAGACGAAUCCGGAUACGCAGCCCGUUCGUCCACCACACAUCCCUAACCUAUUGAACCUGCAACAUUUCACCUCCGGUUCGUCUGUCCGAAAACGUGAAACACCGGGGAUAUUUUCCCGGAUGUUUCCCCCCUUCACCGGUAUCACCUCAUACCGCGUUAGAACACGUCUAGCUCUGCCUGUUGUCCUGUUAUGCACUUGCUUGCUAUGUAUUUACUGUUUCUCCCCCCUCUUCUCUUCGGUAGACCCCGUGACGAUGCUGAUGCCCCUGUGGUCGACUACGUCACCGAUGACCCCUCCUUCUUGUCUGAGCAACCAGGCAAGCCCCCCCCCCUUGAUCACCAGAUAUCACCUAUUCUUCUCUAUACUGCUUGCAUUAGAGUAGUGUAGCAUGUUACUGCUUUCCGUUAAUCCUAUACUGAUGCAUAGCCUGCCCUUGCUUCUACUGUUGAUACCUUUACCUGCAAUCCUACUAUUUAGUAUAGGAUGCUAGUGUUCCAUCAGUGGCCCUACACUCUUGUCCGUCUGCCAUGCUAUACUACUGGGCCGUGAUCACUUCGGGAGGUGAUCACGGGUAUAUACUAUAUACUUUAUAUACAUGACACAUGUGGUGACUAAAGUCGGGUCGGCUCAAGGAGUACCCGCAAGUGAUUCUGAUGAGGGGGCUGAAAGGACAGGUGGCUCCACCCCGGUAGAGGUGGGCCUGGGUUCCUAACGGCCCCCGACUGUUGCUUUGUGGCGGAGCGACAGGGCAGGUUGAGACCACCCGGGAGAGGGGUGGGCCUGGCCCUGGUCGGCGUUCGCGGAUACUUAACACGCUUAACGAGAUCUUGGUAUUUGAUCUGAGUCUGGCCAUUUGGUCUAUACGCACUAACCAUCUACGCGGGAGUAGUUAUGGGUAUCCCGGCGUCGUGGUAUCAGCCGAAGCCUUCUUGACGUCAGCGACUGAGUGGCGCGCGCCGGAUUGGACUGGAACGCCACUAGGCUAGGUCUGCUUCCGGCCGCGUACGCAACGUGCAGGAGUGCAUAGGGCGAUGGGCCCAGACCCCUGCACGCAUAGGGUUAGACCGGCGUGCUGACCGCUCUGUUGUGCUUAGGUGGGGCUGCGGCGCGUUGAUCUUACGAGGCCGGGCAUGACCCAGAAAAGUGUGUCCGGCCAAAUGGGAUCGAGCGUGUUGGGUUAUGUGGUGCACCCCUGCAGGGAAGUUUAUCUAUUCGAAUAGCCGUGUCCCUCGGUAAAAGGACGACCCGGAGUUGUACCUUGACCUUAUGACAACUAGAACUGGAUACUGAAUAAAAUACACCCUUCCAAGUGCCAGAUACAACCCGGUGAUCGCUCUCUAACAGGGCGACGAGGAGGGGAUCGCCGGGUAGGAUUAUGCUAUGCGAUACUACUGGGAGGACUUCAAUCUACUCUCUUCUACAUGCUGCAAGAUGGAGAUGGCCAGAAGCGUAGUCUUCGACAGGACUAGCUAUCCCCCUUUUAUUCUGGCAUUCUGCAGUUCAGUCCACUGAUAUGCCCCUUUACACAUAUACCCAUGCAUAUGUAGUGUAGCUCCUUGCUUGCGAGUACUUUGGAUGAGUACUCACGGUUGCUUUUCCCCCUCUUUCCCCCUUUUCUUUUCUAUCUGGUUGUCACAACCAGAUGCUGGAGUCCAGGAGCCAGACGCCACCGUCGACGACGACACCUACGACACUGGAGGUGCCUACUACUACGUGCAGGCCGCUGACGACGACCAGGAGUAGUUAGGAGGAUCCCAGGCAGGAGGCCUGCGCCUCGUUCGAUCUGUAUCCCAGUUUGUGCUAGCCUUCUUAAGGCAUACUUGUUUAACUUAUGUCUGUACUCAGAUAUUGUUGCUUCCGCUGACUCGUCUGUGAUCGAGCAAUUGUAUUCGAGCCCUCGAGGCCCCUGGCUUGUAUUAUGAUGCUUGUAUGACUUAUUUAUGUUGUAGAGUUGUGUUGUGAUAUCUUCCCGUGAGUCCCUGAUCUUGGUCGUACACAUUUGCGUGCAUGAUUAGUGUACGGUCAAAUCGGGGGCGUCACAAGUUGGUAUCAGAGCCGACUGCCUGUAGGAAUCCCCCUUUCCACACUCCUUGGCCGAAGUCGAGUCUAGACAUUACAAAACUUUUACUAACAUGGCUGUGUGUCUUACGGGCCCACGUCGCCAUUGGGUGGUAUUAGUAUCUUUACUCCUUGCCUAUACUCUGGGACUCUGAUCUCUCUUCUAUUCGGGUUAAGUGAAUUUUACUAAAUCUAACAGUAGGAUCUCGUUAUCACUUUCACCCGGAGAGCCCCUUGUUACUGAUGAUCGUCGGCUGCACGUGAAGACCCCGAAGAUACUCUCUGAUGAUAACCCGAGGACUUGUGUUCAUCGCUUUUGCAAUUCCCUUUCAUCGAUGAACUCCUAUGAAUAACCACGUAUACUCGCCAUUCAUACAAUGUUUCCCAGUUGAUCUUGUUAUUACAAGAUACCCCGAAAUUCUCUUUGUUGUUCCGAGAAUCCUAUGAGCUUACUGCCUUGCUGUUCUUUGUCACCUGAAUACCCCUACGAAUAAUUCUCGCACUUACCGAGUAUCCAGUCAUCCCCAGUUGAUUCAAGUAUUCCACAAUAGUCUUCAAAAUACUAUUCGAUCUUCCGAAAAUCCUCAGGAGCCUAUUGCUCUUGAAAUUCUUGUUUGCUUGCAUUAUGGUUAAUCCCAAAAUUCUCGUAAUCUUAUUGGCAUCUCUUGUCAUUAUCAUUUUGAGUCCGUUGAUUCAAUUUGUUGCGAAUGCUCGCAAUCCUCAAUCAUAUCCUAGAAUUCAUUCUUCCGGCUCAGACGUCAUGUUAAACGUGAGCUGGAUCUCGACCUAUCAAAUUGCCAUCGAUUGUACCCCUAAGCCUACUCAACUUAUCCAUCCUUGAUCAGAGCGUUGCUUCUGACCCCAUGAUUUGGAAAUCAUAAUUCUUUUGCAUUUGAACUUUGAGUUAGUCAGUUGUUUCUAUAAUCAGAUCUCCUUGCAUUCUUCUUACUCUGGUUGAGUACCGAUGCUCACAUCAGAUCCCUAGUGGACCAUCGGUUCCUUUGUUGGAUUUUAUCCGACAGUGUCCUUCAUAUUGAACAACCUUGUGAGCCUUUCCAUGGGUUUAUAAUGCAUUUGGUAAAUUGUAUCAUCUGUUUUUGAACAAUGCUCUUCUUUCGAGCUUGUAAUAUUUACUCCGAAGUUUGUGGUAUAUGUUCCUAAGAUGCCUUGAUGGGUUGAACCUAUGCCUUCCUUAAUAUGUGUGAACUCGAAAGUUUUCACGAGUCAUACUCUCCUGGUAUUUUGCCAUAUAAAAUUUCAACACUACAACUUCAUCGAACGCGAGAAGUAAAUGAAAAGGAUAUGCAUUGGAGAAGUGGGAGUCGACCUUGAACUUUGUGUUCAUGCCCAUGGACACGAUGUAGAUCUUAUCAUUAAAAGCUUCUCUUAAAUUAAUUAUUCCCUUGGUAUAAGUUCAUCUUAUAUCUGGGAUCUGGCCUUUUGCAAUCGUGGUUCCGACCAUGUUCUCCUUUAAAUACCAUUUCUCCUGCAAGUUUAAGCACUUGUCUUCUGCAGAGCAAUACCCUAGUCCAACCUCUACUUUGAUCUGUCGUCGAGCAUUACCCCUUGGUAUCUCGAGAUUAUCACGGAACCGCAUAACUUCUUAUGAGUUCUUCAUCAAGUACUACAUUCUCACGGGUUACUAUUCUUCCUGAGUUUUGAGUGGUUAAUCACUCGAGUACCCCGAUAAUUGAAUCGAGUCCGCACUACGGUUCAACAACUUUUAGUAAUUUUCCUUACCUACGAGUUUGUACCCGAUCGCGUCAUUCCUAGCCUGUUUGGCUAUAUCAUUAUCUUGAUGAUUUUAACUGUGCUACCUGGUCCUUAUUCCCGGAGCACCACUUUCGACGAUAAUGCUAAGCUUACGUCGAUUUUCCUCGUCAUAUCGUUUCACCUCGAACAACAAACUUGACCCCGAGUUUGUGUGCUACUCGUGGUUCCAAUAACCUUUCGCUUUCAUCAUUCCUUUGACUUAAUGUCAUCGUCGAUCAAUUACAUCUUCUUGAAAACCUCUCGAAAAAUUUGUCGUGAUCAUUGUCAACAAAUUUGACUUCUUCCAAGUUGUGUGUCGAAAAUUCAGGAUGAGAAAUACCAUCCUUGCCCCUCGAUGAAUUAUGUUAUCAUCGACAACAUCCUUACCUCCCCCCCAACACGAACUUGUUCAUAUUUUGUGUUGUAUCUUGAUUUCCCCUACUAUCCAACUUAUGUUAUGUUCUACCGUGGAGUAUUACCAUCUUUGAUGUCAAGAAUGUCGUGAACAUUACUCCACCUCUUAAGAAUUCUUGGUACAGUGAUACUUCUCACCAUCACCAUUCUUUCUUGGUCCCCGUGUUGUUUCUAAACGAAAUACCGACAAAUGGUCUGUGAUGUGUAGAUUCUAAACUUCUAGCAACCCUAUUGCUUUGAAGUUAUUGGUCUAUAGUUUCAUUCUACGUCUAUGGCUUAAUGAAUCAUCAUUCGGACAUUGAUCGUGCUACCUAGCCCAUAUUUCGGGUGCACAUUUCAACCAAUGUUUAACUGUGUAUGUUUUCCUCGAGCAUACAUCAUUAAGUCAUUCGAUCUAGCUAAUGUUAUCUCCUUGUUCACAUAGUGGUGGAAAUCCAUCUUUUGGUAAUCUCAAUGGAUUGUCGCUGAGUCAAGCAGUCACCUCCUCACCUCUCCUUGAUUUAAUUAUGAACCCUUGUUCGGAACUCGCUUCCAUGGUUCAUUUCCCGAGAAUCUUACAAUGUCAUCCCAUCAAUUUGUGUUGCACCUUUCUUCUCAGGCCUCCUAUGUCUGAGUUAUCCUGACACCAAUCAGAUCUGAAUCUCGGUAAGAUAUGAUGGUUGGAACAUAUUUCCAAGAGUUAUAACAUUGGCCUAUUUAUGACCCGGUAAGGUGAUGAUACCCAGCACACCUGGCGGGAGGACCUAUUGUUAUAAGUUUUCCCUUUUAGCAAGGUUAGCUGUUCUUCCAUGAGGAAAUUGUAAGACUUAUUCUAUAAGUUGUUCCUGAUGGAUCCUUUUUGUUUCCAAAGUCUGAUCUUCACCUGUUGACCAUGUCAAUGCUAUCUCGAAGCAUGUCUAUGGUACUCCGAUUUUCAACAGGAACAUUUGAAGCCCAAUGCUAAAUGUUUCCUGCUCAAUUAUCCAAACACCGUUGUAUGGGUAAUGUCAUGAAAUUUCUCUCCCCUACCUAAAGAGUUUUCUACAUUAUAUCCUGUCAUGAAUAUCAUGCUCAGCUUGUCCUUGGGAAGGAUAUAACCUUGAAAUGUGUGUUUAAACACAUUUUCCUUUCCAUUCUUCUGUUUAAUCUGAUAAUCAUAUUUUCCUUUCCAUUGUGUGGUUUAACCUUUCUGGUGAACUAUAUGAUCUAAGCAGUAAUAUUCUCCUGCUUAUGUAAACACCUCGGUGUACAACUCUGUCAGUAAGACCUUGUUAUUAUUGUUGGUGACAUUUCGGUAACCACCGAUGGACAAGAACUUUGCCUAAUGGUCCGCGUCGCUUCAACGAGCAGGAAAAUGGUUCUCUUCGUCCCUCGCCCUUGGUACCGACGAUGUUGCUGACAUAUAACUGACAGGUUACCCUCUGCCAUGCCUUGCUAUCAUGAUCGUGCAGUUAUCACCGCCCUUCCUACUUUUAACCCACAUGGUGGGCCCAUAACCCACUGUUCCACAGGAUCGAAACCUGACUCUCCUGUGCACCCCCUGUUCCCAAAUUUAUUCAUCGCGCGUGGCCUCGUAUGUAAUUCACGGACCAUCGUCCUACUGAUCUAUACUGGCAUCAGACACAAUACUUAUUCCCGUUGCUCUGAACCCCUUUUCACUCUGUUUCAGGCAAUGAACGAUUGCCUAUCCGCUCGAAACUUCUUAUUGCACUGUCCUACUCUGCUCUCGAUGUGUUUCAUUUGUUCAACUCGAGAGAUACUCAUAUGUUCAUUCUUGGGAUAACCCCCCAGAUGAUUUUCCCUUAUAACAUCCUAUCGUUGAAGAGCUGCCCCUUACCUAUUCGUAAGUACGAUGGAGUUCCCCGAAGGAAGGACGACAACAUCAUCAUGAUGCAUAGGAAUAAAGAAUUGAAGACAUCAAUGAAAGGGAUUAACUUCUUCGAGAAGAUCCGUUAUAAUUUCGUAACCAGAACUUUCCCCCUUACCUCACCUCCUAAAUCUCGGGACGAUAUUUCUUGUAGUGGAGGAGAAUUGUGACGCCCGGAUAAUUAAGCUACAGUAAUCCCUCGUUAACGAUGCCACGUCACCCCGUUACUAUUGAUAAACUCUCGAUGGUUCAGAACCGAAACAAAUUCAAAAUUUAAAUAAAAGCAAACAACAAAAGUUUUCAGAUGUUAAAACUAAAAUGUUCGGAUCGUGACAAAUAUUGCGUAGGUAGUUAUGGUGAAGAAACAACAUUUUUAUAAAAAGUUUAAAUGCACUUAAAUGAUUAAAACAGUAGUUAAAACUAUUAAAUAAAUGCCUUUGAUAUUUUAUAAAAUCAUAAACUAUUUUAUCUUGAGGUAAAACUUUUUAGGGUAGUGGGUUGUUUUGGCACACUAAUUUGGAGCUAUUGUCAUAUUUUACUGAACUAAGAAUAAAGUGUAACUAAAAUAAAACAGAAAAGGAAAAAGAACUAAAACUAAAACAAACAAAAAAGGAAAAGAAAAACAACUGCCCCCCCGACUGGGCCUUGGCCCAGUUGGCCGUGUGGCCGAGCGGCCUGCCGGCCCACCCUCACCCCCGCAACCCUAUCCACCCCGUCGCCCCCACUACCCCACUCCCCUCUCUCCCUCGCUCCCCCCCCCGCCGCCCCCGCGAUCUGGAUCGGGGCGCCUUGCCCCUGUGCCCACCGCCGGCGCCCCGUCGCCCCUGUCCCCCGUCUCCGACCACCGCCGCCUGAGGCCCCGACGUCGGCGCCGCUCCCCCUGUCGCCCGCCUCGCAGGACGCCGUGNNNNNNNNNNNNNNNNNNNNNNNNNNNNNNNNNNNNNNNNNNNNNNNNNNNNNNNNNNNNNNNNNNNNNNNNNNNNNNNNNNNNNNNNNNNNNNNNNNNNNNNNNNNNNNNNNNNNNNNNNNNNNNNNNNNNNNNNNNNNNNNNNNNNNNNNNNNNNNNNNNNNNNNNNNNNNNNNNNNNNNNNNNNNNNNNNNNNNNNNNNNNNNNNNNNNNNNNNNNNNNNNNNNNNNNNNNNNNNNNNNNNNNNNNNNNNNNNNNNNNNNNNNNNNNNNNNNNNNNNNNNNNNNNNNNNNNNNNNNNNNNNNNNNNNNNNNNNNNNNNNNNNNNNNNNNNNNNNNNNNNNNNNNNNNNNNNNNNNNNNNNNNNNNNNNNNNNNNNNNNNNNNNNNNNNNNNNNNNNNNNNNNNNNNNNNNNNNNNNNNNNNNNNNNNNNNNNNNNNNNNNNNNNNNNNNNNNNNNNNNNNNNNNNNNNNNNNNNNNNNNNNNNNNNNNNNNNNNNNNNNNNNNNNNNNNNNNNNNNNNNNNNNNNNNNNNNNNNNNNNNNNNNNNNNNNNNNNNNNNNNNNNNNNNNNNNNNNNNNNNNNNNNNNNNNNNNNNNNNNNNNNNNNNNNNNNNNNNNNNNNNNNNNNNNNNNNNNNNNNNNNNNNNNNNNNNNNNNNNNNNNNNNNNNNNNNNNNNNNNNNNNNNNNNNNNNNNNNNNNNNNNNNNNNNNNNNNNNNNNNNNNNNNNNNNNNNNNNNNNNNNNNNNNNNNNNNNNNNNNNNNNNNNNNNNNNNNNNNNNNGCCAACACCAUGGCCGCCGGCGUCGUACUCUACGAGUACGUACGUACGGGCACAGCCACACCAGAGGCCGAUUUGGGCCACUGGCACAUGGGCCCGACCCCCCUGUUAAUUAGGGAGGCCCUAAUUAGUUUAGCCCCAAACCCCCUAAUUAAGCUAAGUAAACUUAGUCAAAAACCUGUUAAUUAAAAUGAGUCAAUGACAAUUGGGACCCACAUACGCUGUUCACAUUGGACUAGUCAAAAUAUUGACUGGGUCAACCCAGCCCCUGGCCCCACAUGUCAUACAGAUGCACACAUUGCUGGGCACACUCCUGUGUACCCAUAGCAAUUUGUCUUUUUAUUAUUUCGAAUUAAAUUAAAUGCAGAAAUCCCAGGAUUUGUUUAAAUCUUUGAAAAAUCUUAGAAAAUAAACCGUAACUCGGAUGAAAAAGUUUUAUACAUGAAAGUUGCUCAGAACGACGAGACGAAUCCGGAUACGCAGCCCGUUCGUCCACCACACAUCCCUAACCUAUUGAACCUGCAACAUUUCACCUCCGGUUCGUCUGUCCGAAAAUGUGAAACACCGGGGAUAUUUUCCCGGAUGUUUCCCCCCUUCACCGGUAUCACCUCAUACCGCGUUAGAACACGUCUAGCUCUGCCUGUUGUCCUGUUAUGCACUUGCUUGCUAUGUAUUUACUGUUUCUCCCUCCUCUUCUCUUCGGUAGACCCCGUGACGAUGCUGAUGCCCCUGUGGUCGACUACGUCACCGAUGACCCCUCCUUCUUGUCUGAGCAACCAGGCAAGCCCCCCCCCCCUUGAUCACCAGAUAUCGCCUAUUCUUCUCUAUACUGCUUGCAUUAGAGUAGUGUAGCAUGUUACUGCUUUCCGUUAAUCCUAUACUGAUGCAUAGCCUGCACUUGCUUCUACUGUUGAUACCUUUACCUGCAAUCCUACUGUUUAGUAUAGGAUGCUAGUGUUCCAUCAGUGGCCCUACACUCUUGUCCGUCUGCCAUGCUAUACUACUGGGCCGUGAUCACUUCGGGAGGUGAUCACGGGUAUAUACUAUAUACUUUAUAUACAUGACACAUGUGGUGACUAAAGUCGGGUCGGCUCAAGGAGUACCCGCAAGUGAUUCUGAUGAGGGGGCUGAAAGGACAGGUGGCUCCACCCCGGUAGAGGUGGGCCUGGGUUCCUGACGGCCCCCGACUGUUGCUUUGUGGCGGAGCGACAGGGCAGGUUGAGACCACCCGGGAGAGGGGUGGGCCUGGCCCUGGUCGGCGUUCGCGGAUACUUAACACGCUUAACGAGAUCUUGGUAUUUGAUCUGAGUCUGGCCAUUUGGUCUAUACGCACUAACCAUCUACGCGGGAGUAGUUAUGGGUAUCCCGGCGUCGUGGUAUCAGCCGAAGCCUUCUUGACGUCAGCGACUGAGUGGCGCGCGCCGGAUUGGACUGGAACGCCACUAGGCUAGGUCCGCUUCCGGCCGCGUACGCAACGUGCAGGAGUGCAUAGGGCGAUGGGCCCAGACCCCUGCGCGCAUAGGGUUAGACCGGCGUGUUGACCGCUCUGUUGUGCUUAGGUGGGGCUGCGACGCGUUGAUCUUACGAGGCCGGGCAUGACCCAGAAAAGUGUGUCCGGCCAAAUGGGAUCGAGCGUGUUGGGUUAUGUGGUGCACCCCUGCAGGGAAGUUUAUCUAUUCGAAUAGCCGUGUCCCUCGGUAAAAGGACGACCCGGAGUUGUACCUUGACCUUAUGACAACUAGAACUGGAUACUGAAUAAAAUACACCCUUCCAAGUGCCAGAUACAACCCGGUGAUCGCUCUCUAACAGGGCGACGAGGAGGGGAUCGCCGGGUAGGAUUAUGCUAUGCGAUACUACUGGGAGGACUUCAAUCUACUCUCUUCUACAUGCUGCAAGAUGGAGAUGGCCAGAAGCGUAGUCUUCGACAGGACUAGCUAUCCCCCUUUUAUUCUGGCAUUCUGCAGUUCAGUCCACUGAUAUGCCCCUUUACACAUAUACCCAUGCAUAUGUAGUGUAGCUCCUUGCUUGCGAGUACUUUGGAUGAGUACUCACGGUUGCUUUUCUCCCUCUUUCCCCCUUUUCUUUUCUAUCUGGUUGUCACAACCAGAUCCUGGAGUCCAGGAGCCAGACGCCACCGUCGACGACGACACCUACGACACUGGAGGUGCCUACUACUACGUGCAGGCCGCUGACGACGACCAGGAGUAGUUAGGAGGAUCCCAGGCAGGAGGCCUGCGCCUCGUUCGAUCUGUAUCCCAGUUUGUGCUAGCCUUCUUAAGGCAUACUUGUUUAACUUAUGUCUGUACUCAGAUAUUGUUGCUUCCGCUGACUCGUCUGUGAUCGAGCAAUUGUAUUCGAGCCCUCGAGGCCCCUGGCUUGUAUUAUGAUGCUUGUAUGACUUAUUUAUGUUGUAGAGUUGUGUUGUGAUAUCUUCCCGUGAGUCCCUGAUCUUGGUCGUACACAUUUGCGUGCAUGAUUAGUGUACGGUCAAAUCGGGGGCGUCACAGCUGGGGAGGGUCGUCGCCGGCUUGGGAUGGGCGGAGGGGCGCCGGCUUGGGGGGAGGGUCGCCGGCUUGGGGGGUGGGAAGGAUCGCCGGCUUGGGAGGGGGAGGUGGGUCGCUAGCUCGGGAGGGGAGAGGGCCAGCACGGGAGGCAGAGAGGAGGGAACAGAAGAGAUAGAGAGGAGGAAGAAAGAGAAGAGGAAGAGAAAACUUACAUGUGGGCUCCACAUGUAAGCUAACGGUCGAACUAAGGUCAAACUAACGGUUUGUUUUAGGUGCGGGCCCAACCUGUCAUAAUCAGGAUCAACUGAUAAAGACUCGGUGAUUUGGGUUUUUUGAAACAGCGGACCACACGAUUGGUAGGUUUCUGAGAAAAAUUAAAAGUUGGUAGUUUUUUGGAACCCUAGCCUGUAAACUGAUAGUUUUUUGCUAUUUACUCGCCCAAGUCAUAUCAUAACUAAGUCGGCCUUUCUCUAUUAAAAAAAACAAGUCGGCGUCCAAUUUUUUGUUCAUACUAUCUAUCUGUCAAAAGCAAUAGACAGAUUAAACUACAUCUUUAUUUUUAUUGCAAAAUACUCCCUCCGUGACUCCGUCCAUGUAAGACGCUUUUGCAAGCUAACGACUAACGGACGGAUUUCAUACAAUAUGUCCAAGCCAAUCUACUUUUUUAAAAUUUCAUCAUCGAAAAUACAACCAUGUAAACAAUUAUUUAGAGCUAAUAUAAAUUCUAAUUUCUUUUGAAACAAGCUCGUGCAGUCAUACAUCAAAGAAGAAACAACGCAUAGGAUGCAAGCCAAGUGUGAUGUGUGGCUUCUCGUCAAUGGCGGUGAUCUACAAAUCUCCCGUUUUUCUAGUGUAAAAAGCCGCAGUGUAAAAAGCGGCAGUGAUUAGGCUAACAUCGUCUUAGUAGCUAAGGGAUACACAUCCCUCACGCUUGAGUCCACAUCAACUUACUUACACUAUCUCUCCAUCACUCUACCAUACAUUGGUCCCCGUAGACUCGGCUCUCUCCUGCUCUAUUGCCUGUAGUCGUAUGUCCAUGCUCUGAAUUCGGGAUUCGAACGGAGAGAACCGAGUGGAAAUUGUUGUCUCAAAGUCCUUCAACUGUGCACUGAUUCUGGCUUCAACACCUUGAAUCAAAGCCCUCAGCUCCUUGACUCCCGCUGAGUUCUCCUCCUCCAACCCACGUGACAGCCGCUCGCUCUCACCAGAAGUAGUUGCCGAGCCAACAUUCAUCUACAAUCAAAGAUAAAAUGAUCAGAAUGUUUCUCAGACGAGUACAUUUUCAAUAAAACUUAACUUAUAGAUUGUCUAAACUUAUGUUGCCUAUUUCUUUUAGUCAGUCACUGGUGUCUACACUUUUUAUUUGCUAUCAACUGAACAUGGACGGGCCCUCUGUACGAUGUGUAUAAAAGGCCAGCCCAUAGAACCACCACAGAAAACAACAAAAUCAACAUAUCACAGGCGAAAGAGAAAUAAAAAUAAUGCUGACACAAAAUUUAUCAAUAAUAGAUAAAAAAAUCUAGAGUGAGUUCAAAGGAAAAAGUUCAAAGCAACAACAAAACACUCCACAUAAAUUUUCAACACUGUACAAAAGUUCCUUCUCGGUUGAACUCACGAGAGAUUACACUUCAAACCUUCAGGCCUCCCACAAGCACCAUCAUGACUUGGCAUCCUUGGAUGAACCUUUUACUGAGGAAGUCUAGGCAACCAUUAGGAACCUACCUUUGGACAAGCCACUGGGGCCAGAUGGGUUUACUAGUCGUUCCNNNNNNNNNNNNNNNNNNNNNNNNNNNNNNNNNNNNNNNNNNNNNNNNNNNNNNNNNNNNNNNNNNNNNNNNNNNNNNNNNNNNNNNNNNNNNNNNNNNNNNNNNNNNNNNNNNNNNNNNNNNNNNNNNNNNNNNNNNNNNNNNNNNNNNNNNNNNNNNNNNNNNNNNNNNNNNNNNNNNNNNNNNNNNNNNNNNNNNNNNNNNNNNNNNNNNNNNNNNNNNNNNNNNNNNNNNNNNNNNNNNNNNNNNNNNNCCAUGAGUCUUAUUCACAGUUUUGCUAAGUUAGUUGCAAAGCUCAUGCCCAAUCACCACUGCUGCCUGGCAUAGUGUCCUAUCAACCAAGGUGGUUUUAUCAAGGGGACGAGAGCAUACAUGAUAAUUUUCCCCUUGUCCAGCAAAUGGCAAGAAGUUUACAAUAGAAAUGGAACCACACAUCCUCCUUGAGUUGGAUAUUUCUAAAGCUUUUGGUUCCGUUUCAUGUCCCUUCAUACCUCCUUUUGAUUCGUAGGAUUGGAUCCUGUUGGAAUUUUCCUAAGGAAUCAUUUUUACUACAUUCCAUAGGAAAUCUAGCAUCCACUCCAACCUGCUUUUACAAUUCCUUUAUUUUUCAUAUGGCAUCAAACACUGUCUGCUAAUCAUAUUACGAGUCAAGUGGGCAUGCCACUUCAAUCCUGUAUUCUUCUUGUUCUUGUGUUUUGAAAUUCCUUGUGAAGCAAAGAGGCCAUUUAUGUGAAAUAAAAGAUUUCCCUUGAACCACCCUUGGCCUUCCACCUUCCACUUACUAUUCAGAAGCCCACUAAGGCUGAAUUACACCCGCUUAUUGACAAGAUGGCAGAUAAUCUCCCAGGUUGAAAGUGUCCCUCAUGAACUGUGAUGGCCGUCUCAUUACAGUACGAGUGGCACUCACCGCUAUUCCCAUCUACAAUAUGGUUGCUUUGGAUCUGCCAAAAUGGGUGAUAGCCAUUGAUAAGCUGCACAGGGGCUUUCUUUGGAAAGGCUAAUAGUGAUAAUUGUCAUGUCUCAUGGGAGCGGGUAAACUGACCAAUCCAAUAUGGAGGACUGGGCAUACAUAACUGGAAAUAUUAGGGUGGGCACUCUGAAUCCGAUGGAUGCAGAAAAGGACGCCUUGCAGCCCUUGCAGCCAUGGGCUGGUACCCAUCCAAGUCCCGCGAAAUGCCCAAGCUUUGUACAGUGUUGCGGUGGAAACUUUUGAAGGGAAUGGACAGAACACCAUGUUCUGGUCUGAUUGAUGGUUACAGGAUAGAACAGUUGCUGAAUUGGCCCCAAACUUAUUCAAGUUGAUCUCUAAAGGAGCUGUCAAGCAGCCAUAGCAGAUGGGUUACAGACAUUAAGGAGCUCUCACUGUCCAAGUCCUAAUAGACCUACAUAUAUGGGACUUUGUGGAUGGUCCAAUCCUACAACAAGACACUCCUGAUCAGCAUCGACAGCGGCUUACAUGGUCAGGCUCAUAUACCAGCAAGUCAGCUUACAAUGCAUUCUUCCGCGGGUCAAUCGGAUUUGCGCCAUGGAAAAGAAUUUGGAAAGGCUGGCUCCAUUGCGCUGCAAGUUUUUCGUUUGGCUUGCCAUCAAUGAUACUCGUUGGACUCCUAGCCUCGCCAAGAGGGGACAAUCGCACUCUGUGGCCUGCCCUCUUUAUUAUCAGGCGGAAGAGUCAAUCCAGCACAUACUUUUUCGUGUGUUUUCGCUCGGCAAGUAUGGACGUACAUUCUGCAAAAGGUUGGGCUUAGCUACCAAUACCAUUGUGCCCUAGCCUACUACGCCAUUUGUUUCUCAAGCUGGUUGUGCGGCUAAAGAAUUCCAGAGAAGGCUCAAUUCUCUGAUCAUCUUAGUUGCUUGUGAGAUGUGGAAACAUAGGAAACGGUUGUGUGCUUAACGGAACUAGCCCGUGUUUCACUGGUCUUACAGAAAGUGUACCCGUAAAAAAAGGUCUUACAAAAAGUGGCAACUGAGAGCGCUCUGUGAUGUUUGGCUGGUGGCUGAGGACUCCAUGAGCUGCUCCUAAGGUCGCUCACCCCAGACACUUGGUCCUUCCCCUGGGCCAGCUGGUCAUGUGCAUGUGUGUGUGAGUGGCGAUCCUGUACUAGCUUAUAUCUGUGUGUGUGCGCGGUCACGUGGAGCAUGUUUGGGGUGAGGGUCUUUACGCUCUCUCCCUUCUAUCUUUAUUCCUUCUUCCUAAUGAAAUGGUACACAGCUCUCCAGCGUGCUCAUAUAAAGAAGUUGCACAAAACUUGCAUCACUUCAUAAGAUGCAAGAACCAUUAUAAAGUAGUGCUACCUUUAAUAAUGAUGUAUUCAUCUCCAAAUGAUAUAUUCUAGUUACUCAUAGUAGUAGUUAAUUAAGGAUCAUGCCUGUACAGACGCCCUCUCUCUCUCUCACACACACACACACGCGCGCGCGGAUAGGCACGGGAACCAAAAAGAGAAACAAAAAAGAAACUAUGCACCUUUCUUGUUUUGUGUUGUUUCCAUUGCAGCACAUGGAACGCACCAUCACUUCCUGUCAGAACAAGCCUUCGACGAGUCCAUGCUUUUCCUCUUACUUCGAACCUAUCUAUUUUGACAUCCUUUUCCUGCAUUUUAACAUAUGCAGCAUUAGUGCAAAACAACAAUAAAAUCAACCGAGUAAAGAUAUAAAUAUUUUAUUUAAUUAAGAAAUUUAAGAUAGAGACAGUGAAGCACUAGUAAUCAAAAGUUGACUAAGGGUGUGUAUGGGACAGUUCCAUUCCACAUGUUCAGUAGUGAAUAUGGUGGAGUAGUGCUACAGACAUCCACAGCUCCAUAUUUUGGGGGGAGCGGAUUGUCCACCUGGCCCUGUAGUUGAUAGAGAAUUAACCACAACUGCCACUGGAUACACCCCUAGAUUCAGCACCCUUCACGCCACCGUUGCCUCUCUUCUCCUCGACCGUGGCCAUGGUAAUUUUCCACUCCUCUCCCCGGUGGCAUAGCUGCCCACGCCGGGCCUCCUCUCCCCCCCAUCUCUCCCCAACAGACCGCGCCUCAAGUAAGCUGCCCCUCCCUAAUUCCCCGUUCUUUCUAAAUCAGUGUUGCCCAUCUAUGUGGAUCUGGAGCCAACCUUCCCCAAAACAGUGUUGUGUGGCUCCAGAGUUUAAAGGCGGAGCAAAGUUUAGGUGAAGCAAAGAUCUCUCAAACACACCCUAAGACUAAAGGCACUAUCUUACUCCCAGUCUUCAAACCACUAAGAAUCAGAAUUUAACUAAGAUUCAGAUCACUAUCCUAUCCCCAGUCUUCGAACCAUUAGUUAUCAAACAAGGCUUACAGAAACAUAUAUAUCUAAAAGACAAAUAGUGUUGUAUUGUACCUUCAUAGUACUAAUGAAAUGUUCUGUCGACUCUUCAUCUGAUGCAGCCUUACAACCUUUAACUGAACUGGAUAUGCGAGACUUGGUUGAGUUAAUAACCCAAACUAACCCAUCUUGCUUUUCACCUUCUUGGACAUCAUGAUCAAUUGAAAACAUUGCUCCAUUAUAUAGUAACGCUAGGGCAUGAUUCUUCUUAAUCCACCCUGGUGGCCCCACGUUUAUGUCACUUAACAAUUCAUUCACGAUAUUGAAACCAUGAAUAUCACUAUUGGACAGUAGUUGAUCUACAAUGAAAACAAAAGAGCUGGUAAGAAAAAGUCCCUUUGCAACCUAGACAACCUACAAAAGGGAAAGCUUUUCCACCUGGCCACGAAAGAAGUCCACAUAACCCCCUGAGGUUUCCGAAACCGGCUAAUUCACCCCCUCAACUCUAAAACCGGUUAAUUAGCCCCCUGAGGUCUCUAAUACCAGCCAGGACACACCCUAAUCCCAAUUAGAGUGGUUUUUGCCGGUGGUUUUGCUUGCGUGGCCCUGGACCAUUGCCACGUCGGCUUGGUGGAAGGCGCGAAGAGAUACGAGGACGCGCGUGAAGUUUUACUCAAUCCCCAAUCCGGUAUGCGCAAUCCCUAGUUCCCCUCUUCCUUCUCCCCUGUUCGCCGCCAUGGCCGCCAGAUGAGUCUCGUCCUCCUCUGUUCUGUAGUUCCUCCCUUUCCCUGUGUGUCUCCAUGGCCGCCCCACCUACGUAAUUCCUCCUCCCUCGAUCCCCCAUUCUCCAGCGCCCUGGACGAGGACCGCCCUCGUCAUGGCUCAAUGGAGCAGCGGCUGCUUGUCUUGGAGUUCCUGUUUGACUCGUCGUCUAGCCGUAGCGGGCCGCCGAUCCCCUAUAGUUCUUGUUCAUCUCUUCCUGUUCUUCAGGUAAGAAGUGGAUGCUGGUUUCGUGAGAAAAGAAAAAUGGAUGUUGGUGUACAGGUUAUCUUUUUACCCAGAAUAUGUACCGAUUAUUAUCAAUUUGCCAACACAAUUGAUUCUUUGAUUCACUUGUUGUUGCUACUGUACGUAGCUUAGCAUCAGACUGAAUUUUUAGUAUAGCCAAGACAACUUCAGAGCUCCAAACUGAAUAUCGUUGUGAAGUAAUACUCGCAAGUUAAUAUAAAUUUCUCAUUCACCCAGUUAAUUUCGCAUUCCUAACCUAUUCUAUUAUAUAUUUUGGGACAUGCUAAUGACUUAAUUUUGUAUUGGUGCAUAUGAAUUUUUUCUGACUUCAAUCGGAGGCUCUAAGCACCAAACUUGCAGGAGGCACUACAUUUGCGAACGAUGACACCAGGUUAAUGAAGUUCUUCCUUCUCAUUCGGUAUUUAUUUUGCUGCUUGUUAAUGUGGUGUCUUUCUGCAUUUUUUUGGACUAGAGGAAUGAACAACUUCAUCAUCUUAUAAGAGCAUUGGAGCAAGAGAGAGCAAUGCACAAGAAAGAGCAAGAUAGAUCAAUGUUGCAGUUGCAUUGGAGAUUGUCAGCUGUAUAUGAAGAUAUGAAAGUGAAGAAAAAAAAGGGACAUGUGCCUUUAUCAUGAUAUUGUGGGUUGUUUCUUUAGUUUUAGAUUUUGUUGCUGGUAUGGUCGUCUCAGUCUAGUUGAGAAGAGAGAAUUCAGAUAAUGCAAUUUUUUAAGGGAAUGUACUUGUAGCUCUGCAAUCUAUUGCAUACGCAAAGAUAUAUGUAAUCUGAAAGCAAGCUUUUCUUGCUGUCAUGAAUGAAAGCUUUUAUUAACUGAAAGUACUAUGUUAUUGCAACUAUCAUGGUUGCAAAUUUGCAGCAUUUUGUUUACAUCAGCAUCACUCUUACAAAUUGGCAAUAGCAUAAUUAAGAAACAAGACAUGCCCAGAAUUCUCUGUACAGUUUCAGCUUAACUUCGAAGGAACACAUUUUUCUGAAUGCAAUAAGGAACAUAUCACAGAAUACCCAGUCAUGCCCCACAUCAGAAAACAGUACAUGUAUCAGAUAAUAGGGAAGAAGUACUAGCUUUACAUAAUAUAGCAUGACCAGAAAAUGCAUAACAGUCAGCCAUGCACCACAAGUUUAUUUAUAUCUCAUUGUAGCUAAAUAACUAGAAGUUUAGUUAUUGCCAUGUAACCACCACUAGAAUCUUGAUUGGUUUGGCAUUGGCUGAGAUGUCGCCCUAGGUGCUGGUUGAUAAGAAGAUGUUCCAGAUGUUGGUUGAGAUGAUUGUAUCAGUGAUUUCCUUCUGUUCUUUGCUCUCUCAUAGAAAGGUGCAGUGGAAGGACUAUUUUGCGCACCAGAGGCCUUCUUCUUCCUCUUUGGUGGCUUAGAUGCUGGAGGAACUUCUUGUGUUGAUGGGCCAGGAGCCGAACUUUGUUGUGCUGAUGGAACAUGAGCUUGCUGUAUUAAAAACAGUUAAGAUUAGCAAAUUUGCACAUGUCAGGAAAAAAUAUGCAAAAAAAAGAAGAUAGAAAGGGGCACCUCUGUUCUUGCUUGCUUGGCCUUUCUCCUUGUAGCUGCUCUUGUGAAGUUGGCAUGCUCUUUAUUACCAGCAGUAUUGUUAUUCGUACAUUUUCUUUUGUUGUGACCCUGAGUUCCACAACUUGAACAUGUCACCUGAGUGCCUGCUCUUGACAUUUUUGAUGGGUUCCUAGGUUUCUCUCCUUCCUCCUGCCUUCUCUUUGUCUGGGGCCUGCCAGUCUGUGUUCUUUUCUUAGGUGGAAGAGGUCUAGGUUUUUCAGAAAUUGGCCAAUCUUCUGGUCCAUUGAUAGGCUGAAGAACAUGAUCAUAAAUUCUGUUGUACUCAGCAAUAGAGUAGCAAGGUGAAAUGUAGAGAUCCAAAUCUCUAGAGCAGGUGUAGAUUGCACUAACCGCAUGACAACAAGGUAAUCCGGAAAGUUGCCAAUAUCUACAUGAACAUGUCCAGUUUUCUAGAUUGACUGUGUAUCUCCUAUGCUCACCUUCCGGUACUUCAAACCCAUCCUUUCCAUUCCACAACACUUGACACCUAGCAGAUCUUUCAAUGUUGACCUUCAACUUCUUGAAAAUAUUUGGACAAAUGGUUCCAUACCACUUCUCAGACUUUGCUCUGUUUUGUUGGAUCCUCACAGUGACCUUCUUUCUAAUGAUUUCCAUUGCAGUUAAUACCGGAUAGAACCUAGAUCUCAUGAUGGCAUUAUUAAAUGACUCACACAUGUUGUUCUCAACUGAGUCACAAAAAGACCCAAUCCUAAAGUAGGCCCUACACCAAUACUCUGGUGUAGUUUUCAUCAUGUCUUUCGCACCCUCUACUGUCUUUUGUGCAAGCUUAGCCCUAUUGUAAUUGAACUGGCUUCUAUCCGAUGACUUGGCACAUGCCCAAAACAUUUUCUGAAAGACCUUGUCCCUAUGCUAUUUUCUCCAGUUAGCGUAAAUGUGUCUUGCGCACAUCCUAUGCUCUGCUUGGGGCACAAGCUCAUUGACUGCCCUGAUGAGACCCUACAUAAGAGAAGCAAAAAAACCACAUUAGCAAACAAUCUCACAUACAAAACCAUACCUACACUAGCCGCCACCACCUCCUUCGACGCCUUCCUAACAUAGGACUAGAUCCAUAACAACAGUACGAGUAAAAAAAGUAUUUAGCUCACCUUUUGCUGAUCGAAGAUGAACACCCAUCCUUCACCAUUGUUGUUUAUCUGGAGAUCUUUUUGAAGAAACCCAAUGAACCAAUACCAAGAAUCAUAGCUCUCAACCUCUACUAUAGCCCAGGCUAUUGGAUACAUCUGGUUAUUGGCAUCUCUACCAAUUGCACAAAGCAAUUGCCCCUUGAAUGCACCCUUCAGAAAGCAUCCAUCUAGCCCCACAACUCUUCUACAUCCUGCUAGAAAUCCUUUCUUGCAACCAUCUAAACACAUAUACAUUCUUUCAAACACAUUGCUCUCAAGAAUUUCUGGAUUUAAUGUCACUGCAAUAGUGCUACCUGGGUUGCUUCUAAGCAACUCAAGUUGAUAAUCAUAAACUCUAGCAUACUCACCAUCUGAUAGAUCAAUUAUCUUCUCCAUAACAAGUUUCUUUGCUCUUUUGCAUUUGGAUAUGGACACAUCAGCCACUAGAUCCUGAAGAACAGCUUGUUGAAUGUGCUCUGCCUUCCAUGAUGGAUUGUCCCUGAUUUGCCUAAAGUACUUUUUUGCAAUGACACCACAUGUGACCAACUUGUUGUCCCUUCUUGGAAUACAUGUGUGCUCAUUGUUGUAUCUCCCUACUAGCAACCAAUCAGACCUGCUGGUAAUGGAUCCAUAAAUACUCCAAGGACAGCCUGGCCACUACAUUUUGCACUUACUCUCUUCUUCUCGUCUUUUAGAAAUAACAAGUGGUGAUACGUUUUCAGUCCAUACUUCACCAAUGCAUUCUUGAACUUCCUACUGUCAUGGAAGGCCAUACCAACAGAGAAUAAAGGAAUUUCAGAAGUACUAUCAUAAACUUUGUGCUCUGUCUUCUUCCUCUUAAGCAUGUCAUCCCCAUCACUUGCUUCAUCAUAAGAGAAAUCAUCUGCACUGUCAAAAUACGGUGUCACAUCACCAUCACCAUCAUCAAGCUUGCAAUCCUCCGGGACAAGGAAAUCCUCUGGCACAUCAACACCUUUCUCAUCCUCUUCCCCAAGCAUCUUGUUCGUGAUCUUGUUCUUAAGUUCCCUUGCAUAUUUUCUGAAUUCAAUUGUUUCUUCAUCUUCAGCAGAACUAUUGUCUUCAUCUUCUAAACCAACCUCAUAGUCGCUAUCACUGCUUGUGGAUUCAUCUUCACCGCCUUUGUUUCUUUUCCCUUCAGCCACCUUUAGUUUUCCUAUGGAGCUACUACCCUUAACAAUCUUCCUAAAAACUGGCAACUUUUAGGGCUGAUGAAACGCACGUGCAUCUUCAGCUGUCUCUUGCAUCUCCUCUGCACCUCCUUUGCAUUCCUCUGAAUUUUUCUGCUGAUCUACACAUUGUUUUUGUUGUUCUUCUCCCCAUUGUCCCUCUCCCUGUUCUACCUCCCAAUCACUAGUCUUGGCACUAGGCUCUUUUGGCAUGUUAGCAUAAAGAUCUAUAACACCAACAUCAGUUACACAUUUGACCAUUUGAAGGACCGAUUCUUCAUCAUCCAUAAUAACCAGAGCACCUUUGCCAUUUAAAGGAAACAUCCAAUGCAAAGUUGUGGCAUUUAGUACCUCAUCAGAACAAGAAACAUGAUCUGCAAGGUGUUUCUUCAAAUCUUGUAGACACAAUUUGUCAUACUCAAUUGUGGACAUUCCUGACCUUCCAUCCAAAUAUUUCCACUGAAUUCCAUCAUGAUGUAAUUCGCCUCGGAAAUGAAACCGAACGGAUAGGUAAUUGAGUGGUUUCAUAUCUGAAAAAUAAUAACAAAAAAACAUAUAUAAGCGAUCUGCACAUAUAUAAGAUUGAACCUCUAUGCAAUCAAACCAUCACAAACUAGGAUUUGCUUCUGAAUGUUUACAAAUUACUGAACUCACAUAACAAUGUUAAUAUGAAGAGUUCAUUAUAUUUAAAAAUUUAAAAUGCCCAGGUCCUGUUAAUGCUAAAGGUAUGCAACCUGGAAUACACAUGACCUUUAGCAAAAGUUGUUUAGUUCCAGCAGGUGUCCGAAAGGGCCCUACUGAUUGUGGUGCAGCUAAUUAAUGGCUACUACACUCUAAAAAAAAUUAAUGGCUACUGUAGUCGGCAGGCCAGUUGUUUAAUUAUGAUGAUCACACAAGUAAAAGAAAGCUAGGAUGUAAUACUACGACUAGUGCUGCGGGUAAGCUGUAUUAACAUCCUAGCUGUAUUCUUACUCCAAUCAAAAUCGUUGGAUUUCAGUUCGAUCUUCUGAAUUUGACUAGAACUACUAAAAAAAUCUUUACAACCUGGACUUUUCAAACGUAUAAGGAUAACACCAUACGCACGGUAUGCACAUUAACUGAACAGCCACUUGUCCGGUGCAGGUGUGGUGCGUUAGUACUAAUAAUGGUCGGCCUGUUUCAAUGAGUAAGUGCAAUCGUGCUGCUCGUCAGUCAAAAGGAAGGAAAAGUGCAUCAUUGCACUGCAGGCGUGCAAGCUUCAACACAUGGUCCUCAUAGAGAAGGACGUGUGUACUGGCAUGGACGAGCAGAGCGCCUCAGCUGGAGUAAUCGGGGAGAUUGGUAUUCACCUGCUUGUCGUCAAGCCGCCUCCUGCAAGCGUGAUCACCCUAACAAACAAGAACAAAGGAUCUCAAACCUAGCGCCAAACCCCUCUCCGAUCUUAAAAAAAACCCGACUUUGACACACAAGCACUAGAGUCGUCGAAAGGGACUGACCUGCUCGUCACCCGCCGCCUCCCGUCAAGCGCCGAUCAUAACGUCUUGCCCUGCCGCCGCGUCGUCGAAAGGAAAGAACGGAGAAUGAGGCCAAAACAAUAGGACGAGCAGUUAAGUCUGAGACCCACGCCACCAAGCCGACGUGGCAAUGGUCCAGGGCCACGCAAGCAAAACCACCGGCAAAAACCACUCUAAUUGGGAUUAGGGGGUGUCCUGGCUGGUAUUAGAGACCUCAGGGGGCUAAUAAACCGGUUUUAGAGUUGAGGGGGUGGAUUAGCCGGUUUCGGAAACCUCAAGGGGUUAUGUGGACUUCAUUCCCUGGCCACUCACCCGUAAAAUCUGCAGGAGACGCAGGGGCCAAUACUCUUCCAAACAACAUAUAUGAAGGAAGAGAUUCAUCGGCUGGAAUAGGCGAAGUCUUAGCAACAGUAGGUACAGUCUCAACUAUAGGCAGUGCAGCCUCAUUUGUAGAACUUGAACUCUUGACAGCAUCUGCCGUGACAUCAAAGAGAUACCAAGGAAAUGAGUAUGCUAGUAGCUAAUACUUCCAAAGUGUGAUGUGUUAAAGCAACAAUCGACAUACCACACUGGCCUCCAUUUGUAGGUUCCACUUGAAAGAAAUCAAUGGGCACACUAAAACCCUGCAAUACAAAUAAGCAAUUAGGUGUUAGCCUGGGUUCAGAUCCAUGUCUAUCUUAGCUUGGGUUAAGAUAAGUUCUCCAGUUUACAGUUUGCUACAAGCCUACAAGAAUAAUUUAAUUUCACCUCAUUUGUGGUUUCCAUAGCAAAGAAAUCAAAAGUUGGUUUAGAGUUUGCAAGAUUCCAUGAUUCUCACAACUUCUCAAGAUUUGAACUUUGUAACAACUAUUACAAGCCUAAAUACAACAUCUGAAGAAAACGAACUGAACUAAGAGUAGUUUGGAGGUGAGAAUCUCACGUCAUCCACCAUUACUUCUUGUAAUGAAUCGGAGGUGGGCAAACUCAGAUCCUGCAACAGAAAAGAACCCACUGUAAGUUGUUAACACAAGUAUAUACACAUGCUUACUGUAUAGAUGUUAAGAUUUAUGUGGCAAAAAAAUUACCUCUGCUGAAGUAAUCAGGAUGCUGUUCCAUGUUUCUAAGUCAAGGGUCCCCACCUGGGUCAUAUUUUGAAGCUUAGCGCCAUCAUGGUAUACCACCAUAUUUUCGGCGGAACACACAUGUUUCCCUUUAUUCUUCUCAAAAAGCUCUUUAAUGUCUUUAACCUGCGGAAAUGAAUGCUCAUUAGAACUCAUUGACAACCCUGAUUGAUUGUGCAGAGAAAACCUGAAGUGUUUUUUAAGGGAUCAUUUGACUUCAAAACUGGUGUUCUUGUUAAAAACCACGAGACAAUACACAUGGUUAACUGACAAAAUGAACACAUGAGAAGCUAAAAGGAGUAAAGGAUGCCUACACUUUUUUUGAGAGAUUAUCAGUACAUAUGCAUUGCAAACUUGAAGAAGAUGCAACUAGCUUUGCAUUGGAAAAAAAGCUAAAGAAAAAAUAGAUAAGAAUAGUCUUUUAGUUGUAACAGAACAGAAGAUUGCCUUAUAAAUGAUUUUAUGGUAUUUGUCUAACUACUUGUUCACUGCCAUAUAAUAGCAUUCAGUUUGGUCAAAUGAAGCCAAACAUGUUUUCUAGCAAGAAAUAGGAUAAGCAAAUGCAUGUACAUAGAUAUAUUUGCUUGAAUUUUAGUAUAUUGGGAAGUGGUUAUACAAUUAUAUAAACAUCUAACAUGGAAGUAGCUGUCCAACACUUCUCUGGCUAGUCCUUAACUCCGAUUAUAACAAUCUAACUGGAAAUGCUUCACAACAUAGAGCAAACGUGCAGCCAUGGCACCACAAGUAAUCACAACAGAGGAGGGAAAUGUGAACUGGCAGGAACUGCUAUAUAUAAUAUUCUUGAUUGUUUAUCAAUCUUCAAAAUGUGAAGAUACCAUAUUCAACUGAUAAUAACAGCAUAUAAAUAUGUUUCAAACAUACUUUGGUAUUAGGCAGUAUCUUAAUAACCAAAAAAAUUGAUAUUAUGGAAGAGAGGCAUCGCAUGCUAGCUUCUAGUACAAAAUAUAUCAAAAUUACAGAUAUUAAUAGUAAGAAUAUGUUUCUCAAAUGGUAUGUAGUCAAUUAAUUCAUAUUAGUGACUAUACAGGCUACAUGAACUAGACCAUCUAGUAAAAAUAAACGAAACAACUGCACACACGACGUUUCCCUGUCCGAUCCUCAUACGAUGCAACAUCCAGUGGCCUGCUGUACUUUGAAUCCAACUCACGGAUGGUUCAACCUGGUGUGUUGGACAUGGAUCGUAUGGAAAGUAUCGUCUGUAUAGCAGGACUCAAAAACAAACUAUUACCAGAUGGAUAACUAGUAGUAGUACAUCAAAUUUGUGAUCAUUUGGCCAUGUUUUGGCUAGGCAAAUAUCCACAAACUAAGAACACUCAUCCUUCUUUCUAGCCUCAUCAGCUCCCACCUAGUUUUCCCCAAGGCUUAUCAAGCCACAUAUAUACUCGCAAAUGGCAGACUGCAAUAGAAAUUCCGUGGAGUGAUAUGUUGCGUGAAAGUGCAAACCCUCCCCCUCCCCCUCUCUCCCUCUCUCUCUCUCUCUCUCUCUCGCCCGCCCCUCUCUCUCUNNNNNNNNNNNNNNNNNNNNNNNNNNNNNNNNNNNNNNNNNNNNNNNNNNNNNNNNNNNNNNNNNNNNNNNNNNNNNNNNNNNNNNNNNNNNNNNNNNNNNNNNNNNNNNNNNNNNNNNNNNNNNNNNNNNNNNNNNNNNNNNNNNNNNNNNNNNNNNNNNNNNNNNNNNNNNNNNNNNNNNNNNNNNNNNNNNNNNNNNNNNNNNNNNNNNNNNNNNNNNNNNNNNNNNNNNNNNNNNNNNNNNNNNNNNNNNNNNNNNNNNNNNNNNNNNNNNNNNNNNNNNNNNNNNNNNNNNNNNNNNNNNNNNNNNNNNNNNNNNNNNNNNNNNNNNNNNNNNNNNNNNNNNNNNNNNNNNNNNNNNNNNNNNNNNNNNNNNNNNNNNNNNNNNNNNNNNNNNNNNNNNNNNNNNNNNNNNNNNNNNNNNNNNNNNNNNNNNNNNNNNNNNNNNNNNNNNNNCCUCCCUCUCUCGCGCCCAGCUGGCACCUGGCUGGCAGGACACCGCCGCGUCGGGGUUAAGCUUGGAGGCUGGCCCACAUGUCAUUGACCCACUGCAUCCUGAUCCAUGUUUCUUGUUCUCUUUCGUUUACCUGCUAGUCUGCCUUUGGUUUCGUAUAAUUGUUAUAUAAACAAACGACAGUUUUAUUUAUAUCCAGAAUAUAUCCAGAUAGUGUUACUUCAACAUUUUUAGAAUGACAGCAACAUGCACACUUCGUCGUGAUUUUCUCCUCCGUGCCUACCCACCGCCUCCCUCUUCCACCACCGAAUGUUUCGUGCAGGCCGUGGCCAUAAGGCCAACUCCAACCCACGAUCUCAUUUAGUCCGGCGCGUCCGUUUAGAUUGAAAUGUAUAUAAAUCGCGGCCCAACGCGUGGCCGCAAACAGAAGGACGUUCGUUUUCUGUCACAAACUUGACCCAUUUUCGGGCGCUUGCGUUGAAGCAGACAAUGCACAGACAGAUGGGACGCGUGUCCUUGUCCUACCUGGCCUGUCCAUCGAGGACACAAACGCUCCCGCCCUCCCCCGCCCCUUCCUGCUCCAUGGUCGGGGCCCCGAAGCAACCCGUCGCUGUCGUCCCGGCCGCCACCACCUCCCGUCCCGCGACGAGGAAGAAGAAGUAGCCGAGCACGGAGCUCACGCCGGCGGAGCACGACCGACUCGACCAAGAGGAGAGCCCGGAGGGUCGUUUAGGCGGAGAGGAAAGCUGCUGUCGAGUAUGCCCUCGAGGUCGCCGUUGUGCAACACAAGGCCUUCGUUGAGGACAACGAGGCCCUCGUUGCCAAGGCCACAUAGGCAGCGACGACGCACACCCUCUCGCGCUAGGGUUGUGCUGGCUUGCACUGGCCAUUCUUUCCGCCGCCACCAUGGCCGCGGCGAGCACAUGCUCAUCUUCCGUUCGCCCUUCACAUGGCCAUUCGCUGAACUCCUUCAUAGCACCACAGACGGUCGGUGUUCAUCCAGCACACGAGCAUGCUGCGACCCGGUUCUCCACGUUGCCAGAUGGCGGCGUGAUCGCGUCGGCCACCCCCGCCCUCACGGCCGUCGUCGACCUUAACGUCGCACCUGGUUUAGGUGGCACCGACCAGUCGGCCACCAGGAUGCAAGGGAAAGUAGCCACGGUCGAUUCCUAUGGCCAACCUUCCCGACAAGCGCAACUUGUUGGAUGGAAUGCCCAAUGCGACGCCGGCGCAAGACGACCCCGACUUCAGUGAUUUCAUGGAGAACGUCAUCUACGAGGGGCAUGGUCAAGCUUUCCACCCCGAGGGCCAAGGCCAAGCCUUCGAUCCCGACGAGACACUACUGCAGGAUGCUGCUAACGUGACACUACGAUCAGAGACCCUUCGACGAAACUGUGUGCGAUGCAAUAAUCGCAAACGGUGGUGUGAAAAAACCGUCAAAAAGGUGCAAAACGUUUGCAAUGACGGAUGCAUCAAACACGGUUCAGAUUUUAGUUACUUGUGCGAUGCAGGGCAUACGGUUCAGUUCAAUUAACUGUUUGCGAUGAGGAGGAACAAAAGAAACGGGCAGCCAGAUGAAGGUGUGUGUGAUAUACAACAUACGGUUCACUCGGAUGAACUGUUUGUGAUUAGGCAACAUAAAAGUAACGGUCAGCCAGAUCAAGGUGUGUGCGAUAUACGGCAUGCGGUGCACUCGGAUGAACUGUUUGUGUUGAGACAAGAGAACAGAAACGGUUCUAUAUAACAAGAUGUGUGCGAUACGCGGCAAACAGGUCUGUAAUUAGAAAUGUGUGUGAAGACCGAAAAUAACAUAGAUGAUUGCUUCUAAUAAGACAUAUGUGAUAUGCUCUGUCUACACAACAUCUAUUGGCCAUUGAGCGACGGGCGGUCAUCCGGGUACGCAAUAAGGAUGAGAAGAAGCAUCCUAUAUUAGCAAGGACUAGCUGUUCCACCAAUAGCUCAUCUAAGAGAACUCUCAAGUUAACUAUGCUCAAGCUGAAGCAGCCAUCAGAUGGGUGACUGGAUGGGAAGUUGUCUUGAUGUUAAAUUAUCUGAUGGGAUUGUCCAUACAGGUCAAAUUAAAUGACCUCUAUGAUCCAUCUCAUCAGUUAAAUUAACCUCAAGGUCCUUUUUUUUAACACAUGUUAAAGAAGGUCCACUGCAUUACUUUUUGACAAUGUGCGAUACGUGGCAUACAGUUGAUCCAUCCGACCUGUUAUGAUGGAGCCAUGUGUGUUGUGGGCAAACGCUUGCUAGUAUACAACCGUUUGCGAUUGAUGAAUUCAUCACCGACGGGUUCCCUAGUGUGGUCCGUGUUCAUCUGAUCAUCAUCUACUUCUUGUGCUAGCUCGAUGUUCCUUAUAUGCUAAGUUUCCAUUAAUUGAUGGUGUUUUAUGAACACGCCACCGUUUCCCGCCAUUUACUCACCUGUUUCCCGCCACCCAGCGAUAUUGUGCAUAAACCUAGGUGGCGCGCGAUGCAUGGAGGCAACAAGCGCAGCCUGUAGCACAUCCACCUUUUCCAAGCAUGCCAACCCACCAAAGCGCUGCCUCUGCCAUCAACCUCGUCGAUGAGGAAAACGAGCAGGCGCCACAGCCCGUCGAGGCCGAGGCGCUCCCCGGCAACGCGAUGGACGACGUCGUGAUGCAUGUCAUCGCCAGGGUUGAGGAGACCCUUGGCGCAUGGCGCUUCAGUGCCACGGAUCAAGAUAGGCAUGUCAGUGCCGAUAGGCUGCAGCUCGCCGCACAACAUGAUCGAUGGCGCGCCGCAGAGCAAGCUAGGCGCGUCCGCGCCGAUAGGCUGCGGCUCGCCGCAAGGUGAGACCGUUGGAGCGCAGCAGAGCGAGAGGCGCGGCGCGCCGCAUAGCAAGAGCGGAUCCAUCGGCGCUUGCCUGCUAUCGACAGGGCGUCGCAGCUGGGUAUAUGUCCUGCCAGUACCCCCAUUCCUCGCCAGGAGUGGGCAGAGGCCCUCUGCGCCGUACUUGCACCAGAGGCCGGCUGCGCCGUACUUGCACCGGACGCCCGCCACGCCAUUCGCAUGGGUCGCGCCGUUCGCCUUGUCCGCGGCCCGCUCAAUGCCAACGCGCUGGUCGGUAGGCUCGACCGCCUCCUUGGCCCAGGUGUCCACCUGGGCGCAGUAGAGGAACAUGGCCGUCACAUCCUCGAGCUGGUGAUCUUCGAUGAAAUAGCCAACUUGGAGCUCGAGAUCGCGCUCCAGAUGUACCGCGAGCGUGUCGACCGCUUGGACGAAUGCCUGCACGAGUUCAGGCAGAGCCAAAAGCUACCGUAGGUAAGGGCUGCUGGUCAUGGUCUCAUGGACGCAUUUUAUUUUGUUGAGUCGUUUCGACGUGGAUAGCUAUGCAUUCACAUCAAUCAUAUUAUUGCUCUAUCUAUUGCUCUGUUUCAAUGUCUGUACUCUGUUUUCCGUUCUUAUAUGUUCUGUUUCAAUGUGUGUAUAUACGCUUUCCAUUCUGUAUAUGUGGAUGAUAACAGCUAGAUUCAAAUUAGUAUAUAAAAACAGAUAGAAAAUGGAAUUUAUAAUAUAUACAUAUAUACAUAUAUAUAUAUAUAUAUAUAUUAAUUGUUCAUUGGUUCAUCACAGAAUAUAUAUAUAAUAUUAUCACAUAUACGUGAUGAUACUUAACUACUAGGUACAAUGCAUAAAAUUGAAAACGAACAAUACUAAAACUAAUAAUCCCUCCUGGGGCCAGUAUUCCUGCAGCCCCUUGCCAGCAGCUCCCUGGUGCGCGACGUCUUCCCAGUGCGGAGGCAGUACUCCACCUCCUCCGCCUCGCAGCGCUUGACGUACCGAUCUGCCUCUUGCUAGCGGACGAGCACGAACGAUCUUGCCAUUUUAUUGGGCGCCCACCGGAGCUGCUCGGUUGUGGCAUGCUGCAGCUUAUCGACCCACCUCCACGCAGCGACGAGGCAUCCAGCGCCUUUGACCUUCCUCGCGAAGUACCCGUCUUCGUACACCUCCUCCGCACGACGACGCGCCCGCCCCCAAAGCUUCGCCGCCUCCUUUUUCCAGGCGGCAUCACAGGCUUCACAGGCCGCCUAGUACCUGGCUUCCUCCUCCGCCAUCUCCUUCUUGAACGCCACUUGCCUGGCUUUCUCAACCGGCGGCAGCGACUUCCACAAACAAAGCUUGUACUGGCCCCAAAACCAAUCCAACGUUGGGGGGUCCGACGCAACCUCAUCCGGCGGCGCGUAGGGGUCCUCGUCGCUGCUAUUCGAGUGAGCGUCCUCAGGGGGGCGGCGACUCCUCGUUGGCGCAUGGGCAGACCGGCGGCGCCAUGGCAGAGAUUUGAGAGAGAGAGAGAGAAAGAGGGCGAGCGAGGGGAGGAUGUAGAUGAGAAUGCAUGCAGGACGACGUGAGCAAGGUAGUAUUUAUUGGCGACCGGAAUCUAGAUCGAUGGGAACAGUACACACGCCGGUCGCCGGAAUUUACUAGUACUGUAGUUUGAAUAACACACGAUUCUCGCAGCAAAAUCUGUGUGUGAACAUAAUAGCUGACGGUUUCCAAUACAGAACCGUGUCUGAUUAAUGACCCCCGCCACUCACCUACCAAACCUCGAGCCGCGAGAUAGAGUGCCAAUCAUGUGGGGACCGGUUAUCUUGCCAGAUCUUUAUAUUUUCUUUUUUGAACACCAGAUAUUUACAUUGUCUGAUGAUUUUUUAACUCGCACACAAGUACACAAAAAUAUAAUUUUUCAAACCGUUAUGGUUAGCCGUUGCAUGUAGAUGUAGUUCAAAUUUGAAUUACGGUCAUUGAAUGGCUAGAAAAUCACUUAAAUGUCUUUAAAAGGUCAAAUGACCCCUAGAAUUGUCCAAAUUUUCACAUGACAGUUGUAGUAGUGCACGUUAAAUGUAGAAAAAAUUGAAGGCCGUAAGAGGAAGCUAUCUCCCCUUCGUCAUCAAACAUGCAUUGUUCCCUCUCGGAACCACAAGCCUUCUAGUGAGUUGCUUCGGUUUAUGAGGUGUCUGUGUCCAAACUUUCGUCAAACAGGCCAAUUUUUUACCACAUCAUCUUGGUGGCAUGACAUUAUAUCAAGCAAUCGUUUCAUGUUUUUCUGAUGACUUUUAAAUUUUUGGAAUUAAAAUGCCAUGGCACUCCAUGCAUGUGCCCAUGCCGUGAGACCAAUAUGUUUGAAAAUUCUUCUAAUUUACUGCACAUGAAAUUAACUUGCACACAAGUACACAAAUAUGAUUUUUCAAACCGUUAUGGUUAGCCGUUGCAUGUAGAUGUAGUUCAAAUAUGAAUUACGGGCAUUAAAUGGCUAGAAAAUCACUUAAAUGUCUUUAAAAGGUCAAAUGACCCCUGAAAUUUUCCAAAUUUUCACAUGACAGUUGUAUUAGUGCAUGUUAAACAUAGAAAACAUUUGAAGGCUGUAAGGGGAAGCUAUCUUCCGUUCGUCAUCAAACAUGCAUUGUUCCCUCUUGGAACCACUAGCCUUCUAGUGAGUUGCUCUGGCUAGUGAGGAGUGUGUGUCCAAACUUUCGUCAAACAUGCGAAUUUUUUUACCACAUCAUCUUGGUGGCAUGACAUUACAUCAAGCAAGGUUUCAUGUUUUUCUGAUCAUUUUUUAAUUUUUUGGAAUUAAAAUGCCAUGGCACUCCAUGCAUACAUAUGCAUAUGUCCAUGUCCUGAGACCAAUAUGUUUGAAAAUUUCUUCUAAUUUACUGCACAUGGAACUAACUCGCACACAAGUACACAAAUACGAUUUUUUAAACCGUUAUGGUUAGCCAUUGCAUGUAGAUGUAGUUCAAAUUUGAAUUACGGCCAUUAAAUGGCUAGAAUAUCACUUAAAUGUCUUCAAAAGGUCAAAUGACCCCUGAAAUUUUCCAACUAUUUACAUGACAGUUGUAUUAGUGCACGUUACACGUAGAAAAAAUUUGAAGGCCGUAAGAGGAAGCUAUCUCCCGUUCGUCAUCAAACAUGCAUUGUUCCCUCUCGGAACCACGAGCCUUCUAGUGACUUGCUCUGGUUUGUGAGGGCUGUGUGUCCAAACUUUCGUCAAAGAUACCAAUUUUUUUACCAUAUCAUCUUGGUGGCAUGACAUUACAUCAACCAAGGUUUCAUGUGUUUUUGAUAUAUUUUUUAAUAUUUUGUAAUUUGAAUGCCAUGGCACUCCAUGUUUAGUUGUGCCAUAGCCGUUAGACCAAUAUGUUUGCAAAUUCCUUCAAAUUUACUACACAUGGAAUUAAAUCAUACACAAGUACACAAAUAUGAUUUUUCAAACCGUUAUGGUUAGCCGUUGCAUGUACGUACAUCUAGUUCUAAUUUGAAUUACGGUCAUUAAAUGGCCAGAAAAUCAUUUAAAUGUCUUCAAAAGGUCAAAUGACCCCUGAAAAUUUCCAAAAUUUGACAUGACAGUUGUAUUAGUGCACGUUACACGUAGAAAACAUUUGAACGCCGUAAGAGGAAGCUAUCUCCCGUUCAUCAUCAAACAUGCAUUGUUUCCUCUCGGAACCACAAGUCUUCUAGUGAGUUGCUCCAGUUUGUGAGAGGUGUGUGUUCAAACUUUCAUCAAACAUGCCAAUUUUUUUACCACAUCAUCUUGGUGGCAUGACAUUACGUCAACCAAUGUUUCAUGUGUUUCUGAUUUUUUUUUACAUUUUUUGGAAUUUAAAUGCCAUGGCACUCCAUGCUUAAUUGUGUCAUAGCCGUUAGACCAAUAUGUUUGAAAAUUCCUUCCAAUUUACUGCACAUGGAAUUAAAUUGACACAAGUACAUAAAAUAUGACUUUUCAAACCGUUAUGGUUAGCUGUUGCAUGUACAUGUAGUUCAAAUUUCAAUAACGGUCAUUAAAUGGCUAGAAAAUCACUUAAAUGUCUUAAAAGGUCAAAUGACCCUUGAAAUUUUCCAAAAUUUGACAUGAUAGUUGUUUUAGUACUACAAAUUUUCUCGUACAUUUAAAACACCAUCCGUUGCCACUUUACUCCAAAUUUGUCUUUCAUAGCUAAUAAAAAAUAUCUACAACAUCACACACAGUUGUUUUGUAGGAACCAUUUGCGAUGAAAAUAUCUGGUUCUAUUUAAGUCUUCCUCCUUUAGCUUCGCCGGCUCGUCUGCUCCAGUGCCGGCAACCCCCGAAUCCACGAAUCCCGACCCCCAUUCCUGCACCCCCUUCUUGCAAACAUGACGCCGUGGAAACGCUUCGUGAAGGCCCGUACGAUGGCCGCGUCCCCCCCAAGCGCGGACGCCUACGCCGAGAGUGCGGCCGCCUACACCGAGAAUGCCGCCGCAUCCGCAUUGAGCGCGGCCGCUUCCGCCGAGAGGGCGUCUGCGGCAGCCGACAGGGCAGCUGCAGCAGCCGAGACGGCUACAGCUGCUGCUGCGACGGCGGCCGCAAACGCCGAGAGUGCUCGAGCUGCCGUCCGUGCCGCUGAUGUUGCCCUGGCCCGGGUCGAGGCCAUCCACGCCAAGAUCGAGGAUGCACACGCCAAGAUAUUCCAGGCCACGUCGGAAUCCAGCAUGCAACCCACGUCCGAAAAGGCGGUGGUGGCCAUGGAGCACCUGCUUCCUCAUGAGGUCGCCGAGCGGGAGCUGGAGAUGCAAGAGGCAGCGGAGAUCGAGGAGCACCGGGAGAAGGAGUUGCGCGUGGCCGAGGUCGAGGUAGAGAGGAGUCUGUCCGUCGAGGAAUCAGCGGUGCGGUACCAACGCGAGCUCUGGCGCAGCCACUACUACGAGUACUACAACCUUGAGGGCGGCGCCGAUGAUGAGGACGAGGACGAGGUCGACUUCAGUAGGGGGGACGCGGAGUCCACCGACGGCGGCAUGUCGCUAGGACAAGUCUUCGACGUCUCAUCUCACACCGGCGAUGCAUAGGCCGGCAUGGUGGCGGAUUUGUUAAAAUUAUGCGUACUUAGGCUUUGUUUUUAAUGCUGGUCUUUUGUUAGAGCAAUGUUUAGGUCAACUGGCUCUGUUUAAUUACUAAAAUUGCUCGAUUCAGUAAGUGUGGUUCGUCUGCUGUACGCUCUUUUGUGUGCCCAAAUUAGCAAGCGAUGUUAAAUUAUGCAAUGACAUACCCGGGGAAAUUUCCACCAAAAUUUGAAUUAUCAAACUCAUCCCAUGCGCGUAAAGCAGAAGAAUCGUUUGUGAUGCACACAAUCGUUCAAAGUGAAUGGUCCGGCGGCACCGCGCGCUAAGUUUCCUUCCACAUUUCCAAAAUUUUGGCCUACCGCCAAAAUAUCUACCCCCGCCCCUCCCCCUUCCCACCCCCUUUUCUCCCUGACCACAAGUCGCAUUUCCACUGUUUCCUCCUUCCUUCCUUCCUAAGCUAUAGCCGCGUCCUCGCUUGCUUCUCGCUCUCGCCGUCUCGCAUCCUACCGCUGGGGUCGCCAUGGUCUUCUUCAAAGACCUCUCCAGCGGUUCCUCCUUCGACGACGACUCGUUCACCACCCGGGUAUGCCUCUCUUCUCUCUCUCUCUCGGCCUAUGACUUGGAAUGAAGGAUUUUUUACCCGGCGGUAAAUUUGAAUCAUUUCUUCCUCUUGUAGCUCCCUAGGACCAUCAGUGGCAACGAAUGGAGCGGGGUGGCUGAAGAUCUAUCUGCUUGUUGUCACCAUCAAUCUCCAUGCGUGAAGCUAGUUGCGUUUGAAUCUAUGGACAGUGGGAGGAAGUUUCUGGCAUGUGCAGAGAAGGUUAGACCCUCUUUCGUUGUUACAAAUCAUUUGUUAGAUGUGAUUCAGACACUAUCAUGGUCCCAACCCAUUCAUACCACACCUUCAACCAAACGCAUCCUAAGACAGUGUCACAGUUUGUACCUAGUAUCUAAAAUUGUUGCCAUCUCAUCAGCGGUGCCAUUAGAAAAUUAUUUGGCACCGCUUCAACAGUUUGUGCAGCCAACUUUGGUCCACACAUCCAAGCAACCAAGCAGUAAAACAAUAAAUCUGUAUGGCACGAAGGAACUAGGCAUUGGAGCAACUAGGUGCUCCGGAGUCCGGGUCCCUGAUUUUUUUCCGCUACAUCGGCUCGCCAGUGCAGGGCACCGGUGCGAGAUGUAGCAACAGUUGUCUUUACACCAAUUUUGGCAUACAUAGUGGACUUCCUUAGUGCUAUUAGUUCUAUGUUACUAAAUUUGUGCAUGUACACACCUGUUAGUAUCAAUUUGUUGUCAUCCAAACACUGUCGCUAUGUUGUUGAAGUUAUAUUUACCUUCCUCAUAAAAUGUUCAAUUUGUUAUUUAUUGUACAUGAGUAAGAACUUGUAGCAUUGUUGUAGUUAAUUAUAGCUUCUGAUGUUUUAGAAUUUGGUUGUUGUCUUAGUAGCAAUUAAUUCAUUUGCACAUUGAUCUUUUUGAGAAGAUAUGUCAUAAUUAACAUGUUUCUUCAGUUUUUCAAAAUAAGCAUUGGUGAUUUUCUAUGUUGCUAUAAACCCUUUUCCCCUACAAUUGUUACUGAUCUAGUUUUAAAUAUUAUAGGAUGAACGGAAGUGUUCUUACUUGGAGUGGGUUGAUCAAGAGUGGCCACAGUCUUUGAAGAUGUGCCUAGCAAAGCUCUGGAGCAUGUAUGAGGAAGAGAACAGAGGUAGGCUUAGAGAAAGUGUUGUCAACGCUGAAGAAUAUUUGUAGAUGCGGGAUAAAAAGAGGAAGGUGGAGAAUGAGCUCAGAUUUUUUAAAUCAGACUUUGCUAAGAUGGUGUUGGCGAAGGAGGAGGCACUUUCCGAGUUGGCCAGAGCAAAACAGGUUCUUACUGAACUGAAAGCAGAGGUGGAUAAGACGAGCCUGGAUGAUCUCGAUUAGGGAAAUGAAUAUAUUGUUCUAAUACUAUUCUUAUGAAGUUGAACUAGCUAUAUGUUGUAUUGUGCUGUUUUCAUGUAGCUAUCGUGCUGUGAUGUUAAAAUAUAUUUAUGUGCCUGAUAUGAAAUUGGCAAACAGCUGUUCGAUAUGAAAUGCGAAUUUGCUUAAUACUGGAAUUAUUAAUUGUAAACUAAUAAACCUGCUAAAUGUGUCAUGGAACUUUGCAAACAGUUCUAGCAGUAAAAAUGCUUGCGAUGGAUAGCCCAAUGCCACACUAUUUUUUUUUCAUCAAAUCGUGUGUGAUGUAGUUGAUAAAAGCAAACGGUUAACCAAGGCAGAGUGUGUGUGAUAGUUACACCUAUCACACACGAGCCUAUAAAUAAACCUGUGUGGGAUGUACAUAUAAACGAAAACGUUUUCCCUGGAUUAACUGUGCGGGAUGUACAUACGGACGGAAACAUUUUCCCUGGAUUAACUGUGUGGGAUGUACAUAAGAACGGAAACGUAUUCCUUGGAUUGACUGUGUGUGAUAUACAUACGAACGGGAAUGUUUUUCUGGAAUUCACCGUGUGGGAUGUACAUACGAACGGAAAUGAUUGGGUUUUGAUGCCUCGCCCGAUCGCACAUGGGCUCAUUUUGCCCCAGCCUGUGUCCCAGGAGGGCCUAUCCCCGACGGUUUCUGGGUCAUGUGGGAAGGACCCCCCUAUCGCCCACACUCGGUGACGGUUCCAAAUGCCGUCACGGAAAGGGGUUAAAAACCGUUUGUAUAGCACCGACGCAUACCGGUGAGACCCAAAGCCAGGACGGGCACAACCAAGAUGAAGAGGCCGACAACAUUGGCCAUGGCAACUCAUGGCAUGAGCAUCUAUUGCAAAGACGAACAAGAGGGCGUAGACAUUAAGGAGGAGCUAUUGUUUAUUGAUGAGCUCACUCAAAAGAGUCAUGCACAAAAUAGGAAGCAAAGCAUUCACACGAUAUCAUACACCGAAGAUGAGGACAUGUUAAUUUGCGAGAGUUGGAAGGAAAUAGGGCAAGAUCCCAAGACCANNNNNNNNNNNNNNNNNNNNNNNNNNNNNNNNNNNNNNNNNNNNNNNNNNNNNNNNNNNNNNNNNNNNNNNNNNNNNNNNNNNNNNNNNNNNNNNNNNNNNNNNNNNNNNNNNNNNNNNNNNNNNNNNNNNNNNNNNNNNNNNNNNNNNNNNNNNNNNNNNNNNNNNNNNNNNNNNNNNNNNNNNNNNNNNNNNNNNNNNNNNNNNNNNNNNNNNNNNNNNNNNNNNNNNNNNNNNNGACCUUUCAUGAACGUCGGAAGUUUCCACCCUACAAGUUUGCGAGCACUCGUGGCAUCAACUCAAUCCAAAAUAGAUGGGGGUUUAUCCAACAAGAAUGCAACAAGUUUGUGCCACGCUUGAGAGCAUUGAAGCAUGUCCUGUUAGUGGCCUAGGCGUGGGUGACUUUGUAUGACCUCUUCUCUUCAUUCCUAUGGCAUGUUCAUGUUUGUUGUGUUUUGUAUCCUUGCUAUUACAUUGCGGUAUUCUCUUUGAUUGUGUAAGAAUUCAAAACUUGGGAAGCCUUCAAGGUCCGGCAUGCGAACAAGCCAUUCACCCUCACCCAUUGUUGUACGCUCAUCAAAGAUUGCCCCAAAUUUAAACAUUAAUAUGCCGCUCUAAAGAAGAAUGGAGGAUCGGCUGCCAUGGUUGGGGAUGGAGAUGGGGUGAAGAGGUUGAGGGGCAAGACCAACUCAGAGGUGGAAGAGAAGCGUGAUGCGUCAUCUUUCGCCUUGCAAGAAACUUUGCAACACAUGAUGACCCAAGAGGAAGGAAGGGAUAAGAUGAAGCUCCAAGAAAAGGAGGAGAAAAUGAAGACCUACAUGGAGUUCCAAACAAAGAAGCUCGACAUGGAGGAGGUCAUCAAGAGGAGAAAGCUCGAGAUCGAUGAGGCCGUCCAAACGAAGAAGCUCGCGAUUGAGGCCACCAAUGCAAAGACCAAAGAAAAAGAGGCGGCGCUAGCUUUCAUGAUCGUGGACUUGAGCAGAAUGUCCCCGAAAAUAAGAAGUUUUCGACAAGAAGCCAAAGGAGAUGACCGAUCAAGAUGAGUGAGCCGGCUUGUGUUCCAGCAUGAACUAGCGAGGCCGCGAGACAUGAACUAUGGCCUUUUUUUAGGCUGGCAUGUGUGUCGGCCGCUAGCUUUGUUGCCGGCAUGAAAUUAUUGUUGGAAAUAUGCCCUAGAGGCAAUAAUAAAGUGGUUAUUAUUAUGUUUCCUUGUUCAUGAUAAUCGUUUAUUAUCCAUUCUAUAAUUUUAUUGACCGGAAACUCAAAUACAUGUGUGGAUACAUAGAAAACAACAUGUCCCUAGUAAGCCUCUACGGACUAGCUUGUUGAUCAAAGAUGGCUAUGGUUUCCUAGCCAUGGACACGAGUUGUCAUUUGAUAACGGGAUCACAUCAUUAGGAGAAUGAUGUGAUGGACAAGACCCAAACUAUGAAUGUAGCAUAUGAUCGUAUCAAGUUUAUUGCUAUCGUUUUUCUGCAUGUCAAGUAUAUAUAUGUUCCUAUGACCAUGAGAUCAUGCAACUCACUAACACCGGAGGAGUGCCUUGUGUGUACCAAACAUCGCAACGUAACUGGGUGACUAUAAAGGUGCUCUACAGGUAUCUCCGAGGGUGUCUAUUGAGUUGGCAUGGAUCAAGACUGGGAUUUGUCACUCCGUACGACGGAGAGGUAUCUCGGGGCCCACUCGGUAAUACAACGUCACAAUAAGCUUGCAAGCAAUGUGACCAAUGAGUUAGUCACGGGAUCUUGUAUUACGGAACGAGUAAAGAGACUUGCCGGUAACGAGAUUGAACUAGGUAUGGAGAUACCCACGAUCGAAUCUCGGGCAAGUAACAUAUCGAUAGACAAAGGGAACUGCAUACGGGAUUAGCCGAAUCCUUGACAUCGAGGUUUGACCGAUAAGAUCUUAGAAUAUGUAGGAACCAAUAUGGGCAUCCAGGUCCAGCUAUUGGUUAUUGACCUUAGAGGUGUCUCGGUCAUGUCUGCAUAGUUCUCGAACCCGCAAGGUCUACACACUUAAUGUUUGGUGACGAUAUAAGUAUAGUUGAGUCAUUAUGGUGUUUACCGAAGGUUAUUCUGAGUCUUGGGUGAGAUCCCGGACGUGACGAGGAACUCCGGAAUGGUCCGGAGGUGAAGAUUGAUAUAUUGGACGAAGGGUAUUGGAGUCCGAAAUUGUUCCGGGGGUACCAGAUGAUGACCAGCGUCACCGAAAGGGGUUUCGGGGGCCCCCGACAAGUGUUGGGGGGCCCCAUGGGCCAAGGGGAUGGGGCAAACCGGCCCACUAAGGGGCUGAGCGCCCCCCUCACCCCAUCCCAUGUAACCAGGAGGGUUGGGGCGCCCCCUAGGGCUUCCCACCUCCCGGCUUGGGGGGGGGGGCAAGCCACCCUAGGGAAGAUCCCAUCUGCCCUGGCCGCCGCCCCUAGGGGCGCCACCCCCUCCUCCCUUCCCCUAUAUAUAGAGAGGUAGAGAGAGGGCAUUUGCACCCCUUGAGCACAUCUCCACGCCACGACGCUGCCUCUCCUCUUCCUCACAUCCCUCUUCUUCUCUGUAGUGCUUAGCGAAGCUCUGCCGAGAUUUCUCCACCACCACCACCACCACCACGCCGUCAUGCUACCGGAGGACUCGAGCUACUACUUCACCAUCGCUCGCUGGAUCAAGGAGGUGAAGGCAUCAUCAACAAUACGUGUGUUGAAUGCGGAGGUGCCGUCCGUUUGGCACUUGGAUCGGGAGUUCGUUGGACGGAUCGUGAUUGGAUCGCGAAGACGUUCGACUACAUCAACCGCAUUUCUUAACGCUUACGCUUAGCGAUCUACAAGGGUAUGUAGAUCCAAUCUCUCCUCCCGUAGAUGGUCAUCUCCUAGAUUGGAUCUUGCUAAGCGUAGGAAUUUUUUUGUUUCCCAUGCAACGUUCCCCGACAGUGGCAUCAUGAGCUAGGUCUAUGCAUAGAUGAAAUCAUGAGUAGAACACAAAGGAGUUUGUGGGUGUUGAUAUUCAGAUUGCUUCCUUCCUUGGUCUUUUCUUGAUUCAGCGGUAUUGUGGGAUUAAGCGGCCCGUACCAACUUUAUAUGUCCACGUACAUGAGACCGGUUCCAUCGACUGACAUGUGACUUUGUUGCAUAAAGAUGGCUGGUAGGUGACUGUCUCUCCCACCUUAGUUGAAUCAGAUUCGACAAAGGCGGUCCUAGUAGAAGGUUAAAUAGAAACUUGCAUAUCACCAUUGUGGCUUUGUGUAGGUAAGAAUCAUUUUUGCUAGAUACCCCUUGUUUUUGCAGGGUAUGUUGUGAUAUGAUAUGGCCAAAUAUAUGAUGAAAUAUAUUUGAUGUAUGAGAUGAUCAUGUUUGUAAUAGUUUGUAAUAGUUUAUAUCGACUUGCAUGUCGAUGCAUACGGCAACCAGCAGGAGCCAUAGGGUUGUCUUUAAUUAUUGUAUGACCUGCGUGUCAAUCAUUAAGCGCUAUGUAAUGCUUUACUUUAUCGCUAAGCAGUAGCAAUAGUAGUAGAAGCAUGCUUGGCGUGACAACCCCAAUGGUGGCACGAUGAUGGAGAUCAUGGUGUCAUGCCGGUGACGAUGGAGAUCAUGCCAGUGCUUCAAGAUGGAGAUCAACAACACAAGUUGAUGGCCAUAUCAUGUCACUUAUGAUUUGCAUGUGAUGUUAAUCCUUUUAUGCAUCUUAUUUUGCUUAGGACGACGGUAGCAAUAUAAGGUGAUCCCUCACUAAAUUUCAAGAUAAAAUUGUGUUCUCCCCAAGUGUGCACCGUUGCGAAAGUUCGUCGUUUCGAAGCACCACGUGAUGAUCGGGUGUGAUGGACUCUACGUUCACAUACAACGGGUGCAAGCUAGUUUUGCACAUGCGGAACACUUGGGUUAAACUUGACAAGCCUAGCAUGUACAAACAUAGCCUGGAACACAAGAGAACGAAAGGUCGAACACGAGUCAUAUAGUAGAUAUGAUCAACAUGGAGAUGUUCACCAUUGAAACCACCUCAUCUCAUGUGAUGAUCGGACUUGGGUUGGUGAAUUUGGAUCAUGUUACACUCGGACAAUCGGAGGGAUGUUGAUUUGAGUGGGAGUUGAUGUCUACUACGCAACCUUCUUCUUGUAGACUCGUGUUGGGCCUCCAAGCGCAGAGUUUUGUAGGAUAGUAGCAAAUUUCCCUCAAGUGGAUGACCUAAGUGAAGGAAAUAUGCCCUAGAGGCCAUAAUAAAGUUGUUAUUUUAUAUUUCCUUAUUCAUGAUAAAGGUUUAUUAUUCAAGCUAGAAUUGUAUUGACCGAAAACCUAAUACAUGUGUGAAUACAUAAACAAACACUGUGUCCCUAGUGAGCCUCUACUUGACUAGCUCGUUGAUCAAAGAUGGUUAAGUUUUCCUAACCAUAGACAUGAGUUGUCAUUUGAUAACGGGGUCACAUCAUUACAGAAUGAUGUGAUGGACAUGACCCAUCUGUUAGCUUAGCAUAUUGAUCGUUCAGUUUUAUUGCUAUUGCUUUCUUCACGUCAAAUACAUAUUCCUUCUACUAUGAGAUUAUGCAACUCCCGGAUACCGGAGGAAUACCUUGUGUGCUAUCAAACGUCACAACGUAACUGGGUGAUUAUAAAGAUGCUCUACAGGUAUCUCCGAAGGUGUUUGUUGGGUUGGCAUAGAUCGAGAUUAGGAUUUGUCACUCCAAGUAUCGGAGAGGUAUCUCUGGGCCCUCUCGGUAAUGCACAUCAUAAGAAGCCUUGCAAGCAUAGUGACUAAUGAGUUAGUUGCGGGAUGAUGUAUUACAGAACGAGUAAAGAGACUUACUGGUAACGAUAUUGAACUAGGUAUGAAGAUACCAACGAUCGAAUCUCGGGCAAGUAACAUACCGAUGACAAAGGGAAUUACGUAUGUUGUCAUAACGGUUCGACCGAUAAAGAUCUUUGUAGAAUAUGUAGGAGCCAAUAUGAGCAUCCAGGUUCUGCUAUUGGUUAUUGACCGGAGAGGUGUCUCGGUCAUGUUUACAUAGUUCUCAAACCCGUAGGGUCCGCACGCUUAACGUUCGAUGACGAUUUAGUAUUAUAUGAGUUAUGUGAUUUGGUGACCGAAUGUUGUUCGGAGUCCCGGAUGAGAUCAUGGACAUGACGAGGAGUCCUGAAAUGUUCGAGAGGUAAAGAUUGAUAUAUAGGAUGAUAGUAUUCCCUUUUCUCUCCGGCUAAAAACGGAAGGGGGGAGGCCGAAUAGGAGGAGGCCCCCAAGUAGGAUUCCUCCUACUUGGGGCGCCCCAUGGCUGCUCCCCUCCCUCUCCCACCUAUAUAUACGUGGGGAGGGGGCGCAUAGAACACACACCAACAAUUGUUAGCUGUGUGCGGUGCCCCCUCCACAGUUUAUGCCUCCGGUCAUAUCUUCGUAGUGCUUAGGCGAAGCCCUGCGCGGAUCACUUCACCAUCACCGUCACCACACCGUCGUGCUGACGGAACUCAUCUUCUUCCUCGACACCUUUGCUGGAUCAAGAGGGCGAGGGACGUCAUCGAGCUGAACGUGUGCAGAACUCGGAGGUGCCGUACAUUUGGUGCUUGAUCGGUCGGAUCUAGAAGAAGUUUGACUACAUCAACCGCAUUGUCAAACGCUUCCGCUUUAGGUCUAUGAGGGUACAUGGACACACUCUCCCCUUCUCGUUGCUAUGCAUCUCCUAGAUAGAUAUUGCGUGAGCAUAGGAAUAUUUUUGAAGUUGCUUGCUACGUUUCCCAACAGUGGUAUCAGAGCCAGGUCUAUGCGUAGAUGAUAUGCAUGAGUAGAACACAAAGAGUUGUGGGCGGUGAUCGUCAUACUGCUUACCACCAAUGUCUUAUUUUGAUUCAGCGGUAUUGUUGGAUGAAGCGGCCCGGACCAACCUUACAUGACCACGUUCAUGAGACCGGUUCCACCGACAGACAUGCAACUAGUUUUGCAUAAAGGUGGCUGGCGGGUGUCUGUUUCUCCUACUUUGGUUGAAUCGAAUUUGACUGCGGCCGUUCCUUGUUGAAGGUUAAAACAGCAAACUUGAUAAAUCAACGUUGUGGUUUUUGUGCCAUAGGUAAGAACGAUUCUUGCUAGAAGCCCAUAACAGCCACGUAAAACUUGCAACAACAAAGUAGAGGACGUCUAACUUGUUUUUGUAGGGCAUGUUGUGAUGUGAUAUGGUCAAGACAUGAUGUGAUAUACAUUAUUGUAUGAGAUUAUCAUGUUUUGUAAAAUUUACUGGCAAUCGGCAGGACCCUUAUGGUUGUCUCUUUAUUGUAUGAAAUGCAAAUGCCAUGUAAUUGCUUUACUUUAUCACUAUGCGUUAGCGAUAGUUGUAGAAGCAAUAGUUGGCGAGACGACCACGACGCUACGAUGGAGAUCAAGGUGUCAAGCUAGUGAAGAUGGAGUUCAUGACGAUGCUUUGGAGAUGGAGAUCAAAAGCACAAGAUGAUGAUGGCCAUAUCAUGUCACAUAUUUUGAUUGCAUGUGAUGUUUAUCUUUUAUGCAUCUUAUUUUGCUUAGUACAGCGGUAGCAUUAUAAGAUGAUCCCUUCACUAAAUUUCAAGGUAUAAGUGUUCUCCCUGAAUAUGCACCGUUGCAACAGUUGAUCGUGUUGAGACACCACGUGAUGAUCGGGUGUGAUAGACUCUACGUUCACAUACAAAGGGUACAAGACAGUUUUGCACCGCUAUGUGACACACCUAUUACAGGAGCAGAUGUAGACGUUAUGAAUGUUUGGCAAGCUCAUAAUGAUGACUACUUGAUAGUUUAGUGCACUGAUACGUCUCCAACGUAUCUAUAAUUUAUGAAGUAUUCAUGCUAUUAUAUUAUCCAUCUUGGAUGUUUAAUGGGCUUUACUAUGCACUUUUAUAUUAUUUUUGGGACUAACUUAUUAACCCAGAGCCCAGUGCGAGUUUCUGUUUUUUCCCUUGUUUCAGUGUUUCGCAGAAAAGGAAUAUCAAAUGGAGUCCAAACGGAAUGAAACCUUCAGGAGAGUUAUUUUUGGAACGGAAGCAAUCCAGGGGACUUGGAGUGCACGUAAGGGAAGCAACGAGGAAGGCACGAGGCAGGGGGCGCGCCCACCCCCUGGGCGCGCCCUCCACCCUCGUGGGCCCCUUGUGGCUCCCCUGACCGACUUCUUUCGCCUAUAGAUAUCCAUAUACCCUAAAACCAUCGGGGAACAGAAUAGAUCGGGAGUUCCGCAGCCGCAAGCCUCAGUAGCCACCAAAAACCAAUCGGGUCCCUGUUCCGGCACCCUGCCGGAGGGGGGAUCCCUCACUGAUGGCCAUCUUCAUCAUCCCGGCGCUCUCCAUGACGAGGAGGGAGUAGUUCACCCUCGGGGCUGAGGGUAUGUACCAGUAGCUAUGUGUUUGAUCUCUCUCUCUCUCUCUCUCUCUCUCUCUCUCUCUCGUGUUCUUGAGGUGAUACGAUCUUGAUGUAUCGCGUGCUUUGCUAUUAUAGUUGGAUCUUAUGAUGUUUCUCCGCCUCUACUCUCUUGUAAUAGAUUGAGUUUUCCCUUUGAAGUUAUCUUGUCGGAUUGAGUCUUUAAGGAUUUGAGAACACUUGAUGUAUGUCUUGCCGUGCUUAUCUGUGGUGACAAUGGGAUAUCACGUGAUCCACUUGAUGUAUGUUUUGGUGAUCAACUUCCGGGUUCCGCCUAUGAACCUAUGCAUAGGGGUUGGCACACGUUUUCGUCUGACUCUCCGGUAGAAACUUUGGGGCAAUCUUUGAAGUACUUUGUGUUGGUUGAAUAGAUGAAUCUGAGAUUGUGUGAUGCAUAUCGUAUAAUCAUACCCACGGAUACUUGAGGUGACAUUGGAGUAUCUAGGUGACAUUAGGGUUUUGGUUGAUUUGUUUCUUAAGGUGUUAUUCUAGUACGAACUCUAUGGUAGAUCGAACGGGAAGAAUAGCUUCAUGUUAUUUUACUACGGACUCUUGAAUAGAUCAAUCAGAAAGGAUAACUUUGGGGUGGUUUCGUACCCUACCAUAAUCUCUUCGUUUGUUCUCCGCUAUUAGUGACUUUGGAGUGACUCUUUGUUGCAUGAGGGAUAGUUAUAUGAUCCAAUUAUGUUAUUAUUGUCGAGAGAACUUGCACUAGUGAAAGUAUGAACCCUAGGCCUUGUUUCCUAGCAUUGCAAUACCGUUUGUGCUCACUUUUAUCAUUAGUUACCUUGCUGUUUUUAUAUUUUCAUAUUACAAAAACCUAUAUCUACCAUCCAUAUUGCACUUGUAUCACCAUCUCUUCGCCGAACUAGUGCACCUAUACAAUUUACCAUUGUAUUGGGUGUGUUGGGGACACAAGAGACUCUUUGUUAUUUGGUUGCAGGGUUGUUUGAGAGAGACCAUCUUCAACCUACGCCUCCCACGGAUUGAUAAACCUUAGGUCAUCCACUUGAGGGAAAUUUGCUACUGUCCUACAAACCUCUGCACUUGGAGGCCCAACAACGUCUACAAGAAGAAGGUUGUGUAGUAGACAUCAAGCUCUUUUUUGGCGCCGUUGCCGGGGAGGUGAGUGCUUGAAGGUAUAUCUUUAGAUCUUGCAAUCGAAUCUUUUAGUUUCUUGUUUUAAUCACUAGUUUAGUCUAUAAAAGAAAACUACAAAAAAUGGAAUUGAGUUUUUCCAUAUGCUUCAUCUUUUUAAUAUCUUUCGUGAGUAUGAUGGAAAGGAAAAUUGUGCCAAAGUGUUAGAAGAAGAAUGCAUUAAAAUGUUUGGCACUAAAUCUUUGAAUGAUGAGCAUGAUUGCAAUGUUGUUGGUAUGAACUCUUUGAAUAUCCAUAGUACUAAUGAUGAUUGCACUAGUCAUGAUGGAAAUAUCUCUUAUAAGCAUGUCAUCUUUUGUGGAAUACAUACAGUUUGCAAGUACACACCAAUUAGAGAAGAUAGAUUUUGCAAGAGGCAUAAAUACUUAGAAACUAAAUGGUUGCAAGAAAGGCUAGAUGUUUGUGCUGAAAAUUUAAAUUUUCUUAGCCAUACUUGUGAACUUUGCAAUGAACGUGGUCAUUCAACUAUCCGAUGCAAAUUGUUUCAUGAUCUAAUCCCAAAAAUUGUGAUGACUUGAUUUCCCUUGCACAUCAUAAUGAACUUAGUUUGCUUAUGGGUUAUGAAGAAAUGAAACGUAUAACUAACUAUCUUCCAGUAUUUGCCCGUGAUAAACUUCUUGAUUUUGAUCUAGAGGAAAUUUAUAUGUAUUGUGCAGUGAAUUGCAUUGAAAAUCCUUAUAUUGUCAAUUACAUAAAGAAAAGAAAGCAAAUAGAAGAUGAAGAGAACACUGAUGAAAGGGAAGAUACUUCCCAAUGUCCUCCUAUUAUUUCUUAUGAUGAAUCAGGUAACAAGGAGGAGCUUUCUAUUCAACCAAUCUCAUCAAUAAGGAGCUCAAAAAAGAGGGAUAAACCCACAAAUGAUGUGAAGAAGAAAAAGAAAAAAAUGGAGUAGCAAAGGUAAAAAGGUAUCCCUCCCAAAUGAUGUUGCUCCUACUACUCAUUGUGAUGAUGAUAAUUGCUAUACUAUUGGUGCUAUCCAUACUAUUAAUGAUGAGAGUGAUUAUGCUUAUGAUAUGAAAAGGCCCAAGCUUGGGGAUGCUAUGUUUAAUGAGGAUGACAUAUUUGAGAAUAUAUUUGCUAAAAUUAAUGUUUGUCCCAAGCUUGGGGAUGCUAUGUUUAAUGAAGAUGAUAUUUUUAGCCUCCCAAGUUUUGAUAUGCAAAGUUGUUAUGAUGAUAGCAUGCCUUCUACCUAUGAUGAUUAUAUUGAUGAAAGUGGGUUUGGAAGAGUGUAAACUUUAGGAAGUAAUGAUCCCACUAUUUUGGAGGAUGUUGAAUCUUAUAAUAAUUAUGAAAGUGGAUUUGGAGAGGUCAUGACUUUAUUUAGUGAUGAAUCCACUAUUUCGGAAGAGGUUUCAAUUGAUUAUGAGAACAAAGUUGCUACUUAUGAUGUUUAUUGUGAUGGUACUUAUGCUAUAAAAAGUAGUGAUGAUUAUAUUUAUAAAACUUGUCAUGAUUAUGAUUACCCUUUUUCUGAACAUUACUCUUUUAAUGUGGAAACAAUUUAUAGUAUUCAAGUCUCUUAUGAUACUCCCACUAUUCCGAAUGAGAAGAAUUUUGCUUAUGUGGAGAUUAGUAAAAUUUCUAUGCAAGUAGAUCAUGAAAAGAAUGCUUUAGGUGAUGGUUAUAUUGUUGAAUUCAUUCAUGAUGCUACUGAAAGUUAUUAUGAGGGAGGAAUGUAUGCUUGUAGGAAUUGCAAUAAUAUCAAGUUUCCUCUCUAUGUGCUUAAAAUCUUGAAGUUAUGCUUGUUUUACCUCCCUAUGCAAGUUGAUUCUUGUUCCCAUAAGUUGUUUACUCACAAAUUCCCUAUGCAUAGGAAGUGGGUUAGACUUAAAUGUGCUAGUCAUAUUCUUCAUGAUGCUCUCUUUAUGUUUCGAUUCUUAUCUUUUAUGUGAGCAUCAUUGAAAUCAUCAUGCCUAGCUAGGGGCGUUAAACGUUAGCGCUUGUUGGGAGGCAACCCAAUUUUAUUUUUGUUUCUUACUUUUUGGUUCUGUUUAGUAAUAAAUAAUUCAUCUAGCCUCUGGUUAGAUGUGGUUUUAUGUUUUAAUUAGUGUUUGUGCCAAGUAAGACCUAUAGGAUCUUCUUGGAUGAUAGUUAUUUGAUCUUGCUGAAAAUUCCAGAAACUUUCUGUUCACGAAAACAAUUGUUUAAAAUCACCAGAACGUGAUAAAAUACAGAUUCCAAUUGCAGCAGAUCAAUAAUCAAAUUAUCUAGGUCUUCCUGGUUUUGUAGAAUUUUUUGAGUUCCAGAAGUUUGCGUUAGUUACAGAUCACUACAGACUGUUCUGUUUUUGACAGAUUCUGUUUUUCGUGUGUUGUUUGCUUAUUUUGAUGAACCUAUGGCUAGUAAAAUAGUUUAUAAACCAUAGAAAAGUUGGAAUAAAGUAUAUUUAACACCAAUAUAAAUAAAAAAUGAGUUCAUUAUAGUACCUUGAAGUGGUGUUUUGUUUUCUUUCGCUAACGGAGCUCACGAGAUUUUCUGUUAAGUUUUGUGUUGUGAAGUUUUCAAGUUUUGGGUAAAUAUUCGAUGGACUAUGGAAUAAGGAGUGGCAAGAGCCUAAGCUUGGGGAUUCCCAAGGCACCCCAAGGUAAUAUUCAAGGACAACCAAAAGCCUAAGCUUGGGGAUGCCCCGGAUGGCAUCCCCUCUUUCGUCUUCGUUCAUCGGUAACUUUACUUGGAGCGUCAUUUUAUUUUCUUUUGUUUUGCUUGCUGUUAUUUAGAAUAAUGUUUUGCAUCUAUAUUUUCAAUAAAAAUGUCAAGGAUAGCCUUUACCAUGCUUAUUUUGCAAGUAUACAUGUUGCUGUUUCAAAACAGAAAGUUUACCGCUGUUGCAAAAAUUCCCUAGAAAAGUAAGAAUGUGAUAAAAUGUUGAAACCUUUUGCAUAAUAAGCUCUGAUAAAUUUACUACAGUGGGAAGUUUCUUUAAUAAUUUUUGGAUCUAGAGAAGUAUGGAUCUUGCUGCAUUCUUUACAGACUGUCCUGUUUAGGCAGAUUGCUGUUAUGUUUGCAUUGUUUGCAUAUGUUUGCUUGUUUAAUGAUUCUAUUUGAGGAUGGGACUAUUAAAUAUGGAGAGGCAUUUAGUAUGCAAUGUUGAAUAAUAAUUUUAGUGAUUUGCUACAGUAGAGUAUGAUAAGGUUUUUGCAUUGGUUUAUACUAACUUAUCUCACGAGUCCUUGUUGAGUUUUGUGUGGAUGAAGCUUUCGAGAUUUAGGAAACCGUGAUAUGAGAGGAAUUAAGGAGACACAAAAACUCAAGCUUGGGGAUGCCCAAGGCAUACCAAGAUAAUAUUUCAAGAAGUCUCAAGCAUCUAAGCUUGGGGAUGCCCCGGUAGGCAUCCCACCUUUCUUCUUCAACAAUUAUCGGUUAGUAUCGGUUGAGCCUAAGUUUUUGCUUCUUCACAUGAUGAGUGCUAUCCUUGAAAUGUCAUUUUAUUUUGUUUUGCUUGCUGUUUGAAUAAUAUCCCAAGAUCUGAAAUUCUUAAAUGAGAGAGAGUCUUCACAAAGCUACAUAAUUAUUUAACUACUCAUUGAUCUUCACUUAUAUCUUUUUGGAGUAGUUUGUCAUUUACUCAUGUGCUUCACUUAUAUCCUAUGAGUAAAUGGUUGAAUGAUUUGAAUGUCAUAAAUCUGAAAUUAUAUAUGUUUCAUAUGCCUUUCCCAUGGGGAGUAAUGGCUUCACAUAUAAGAAGUAGAGGUGGUAAAUUUUUCGAAGGUUAGCAAACAUUGUAUUGGUCACUUGAACAAUUCAUGAAAGAAUAUUGAAGGAAGAGAGAUUUCACAUAUAAAUAUACUAUCUUGGACAUCUUCUAUGAUUGUGAGCCCCAUUAAUUAUUUUUAAACCUGAGCAAAUUAGUUGAAGCUAGACAAGGAAGACAACAUAAUGAGUUAUGCUUGGGUAUAUUUGUAUAGAAGUUAUAUUGUUAUGGAUCCUCUAACAUGUGGUGCUUGUUAUUUAGAAUCCUUUGCUAGCCAAAAUAUCUGUACUAAGCGGGAAUACUGCUUGUGCACCCAAAUUCAUUGAACCAAGUUUAUUCCAUGAGUGUCCACCAUAUCUACCUAUAUACGGAAUUUACCUACCGUUCCAAGUAAAUUUGCAUGUGCCAAACUCUAAACCAUCAAAUAAUAAUUUGUUUUGUAUGCCCAAUCGCUCAUGUAGCGACUAGGGGCUGUCAGUAUCUUCCAUGCUAGGUGGGUUAUUCUCACGGUGAGUGGACUCCGCUCAUCAUUCACGAGAAAAUGGCUGGUAACUGGGAUGCCCAGUCCUAUGAUCAAAAGAUCAAAAACAAAUUCGCAAAUAAUUUAAACAAACUCCCCCAGGAUUGUUGAAAGUUGGACGGCACCCGUUGUUUCGGACAAGCCGUGGAGUGUGAUUGUUGGUGGAGGGGGAGUAAAAUCUUUACCAUUCUGUUUGGGAACCGCCUAUAAUGUAUCUAGUAUGGAAGAUAUUGAGAACUCUUGGUCGUUAUGUUGACAAUGAAAGCAUACCUCUCAAAAUUAUUUUCAUCUCUGUUUUUGCUUCGAGCUCUGGCACCUCUGCAAAUCCCUGCUUCCCUCUGCGAAGGGCCUAUCUUUUACUUUUAUGCAAGAGUCAGUAGUAUUCUUUCUCAUUCCAACCUACUUUUUAGUUGGCAAGCAUCAUGUGGUGGAGAAAGAUCUAAGCAUAUAUGGCCAUUCAAAUAUAUUUGAGCAUGAAUUAUUACUGUUGACAUUACCCUUGAGGUAAAAGGUUGGGAGGCGAAACAUUAAGCCCCUAUCUUUCUCUGUGUUUGAUGAAUACUAUUUGUUCUAAAAAUAUGCUUUGAGUGGUAGCAAUCAUGGAAGACUAAAUGAUAGUUGAGUAUGUGGAGUUUGCUAAAUCAAAGCUCUGACAUAGACUCUUCCUGAAAAUAAGAUGAAUUGUAAUUGUUUGAUGACUAAUAACACGGUUUGUUAGUUUUCAAGAAAGUUUAUGAUCUAUACUUUAACAUGUGAAUAGUUUGUUACUUGAUCAUGCAAAGUUCUAUGAGUUGAGCUACUGUUAUGACAUAUAAUGAUGCUAGAAAAGGUGAUUGAAAUUAUCAUUGAUCAAACUUAUGCACCUGCUAGCAUUCACACUUCAUAAAUUCUUUUUUUAUCAUUUACCUACUCGAGGACGAGCAGGAAUUAAGCUUGGGGAUGCUGAUACGUCUCCAACGUAUCUAUAAUUUAUGAAGUAUUCAUGCUAUUAUAUCAUCCAUCUUGGAUGUUUAAUGGGCUUUACUAUGCACUUUUAUAUUAGUUUUGGGACUAACUUAUUAACCCAGAGCCCAGUGCCAGUUUCUGUUUUUUCCCUUGUUUCAGUGUUUCACAGAAAAGGAAUAUCAAACGGAGUCCAAACGGAAUGAAACCUUCAGGAGAGUUAUUUUUGGAACGGAAGCAAUCCAGGGGACUUGGAGUGCACGUAAGGGAAGCAACGAGGAAGGCACGAGGCAGGAGGCGCGCCCUCCACCCUCGUGGGCCCCUCGUGGCUCCCCUGACCGACUUCUUUCGCCUAUAUAUAUCCAUAUACCCUAAAACCAUCGGGGAACAUAAUAGAUCGGGAGUUCCGCCGCCGCAAGCCUCAGUAGCCACCAAAAAACCAAUCGGGUCCCUGUUCCGGCACCCUGCCGGAGGGGGGAUCCCUCACCGAUGGCCAUCUUCAUCAUCCUGGCGCUCUCCAAGACGAGGAGGGAGUAGUUCACCCUCGGGGCUGAGGGUAUGUACCAGUAGCUAUGUGUUUGAUCUCUCUCUCUCUCUCGUGUUCUUGAGGUGAUACGAUCUUGAUGUAUCGCAUGAUUUGCUAUUAUAGUUGGAUCUUAUGAUGUUUCUCCCCCUCUACUCUCUUGUAAUGGAUUGAGUUUUCCCUUUGAAGUUAUCUUGUCGGAUUGAGUCUUUAAGGAUUUGAGAACACUUGAUGUAUGUCUUGCCGUGCUUAUCUGUGGUGACAAUGGGAUAUCACGUGAUCCACUUGAUGUAUGUUUUGGUGAUCAACUUGCGGGUUCUGCCCAUGAACCUAUGCAUAGGGGUUGGCACACGUUUUCGUCUCGACUCUCCGGUAGAAACUUUGGUGCACUCUUUGAAGUACUUUGUGUUGGUUGAAUAGAUGAAUCUAAGAUUGUGUGAUGCAUAUCGUAUAAUCAUACCCAUGGAUACUUGAGGUGACAUUGGAGUAUCUAGGUGACAUUAGGGUUUUGGUUGAUUUGUUUCUUAAGGUGUUAUUCUAGUACGAACUCUAUGAUGGAUCGAACGGGAAGAAUAGCUUCAUGUUAUUUUACUACGGACUCUUGAAUAGAUCGAUCAGAAAGGAUAACUUUGAGGUGGUUUCGUACCCUACCAUAAUCUCUUCGUUUGUUCUCCGCUAUUAGUGACUUUGGAGUGACUCUUUGUUGCAUGUUGAAGGAUAGUUAUAUGAUCCAAUUAUGUUAUUAUUGUUGAGAGAACUUGCACUAGUGAAAGUAUGAACCCUAGGCCUUGUUUCCUAGCAUUGGAAUACUGUUUGUGCUCACUUUUAUCAUUAGUUACCUUGCUGUUUUUAUAUUUUCAUAUUACAAAAACCUAUAUCUACCAUCCAUAUUGCACUUGUAUCACCAUCUCUUCGCCGAACUAGUGCACCUAUACAAUUUACCAUUGUAUUGGGUGUGUUGGGGACACAAGAGACUCUUUGUUAUUUGGUUGCAGGGUUGUUUGAGAGAGACCAUCUUCAACCUACGCCUCCCACGGAUUGAUAAACCUUAGGUCAUCCACUUGAGGGAAAUUUGCUACUGUCCUACAAACCUCUGCACUUGGAGGCCCAACAAUGUCUACAAGAAGAAGGUUGUGUAGUAGACAUCAUGCACCAUGCUUUACAGCUUGGAACCGGGACUUCAAACUUUUGUUUUGAAACGCCAUGGAGCAUAUGAGAUGUUCCAAGAGCUGAAAUUUGUAUUUCAAACUCAUUCCCGUGUCGAGAGGUAUGAAACCUUUGACAAGUACUUUGCCUACAAGAUGGAGGAAAAUAGCUCAACUAGUGAGCAUGUGCUCAGAAUGUCUUGGUACUACAAUCGCGUGAAUCAAGUGGGAGUUAAUCUUCCAGAUAAGAUAGUGAUUUACAAAAUUCUCUAGUCACUAUCACCAAGCUACUAGAACUUUGUGAUGGGGAAAAUUUUGUUUUUGCCACUCUAGAUUUUGCCAAUUUUCCUUAUGCCACUCUAGAAUUUGACAUUUCACUUUUGCCACUCUUAGUUUUUGACAAUUAUCACAAUUGCCAUUCCGGUGGUAAAAGCAAAAUUUUCAAAGUGGUAAUUAUGAUAAUUUUCAAAAGCUAAGAGUGGCAAAAAUGAAAUAAAAUCUAGAGUGGCAUAAGAAAAAUUGGCAAAAUCUAGAGUGGCAAAAACAAAAUUUUCCCUUUGUGAUGAACUAUAAUAUGCAAGGGAUGACGAAAAUGAUUCUCGAGCUCGUCGCGAUGCUGAAAUUAGUGAAGGUAGAAAUCAAGAAAGAGCAUCAAGUGUUGAUGAUUAACAAGACCACUAGUUCAUAAAAAGGGCAAGGGAAAGAAAGGGAACAUCAAGAAGAAUGGCAAGCAAGUUGCCACUCCCAUGAAGAAGCCUAAAGCUGGACCCAAGUCUAAAACUGAUUGCUUCUACUACAAAGGAAAUGGUCACGAGAAGCGGAACUGCCCCAAAAAUUUGGCGGGUAAGAAGGAUGGCAAAGUGAACAAAGGUAUGUUUGAUAUACAGAUUAUUGAUGUGUACCUUACUAGUGUUCGUAGUAGCCCCUGGGUAUUUGAUACCGGUUCAGUUGCUAAGAUAAGUUACUCAAAACAGGAGUUGCAAAAUGAAUAAAGAUUAGUUAAGGGCAAGGUGAUGAUGUGUGUUGGAAGUGAUUCCAGGGUUGAUAAGAUCGCCAUCGCACACUCUUCGGGAUUAGUGUUGGACCUAAAUAAAUGUUAUUUGGUGUUUGCGUUGAGCAUGAAUAUGAUUGGAUCAUGUUUAUUGCAAUACAGUUAUUCAUUUAAGUCAGAGAAUAAUUGUUGUUCUGUUUACAUGAAUAACCUUCUAUGGUCAUACACCCAAUGGAAAUGGUUUAUUGAAUGUCGAUCAUAGUGAUACACAUAUUCAUAAUAUUUAUUCCAAAAGAUGCAAAGUUGAUAAUGAUAGUGCAACAUAUUAGUGGCACAGCCGUUUAGGUCAUAUUGGUGUAAAGCGCAUGAAGAAACUCCAUGCAGAUGGACUUUUGGAAUUACUUGAUUAUGAAUCAUUUGAUACUUGCGAACCAUGCCUCAUGGGCGAGAUGACUAUAACUCCGUUCUCUGGAACAAUGGAGCGAGCCAAUGACUUAUUGGAAAUAAUACAUACCGAUGUAUGCGGUCCGAUGAGUGUUGAAGCACGCGGCGGGUAUCAUUAUUUUCUGACCUUCACAGAUAAUUUGAGUAGACAUGGGUAUAUCUACUUAAUGAAAUACAAGUCUGAAACAUUUGAAAAGUUCAAAGAAUUUCAGAGUGAAGUGGAGAAUCAUCGUAACAAGAAAAUAAAGUUUCUACAAUCUGAUCGCGGAGGCGAAUAUUUGAGUUAUGAGUUUAGCCUUCAUUUAAAACAAUGUGGAAUAGUUUCACAACUCACGCCACCUGGAACACCAUAGCGUAAUGGUGUGUCUGAAUGUUGUAACCGUAGUUUAUUAGAUAUGGUGCGAUCUAUGAUGUCUCUUACCGAUUUACCACUAUCAUUUUGGGAUUAUGCAUUAGAGACAACCGCAUUCACGUUAAAUAGGGCACCGUCUAAAUCCGUUGAGACGACAUCGUACGAACUAUGGUUUGGCAAGAAACCUAAGCUGUCGUUUCUUAAAGUUUGGGGUUGCACUUAUGUCUAAAGGCUUCAGCCUGAUAAGCUCGAACCCAAAUCAGAGAAGUGCGUCUUCAUAGGAUACCCUAAGGAAACAAUUGGGUACACCCUUCUCUUCUCCUUCCUCCAUACGUAACCAUUUAUGACAAGUUCUUUGUCACCUCCAUAAACGAGAAACAUAUCCUUAGUCCUUUUCAGGUAUUUCGGGAUGUUCUUGACUGUUGUCCAGUGAUCCACCCCUGGAUUACUUUGGUAGCUCCCUACUAAACUUAUAGCAAGGCACACAUCAGGUCCGGUACACAACAUUGCAUACAUGAUAGAACCUAUGGCUGAGGCAUAGGGAAUGACUUUCAUUUUCUCUCUAACUUCUGCAAUGGUCGGGCAUUGAGUCUGACUCAACUUCACACCUUGUAACACAUGCAAGAACCCUUUCUUUGACUGAUCCAUUUUGAAUUUCUUCAAAACUUUAUCAAGGUAUGUGCUUUGUGAAAGUCCAAUUAAGCGUCUUGAUCUAUCUCUAUAGAUUUUGAUGCCCAAUAUAUAAGCAGCUUCACCGAGGUCUUUCAUUGAAAAAUUCUUAUUCAAGUAUCCUUUUAUGCUAUCCAGAAAUUCUGUAUUAUUUCCAAUCAACAAUAUGUCAUCCACAUAUAAUAUUAGAAAUGCUACAGAGCCCCCACUCACUUUCUUGUAAAUACAGGCUUCUCCAAAUGUCUGUAUAAAACCACAUGCUUUGAUCGCACUAUCAAAGCGUAUAUUCCAACUCCGAGAGGCUUGCACCAGUCCAUAAAUGGAUCGCUGGAGCUUGUACACUUUGUUAGCACCUUUAGGAUCGACAAAACCUUCUGGUUGCAUCAUAUACAACUCUUCUUUAAGAAAUCCAUUAAGGAAUGCAGUUUUGACAUCCAUUUGCCAAAUUUCAUAAUCAUAAAAUGCGGCAAUUGCUAACAUGAUUCGGACAGACUUAAUCAUCGCUACGGGUGAGAAGGUCUCAUCGUAGUCAACUCCUCGAACUUGUUGAAAACCUUUCGCAAUAAGUCGAGCUUUGUAGACAGUAACAUUACCGUCAGCGUCAGUCUUCUUCUUGAAGAUCCAUUUAUUCUCUAUGGCUUGCCGAUCAUCAGGCAAGUCAACCAAAGUCCACACUUUGUUCUCAUACAUGGAUCCCAUCUCAGAUUUUAUGGCCUCAAGCCAUUUCGCGGAAUCUGGGCUCAUCAUCGCUUCCUCAUAGUUCAUAGGUUCGUCAUGGUCUAGUAACAUAACUACCAGAACAGGAUUUCCGUACUACUCUGGUGCGGAACGUACUCUGGUUGACCUACGGGGUUUGGUAGUAACUUGAUCUGAAGUUUCAUGAUCAUCAUCAUUAACUUCCUCACUAAUUGGUGUAGGAAUCACUGGAACUGAUUUAUGUGAUGAACUACUUUCCAAUUCGGGAGAAGGUACAAUUACCUCAUCAAGUUCUACUUUUCUCCCACUCACUUCUUUCAAGAGAAACUCCUUCUCAAGAAAGGAUCCAUUCUUAGCAACGAAUAUCUUUCCUUCGGAUCUGGGAUAGAAGGUGUACCCAACAGUUUCCUUUGGGUAUCCUAUGAAGACACAUUUCUCCGAUUUGGGUUCGAGCUUAUCAGGUUGAAGCUUUUUCACAUAAGCAUUGUAGCCCCAAACUUUAAGAAACGAAAGCUUAGGUUUCUUGCUAAACCACAGUUCAUAUGGUGUCAUGUCAACGGAUUUAGAUGGUGCCCUAUUUAACGUGAAUGUAGCCGUCUCUAAAGCAUAACCCCAAAAUGAUAGCGGUAAAUCGGUAAGAGACAUCAUAGAUCGCACCAUAUCUAACAAAGUACGGUUACGACGUUCGGACACACCAUUACACUGUGGUUUUCCAGGUGGCGUGAGUUGCGAAACUACUCCACAUUGUUUCAAAUGAAGACCAAACUCAUAACUCAAAUAUUCACCCCCACGAUCAGAUCGUAGAAACUUUGUUUUCUUGUUAUGAUAAUUUUCCACUUCACUCUGAAAUUCUUUGAACUUUUCAAAUGUUUCAGACUUAUGUUUCAUUAACUAGAUAUACCCAUAUAUGCUCAAAUCAUCUAUGAAGGGCGGAAAAUAACGAUACCCGCCACGAGCGUCAACACUCAUUGGACAACACACAUCAAUAUGUAUUAUUUCCAAUAAGUCAGUGGCUCGCACCAUUGUUCCGGAGAACAGAGUCUUAGUCAUCUUGCCCACGAGGCAUGGUUCGCAACUAUCAAGUGAUUCAUAAUCAAGUGAUUCCAAAAGCCCAGCAGCGUGGAGUUUCUUCAUGUGCUUUACACCAAUAUGACCUAAAUGGCAGUGGCCCAAAUAAGUUGCACUAUCAUUAUUAACUUUGCAUCUUUUGGCUUCAACAUUAUGAAUAUGUGUAUCACUACGAUCGAGAUUCAACAAAAAUAGACCACUCAUCAAGGAUGCAUGACCAUAAAAGAUAUUACUCAUAUAAAUAGAACAACCAUUAUUCUUUGAUUUAAAUGAAUAAUCGUUUCGCAUCAAACAAGAUCCAGAUAUAGUGUUCAUGCUCAAUGCUGGCACCAAAUAACAAUUAUUCAGGUCUAAAACUAAUCCCGACGGUAGAUGUAGAGGUAGCGUGCCGACGGCGAUCACAUCAACCUUGGAACCAUUUCUGACGCGCAUCGUCACCUCGUCCUUAGCCAAUCUUCGUUUAAUCAGUAGCCCCUGUUUCGAGUUGCAAAUAUGAGCAACAGAACCAGUAUCAAAUACCCAGGCACUACUACGAGCAUUAGUAAGGUACACAUCAAUAACAUGUAUAUCAAAUAUACCUUUCUCUUUGCCAUCCUUCUUAUCCGCCAAAUACUUGGGGCAGUUUCGCUUCUAGUGACCAAUCCCUUCGCAGUAGAAGCACUCAAUUUCAGGCUUAGGUCUAGACUUGGGCUUCUUCCCUUGAGAAGCAACUUGCUUGUUGUACUUCUUGAAGUUCCCCUUCUUCCCUUUGCCUUUUUUCUUGAAACUAGUGGUUUUGUUAACCAUCAACACUUGAUGCUCCUUUUUUAUUUCUACCUCCGCAGCCUUUAGCAUGGCGAAGAGCUCAGGAAUUGUCUUUUCCAUCCCUUGCAUAUUAUAGUUCAUCACGAAGCCUUUAUAGCUUGGUGGCAGUGAUUGAAGAACUCUGUCAAGGACACUAUCAUCAGGAAGGAUAACUCCCAGCUGAGUCAAGUGGUUAUGGUACCCAGACAUUCUGAGUAUGUGUUCACUGACAGAACUAUUCUCCUCCAUCUUGAAGCUAUAGAACUUGUUGGAGACUUUAUAUCUCUCAACUUGGGCAUUUGCUUGAAAUAUUAACUUCAACUCCUGGAACAUCUCAUAUGCUCCAUGACGUUCAAAACGUCUUUGAAGUCCUGAUUCUAAUCCGUAAAGCAUGGCACACUGAACUAUCGAGUAGUCAUCAGCUUUAGUCUGCCACACGUUCAUAACUUCCGGAGUUGCUCCUGCAACGGGUCUUGCACCUAGCGAUGCUUCUAGGACGUAAUUCUUCUGUGCAGCAAUGAGGAUAAUCCUCAAGUUAUGGACCCAGUCCGUGUAGUUUCUACCAUCAUCUUUCAACUUAGCUUUCUCUAGGAACGCAUUAAAAUUCAAGGGAACGGUAGCACAGGCCAUUGAUCUACAACAACAUAGGUAUGCAAAAACUAUCAGGACUAAGUUCAUGACAAAUUAAAGUUCAAUUAAUCAUAUUACUUAAGAACUCCCACUUAGAUAGACAUCCCUCUAGUCAUCUAAAUGAUCACGUGAUCCAUAUCAAUUAAACCAUGUCCGAUCAUCACGUGAGAUGGAGUAGUUUUGAAUGGUGAACAUCACUAUGUUGAUCAUAUCUACUAUAUGAUUCGCGUUCGACCUUUCGGUCUCAGUGUUCUGAGGCCAUGUCUGCAUAUGCUAGGCUCGUCAAGUUUAACCCGAGUAUUCUGCACGUGCAAAACUGUCUUGCACCCGUUGUAUGUGAACGUAGAGCUUAUCACACCCGAUCAUCACGUGGUGUCUCGGCACGACGAACUGUAGCAAUGGUGCAUACUUAGGGAGAACACU
rnacentral:lncRNA from 1 species